AUCAUUGCUCUUCAAAUUAAAACCUUUUUUCGGCAUCAUAGGUAGAUGCUUGAAAAUUAAAUCAAAUCACUCUUUCACUUCUUUAUCAACCACAAUCAGGUUUUCAGGAGUUGUUUUUGACGAUCUAGUUCUUUUGCGAGACAUGGUACUUUCCCAAACAUUUGGUAGAGUUUCUGCACAAGAGAGAAAAGAGAAAUCGGCAAAGUUGGUAUAACUUGCUAUGGCAAAAAUCUUGCGACAGUAAGGAUGGUGCGGCGGCGAUCUCUUUGCGACAGCAAUAGGGAAUUUUGGCAAAAAGAAAGGACUAGGGUUUCUUUCGAUAUUUGAGGUUAAUGACACAAAAAAAAAGAUUUAGGGAUUUUUAGGGCGGAAGUAAAUUGCUUUGAGGGAGAUGAAAAUUAGUAGAAUGAAGAGGGCUUUAUAUAGGGAAAAUUAGGGCAACAUGCAAUAAAAAUUUAGCUACCUUAAAGUUACUUGGGCAGCAAGUAAUGGGUGUGACGGCAAGGCCUAGUUUUUUCCCUCUUUUUUUGUUGUCUUGGGCCUCAAACUCAUACUGUAUCUUAAAAAAAAUUGAUUAGUACUUGGGCCAAAUUUGACCCCCCUUUAUUAACACAAAAAUUUAAAAUUUAAACUGAACAAAAUAAAACUUAAAAAUUUUAAUUAGAAAAUUUCUUCUUAACAACUUACAUUAAAUUAAUUCCCAAGAAAGGUUGGAGGGGUCACAGCGGUCCCGCUUAAGUUCCAAUCUCCUUAGACAGAAUUAAUUAAAUGUAAUAAAUUAAGAAAAUAGGAUCUAAUUAUUUAUUUAUUUACACAAUGAGUUCAUGAAAAAUUAAGGGUCUGUUAAGAUGAGUGAGGAUUCAGUUUGCUCAACUUCACCAUCCCAGUAGUGUUUGAGACGUUGACCAUUAACUUUAAACGUACCUCCAUAAUUGUCGUAUAAUUCAAUAGCUCCGUAAGGAUAAACUCGGUAGAUGGUAUAGGGUCCUUUCCAUCGGGAUUUCAGCUUCCCAGGAAAUAACUUCAGCCUUGAAUUAAACAACAACACUUUCUGACCUUCUUUAAACUCGCGAAGUUGUAUAUGAGUAUCAUGCCAUCUUUUUUAUCUUUCUUUACACAUUUUGGCAUUCUUAUUGGAAAACAACCUCAGCUCUUCCAACUCAUCUAAUUGUAACGUCCUUCUCUCACCGGCCUAUUUUAUAUCAAAAUUUAACUGCUUCAAAGCCCAGUGAGCUUUAUUCUCCAACUCUAAUGGCAAAUGACAUGCCUCUCCAAAGACUAACUGAUAAGGAGUUAUUCCUAACUGAGUCUUAAAUACUAUUCGAUAGGCCCAUAAUGCAUCAUCGAGCCUUCGAGACCAAUCUUUUCUACUAGGGUGUACUACCUUUUCAAGGAUACUUUUGAUUUCAUGGUUCACUAUUUCAACUUGUCCAUUAGACUGGAGGUGAUAAGCAGUAGCAAUCUUGUGCUUCACAUCAUAUUUAUCAAGCAACAACUUAAGCCAUUUGUUCACAAAGUGAGAACCUUCAUCACUAAUAAUAGCUAUUGGUGUCCCAAAUCGUGUAAACACAUGCUUAUGUAGGAAUCGCAUGACUACCUUAGGAUCUAACAUCUGAUUCGAAAAAUGGUCCUUCCGAGUGGCUUUGUUCAACUUUUUGUAAUCAAUACAGAUUCUCCAACCGAGAAUAGUUCUCGUCGGAAUUAACUCUUUACGCUCAUUUUCAACAAUCGUGAUUCCACCUUUCUUUGGCACACACUGCACCGGACUUACCCACGAACUAUCUGAAAUAGGAUAGAUGAUUCCUGCAUCUAACAGUUUGAUCACUUCCUUUCUCACAACUUCUUUCAUGAUAGGAUUGAGCCUUCUUUGCCCAUCAAUUCAGGUCUUUCACAUUCUUUUAAAAUGAUUUUAUGCAUGCAAAAAGAAGGGCUUAUACCUCGAAUGUCAGCUAUGGUCCAACCAAUUGCUUUCUUCAACUUCUUUAAAAGAACAAUCAGUUAUUCCUCUUGAUCUUUCGUUAGUUCUGCUGAAAUAAUCACAGGCAAAGUAAAAUAGUCACCUAAAUAAAUAUAUUUCAAAUGGGAAGGAAGUACCUUUAGUUGAAGUGUAGGUUGUUCUUCGAUUGACAACUUGGGUUGCACAAAUUCUCUGACUUCUAACUCUAAUAGUUCAAACCGUGUGGAUUGAAUAAAAUUUCUCGGAUUGGCUUCCAUCAAAGCCAUGUUUUUUCACCUUCUUCAUCCUCCAAAGGGUCAAACUCUAAGGCUUUCUCCAAUGGAUCUUCCUCAAAAUUGCUUUCCAUAGAAACCAAGGUUUCUAUCUCUUCCAUAAUUGAACACCCCUCUAUCGGAUCGAGAAAUUUCAUCACUUUAAGAAUGUUUAAGGUUACCUGAUCAUUUUGAACUCGCAUGGUGAGUUCUCCUUUCUGCACAUCAAUUAAGUAUUUAGAGGAGUUGCUAGGACGACCCUUACGGUAGCUAAGUACUAGAUUUCAUCUAUUGAGAGGAUCUUGGAUAAUUUGUACUAUACCCUAGAACAUAAACUUAAGGGUACAGUGUCUCUUUUGAGAAAUGAGGCAUUUUGUUGGUGGAAAUCUAUCAUGGAAGGUACCAAGCCAAAGAAGAUAACUUUGGAUUAUUUCAAAACUGCCUUUCGUAAAAAAAUAUGGGAUCGAGGUAUGUUGAAGCCCGAAAACUUGAUUUUAUUAAAUUGAAGCAAAGGGACCAAACCGUAUCCGAGUAUGAGGCUGAGUUAUUAAGCCUGAACCGGUAUGCACAAGGGGUGGUAGCUUUAGAGUAGAACAACUGUGUUAGAUUUGAGAAUAGGCUGAGGUAUGACCUCAAGGUCCAAGUUGUCAUAUUGUAGGAGAGAGUCUUCGAGACUUUAGUAGAGAAGGUGAAGAUCCUUGAAGAGGUGAAAUAUGAUAAGCAAGAUAGAAGAGAUAAGACCAAGAAUCUAGUGAAGAGAGAUUUUGGUCUGGGAAAUUCUAAUCCAUGCCCAGUGAAGAGGGUCCGUGAAAAUAGACCAUGUCAGUACCCUGCUAUUGCAAGUAACAGAAAUUAGACCCGCAAUUAUGCUUACUGUGGGAAGUCUCACAAUAGGAAAUGUUGAAAGAGCAAGGGAGCAUGUUCUAGGUGUGGGGCGUGGUAAUAACAAAAUGAUAAUAGUGGGUAGAGGACAAAUGGUCAAUGUACGAACUGUACUAAUGUUAGACAGCCCACCUUGGUUUAUGCAGUAAGGCACCAAGAGGACGGUAAUACGGCUGAUGUUAACGCAGGUACUUUUAUAAUAAAUUUUGUACAAUACUUUGCUUUGAUAGAUAUAGGAUCAACUCAUUCUUAUGUUUCCUGCUCUAUGACUGAUAAAUUGGGAGUUCUAGUGGAAAUUAAUGUUAGCGGCAUAACUGUACUCAGUCCCCUAGGAUAAUUUAUGUAUGUGAAUAAAAUAUUUAGGAGAUGUCCUUUAGAAAUUUAGGGUGAGUUGUUUCCAGCUGACUUGAUGGAGCUGCCAUUCAGUGAAUUUGAUCUUAUUUUGGGCAUGGAUUGGUUGAAGGAGCAUCGAGUUAGCCUUGAUUGUGAUACAAAGUUGGUUACUCUGAGGACUUUAACCAGAAAGGAGAUAGUUAUGAUCUAUAAGCACCAAUAUUACUUGUCCAAUGUGAUCUCUACUUUGGUAGCCGAGAAAUUAGUUCAUAAAGGGUACGAUGCAUAUUUGGCGUACAUUCUGGAUAUGAAAGCUGAUGACUCAAUGUUAGAAAGCAUCUGUGUAGUAAAAGAGUUUCCUGACGUCUUUCUAAAAGACUUGCCCGAUCUACCUCCAAAACGCGAGGUUGAUUUUGGGAUUGAGUUGCUGCCUAGGAUAGCUCCGAUGUUUAUUGCUCCCUACUAAAUGGCACCUAAGAAUCUUAAAGCAUAGUUGCAAGAGUUUUUAGACCAUGGUUUUAUCUUGGGGAGCUCCAGUUCUACUCGUGAGGAAGAAGGAAAAUGGUAUGCAUUGAGUGUUAACUCGGUCUUCCUGGAAUUUUCACAACAUUCGUGUUGACAAAAUGUCUAACCUUUUGCCCCGGUAAAACUUCACUCCUUUAUUUCUCCUUCCUCAACCUACACCUGCCAAAGCACCAAACACAACCCUACCACAAGCAAUUAAAAGUACCUAAUAUUUCAACAAAGUCCAAGCUCCUAAUGGAAUGAUGAAGAUAUGAAUGAAAUGUCCUAAAAUGCAACUAAAUGUACCUUGGUGCAAGUAAUUAGCUAGGCCUUAAAGCAUGAAAUAUAAAUUUUUUCAAGAGUUAUCACACCCUCAAACCUGAGUUAUUACUUUUCCUCAAGCCAAAUACAUAUGAAUGCAUGAAUCCAUAAAUUUUUACCCUUCCAUAUAACUAUCUUAUACUAUUAAUCUAUUAAAAGAACAACAUAUACAUCAGUUCUCAGUAGUCUUCUUUCUCUAAAAGCUUGAUUGAAUGUCAAAGGUUCAUUUCAAAAAAGGUAGUGUAGAAAAUUUGUCCCUAAAAAUAAAAUUUCCUAAAUACUCAUGUAUGCUUUCUGGCCAUAACAAAUAUCUCCUAAUGCACUCAGUUCAUUUGUAACCUAAACUAUAACAGCCUAUUUUUAGUGAAAUCGAGACCACAAAUCCUACGUGAAAAUAUUUAUAUUAUUAUUUUAAUGUCUAUGGCAUGUUAAUAGUGUCAUUUGCAUGCUUAAUUUAGUGAGAAUGGCUAAAUUGUAAAAGGUGUAAAAGUAGAGUUCUAGUAGCUAAAGGUAUCAAAUAGCUAUAGAACUUUAAUGUGAGAGUAAUUAGGUGGUAAUUAGACCAUUUAUGUGGUAGUGGAAAUUUAUGGGUUUGGUUUUAUUAAAAUUAGGGAUAUUUUUAAAGGUUAAAAAUGUAAUUAAGUAAAAAAAGGUUAAUAUAAUAAAAACAAAAGAAAGAAAUAAGAUAUCUUCCUAUCUUCAUCCUUAGCUGAAAUAUUCAAGGGAAACCAUAGCUAGGUUUCAGUCAAGCUAUAUUCACCGGUAUGUAAGUGGUUUUUGUUUCGCUUUAAUGAUUUCUAUGUUUUUGAAGUUGUUGUAGCUUAAUCUAGCUAGCCCAGGGACUAAUUUGCAAAACUAUUAAAGGUUUAAGGUUUUACCAUGAAUUUUCUUACAUGAUUUAAGAAGUUUGAUGAAAUAUUAUGAGUCCUUGUGGUUAAAUAAACAAUUUUUGUAAAGUGAUUUUUGAUGAAUUUGUCAUUUAGGGACUUAUUUGUAAAAGUAGUAAAAUACCAUGAUAAAUUUGUGAAAUGUCGAUUUGUAUGAGGUUGUAUGAGCCCCUAGGCAAAUCAACUAGCAUGAUAUGUGGAUGAAAUUGCAUAAAUGAAAAUUUACGAGCUUAAGGACUAAAUUAUAAAGAAGUUAAAAUAUUAGGGGCAAAAAUGUACAUCUGCAAUAGUAUGAAUUUUGGACUAAAUUGAAUAGUAUGUGUAUUAAAAAUAUUGAAUUUUCUUAUUUAGAUAAAGAUAAACCUUGUACGGAUUUAGAUCGAGGAAAGGCUAAAGUCUCAGAUUAGUGAUCCUAUUUUGACGUCUUUGUAAUCAAGGUAAAUUUGUAUGUUUAAAUAACAUUAUAAUGUUAUUUUGAUAUUUAUGCAUUGUAAUAUAUAUCAUGUAAAGAAAUUAUGAGAAUCCAAUGACGUUACAAUGACUAUCGAGCUCCGUUUGAACCUUAGGAAUAUAUAGGAUACAAAUGAAAUGUCAUUAAGGUUACCAUGUUUCGGAUGUUGGUCUUGACUGUCCUACCAAUGGAUGAGCUCUGGAAUUUUUUGCUGAUAUUCGCCAACUUAUGUGAGUGGCAUUGUGUACCAACAUUCUGAUCGUCAACUUGUGUGAGUAGGCCCAUUUAUGGCUUGAGUGAGCAAUGAUGUAAAGGAAAAGGAAUGGUUUCAACCAUAUGUUUAGCAUAUUUUGUGUGAGCUUCCCGCGUAUCCAAUAUUAUUCUAAGUGGUUCAACGGGUAUGAAAUGGGAAGAAACAGUAAGGGUGAGUUUGGAUGGGCGGUGCGUUUACCUGCGGUUAGUGUAAAAACUGCAGUGGCGGUGAGAUUAGAUACUGUAGCGACACUGUAGCGUGAGACAAAAAGUAAGCUAAACGCACCACACCGCACCCAGUCGCCCAUCCAAACCCAUCAUAAGUGCUCCAUUGACUACGUUAUGAACUUAUGGAAAGGUAUGAAUUGAUAAUGAUCAGAGUAUACAUAGUUAUGUUUAUGGAAAGUAUGAAUUCAAAUGUACUAUGUUCAUGAAAUUUACCUUACCAUGUGAUGCUUUUGUUGAGUUAUGUGUUAAGGCACUAACUUAUGUUGUUGAUGAUGCUUGGGCUUGUGUCAAGCUUAUUUUGGAUUGAUUCAUGUUUAAAUUAUGAGGUUUUGCAUUGAAAUGGUAAGCUAUGUUCAUGAUUUACGAACUUACUAAGCAUUAUAUGCUUACGUAGUUUUCUUUUCUAUGUUUUAUAGAUUAUCGGAAGCUCGUUCGCUUUGGAAGUUCGUCAGAGACCUAUCAUACUAUCCGGCGAUUAUAUCAGUAGAUUUUGAUGUUUUGGUCAAGGUUAGAAUGGCAUGUAUAAAUGAACUUCUGCUUAAUGAUCUAGUUGUUUUGGAAUGUAUAAGUGUUAUUAUGGUUGAUGUACUUAUGGUUUUUUGAUGCCUUGAUGGUUGGUGUUAUUAUGGCCAAGAUGUUGCAUGUUUUGAAUGAUCAAUUUGGUAUGUGAUGGUGUAUUUUCAAUAUGGUCAAUUAAGGUAUGUUUUUAGUUGAAAUAAGUAAAAUGUGUAAGGUUGAUGAAUGGUCAAGCAUGCAUAUUUUUUUGUAGGUUUAAUGGAUUGUAAUUAAGGUGUCUUAUUGGCAUAUUGGUUGCAUGGAUUAUUGGUAUAGAGAUUUGGUCAUUUGAUGUAUGUUUUGGGCAUGUUUUAAGGUCUUGAUUAUUUAUGCAAUUGGCUUGUAGGUACAUGUCUAAAUGGGUGAAAGAAAUGGUUUGAUUUUAGCCAAUUCUUGUCCACACAGCCUAAAAUGCCGGCGUGUGUCUCAGUCUAUUGUGACACGGUCGUGUGUCCCUUGUAGGUAUUAAAGGUUUCAAGUCAGGCAGUUACACGGCCUCGCACACGUCCUGGUACAUAGGCGUGUGAGGCCAUUUCGAGUGUUACAUGGCCUGGCACACGGGCGUGUGGCUUGGUCGUGUGACCUAACUUAGAGAGUUACAUAAGCACGAACACAGGCUGGGACACGGCCGUGUGUCCCUAUUUUGAUUGUUACACAGCCUAAGACAUGGGCGUGUGUCUCAGCUAUGUGAGUCAUAUGGCAGUGUGAACCCUGUAGUUUUGAAUUUUCUAACAUUUUCCUGAUUUAGUCCUGAAUCAUUUCUAAAGUGUUUCUAAGGCCUCGAGGGUUCGAAUAAGGGAUGAUAUGAAUGUCUAUGAGUGGAUUAUGCUAUGAUUAUUGUAAUGUUUGGAAAUGAAUGUUUUUAGGUUAUGUUUAUACAGUAAUGCUCCGUAACCCUAUUCUGGUGAUGGAUACGGGUUAGGAGUGUUACAUUUAGUGAUAUCAGAGCUAUGGUUUAGUUGGUUCUCAGACUGAACGUAGCGAGUACGAGUCUAGAAAUACAUGUCAUUAUAUAACCUGUGAUUGUGUGGUAACUCCUAACUCAAUUUGAACUAUACUUUUAUAUAGAUAAUGUCAUCCAACCAAGUCGAUUCUGAUGAGGCUGAAAGUAUCGCGCAAGCCUCUGUUCAUGUAGCAGCGUUGAGUGGAAGUAGACUUGUAUUUAAGGUAUGGGGAGGAGAGGCUAAGGAAACCUUCUUUCAGAUGAUGAAUGAGUGGUUCACCGAUUUUCUACGAACGAACCCGAUGGCUCAACGACCUCAACCCCUACAUAUUCCCCAACCAAUCCCUAUAGUUCCUCAAGGUUUUGAACCAAUACGAUUGAGCAAGCCUCCAGUUGAUAAAAUCCGCAAAUAUGAGGCUGAAGAGUUUAGAGCUACGUCUAAAAAUGAUCCAGAUAGAAUCGAGUUAUAGUUAGAAAAUACAAUCAGGGUUUUCAACAAAUUAUCUUGUACGCCGGUAAAAUGUGUGAAAUUUUUUGUUUCCUUACUGAAAGACUCAACCUAUCAGUGGUGGAAUACCUUGGUUUCAGUUGUGUCAAGAGAAUGAGUAGACUAGGAAUUCUUUCAAACUGAGUUCUAUAGCAAAUAUGUGAGUCAGAGGUUUCUUGACAAGAAACACAAAGAGUUUCUCAAGCUUAAACAAGGCCAGAUGAUACUAUCUGAGUGAGAGACAGGAUUUGUUUGAUUGAGCAAGUAUGCCCGAGAAUGUAUACUGACUGAGAUUGCCAUGUGUAAACGGUUUGAAGAUUUGCUGAAUGAAGACAUGAAGCUGUUAGUCAGGAUUCUAGAAUUGAAAGAAUUUUUUAUUCUAGUUCACCGAGCACACAAAGCUGAAGAAUUGAGUAAAGCUAAAAGAAAAGUUGAUUUAUGAGGCUUGUGAUUCGAGUAAGAGAUCGGCGGGAAAAUCAUCUCAUUUAUCGUCAAAGAAGUCAAAAGAAUAUCAUAAUCGUUCGUUAGCUUCAGUGGGUCAUUCUGGUAGAGAUCGAAGAAAAUAGCAUGCGAAUUUAAAACCUCAGGCUACUCUAUAUCGAGCCUAGCACACGGACGUGUGAAGCCAUUUUGAGUGUUACACGGCCUGGCACACGAGCCACUGGCUUGGCCAUGUGACCAAACUCAGAGAAUUACACGAGCAUGGACAUGGGCUGGAACACGGCUGUGUGUCCCUAAUUCGAUUGUUAGAUGGCCUGAGACAUAGGCGUGUGUCUCAGCCGUAUGAGUCAUACAGCCGUGUGACCCUUGCAGUUUUGAAUUUUCUAACUUUUUCCACAAUGUUUCAAAUGUUCCUGAUUUAGUCCCGAAAUAUUUCUAAAGUGUUUCUAAGGCCUCGAGGGUUCAAAUAAGGGGCGAUAUAAAUGUCUGUAAGUGGAUUAUGCUAUGAUUAUUGUAAUGUUUGGAAAUGAAUGUUUUUAGGUUAUGUUUAUAUAUUAAUGCUCCAUAACCCUAUUCUGGCGACAGAUACAGCUUAGGAGUGUUACAUAAACUCAAGUUACUUUGCUACCCUUGCUCACAACCUUUUCAAGAUAUUUAUUUGUACUCGUUUUUUCUCUUCUUUAUUAUUAUUAUUUUCUUUUUCUUUUCUUUUUUCUUUUAGCAUGUCACAAAAUUCUUUGACUUGAUAUUCACAAUGGAGCAUACACUAAAUUACCUAGCUCUCAAUCAUGUCAUAAUUUAAAUAUAAAUCACUUGUGAAGCUAAGGUUUUUGACUAAAAAGAUGGAUGAAGUAAACAACUACCUUCUUAGCUACUCAGUCUGUUGCUAUAGUGAAGUACCCAUUUUCUUUAUUACACACUAUUACUUGGACUCACCUUUCUAGUCAACAGCACAGUGGAGCAAAUAAAAUGGUGCUAACUUACUCAACAAUUUUAAGCAUUGGAGUGCCUAUUGUCCUUUAUUUAAGUAAUGUCGUGGCAAAAUGACUGAGUUUGGCUUCAAAAACCCUAAAUUCAUCAAAAAGCCCUUGCUAUUAAUCAAAAAGGGAAAAAAACUAAGUAUAAGACAUCUCAUUUUUAAGAAUUAAUUUUCACGCAAUCUAACCUAAGCUAAACUCGCCUCAUCCACUAUCACAUGUUUUAGAUAUACUGAAGAAUAUAAGCUCAUCAUCGAACAUCACAAGUACAGAUUGAAUUUCUCGCAGAUAAAACAGUAUUUAAUAAUCACAUGGCAUUGGAAAACAACUUAACUAUACUAGGAUGAACAUACAUACUAGAUACGUAAUGCAACCUAAAUGCACAAUACAUCACCCCAAACUUAAGGGAUGCAUUAUCCUCAAUGCAUGAAUAGAUAUAUGCAAACUAUCUAUGUACAGACAAUGUCAUGGCAAAAUAUAUGCAAUGCAAUAUGUCUGAAAUAAAACGAAAACUUUCCUUGCUUGGACUACAUUAUAGAUACUUCAUUAUGUCUGACGAGUUGAUUUAUGAGCAGCAACCUUGUACCUUUACUUCCUCUUCAUCCUCACAGUCAGUCUCAAUACUGACAAACUUUAUUUUCUCUGGUUCUUUCUCUGAUGCUUUAGGUGCAUUCUCUUAAUUGGUAGGAUUUGUCGAUGGGUUCUGCGUCACCGACCCUAUCCCCUCUUGCAGUUUAUUAAACAAAGGAAAUAAAAUAACUAAGAGAAAUUUAAAUCGACAAAAUAAAAUAAAAAUAAAAAGAAUUUUCAAGAUGUUGAAGUUAAACAUCUCAAAGAUCAAAGGACUAUUUGUCUCACUCUACAUAAGCACCCCAAUAGUGUUUCAAGCGUUGUCCAUUAACUUUAAAUGUGUCCCCUAUUUUCAUGUACUUGACAUCAACAACUCCAUGUGGGAUAUAUAUGAGCUACCAAGCAUUAUUCAUCAAAAUUGAAAGGUUUAUUUUGCUCCAGCAAAGUGUAUAAGGGUCUCCGCUCAAAUGAAUCUUUAUCACUAUCAAAACUGAUGUGGCAAUAUAUCAUGAACUCUUCCUCCACUACUGUUUCUAUUAAGUCAAUGGCAUGGCAUUCUUUAUUAUCAUCAAAAUAUUUCAGUGCAUUAAAUAAAUUUAAUGUGACCUAUUGAUCAUUCAUCCUCAUGGUCAAUUCACCUUUCUACACAUCAAUUGAAGUCCUGCCUGUAGCAAGAAAAGGCCUUCCAAGAAUAAUUGGCACAUCUUUGUUAGCUUCACAAUCUAAAAUAAGGAAAUCAGCUGGAAAAAUAAACUUAUCUACUCUUACCAACACAUCUUCAAUUUUACCUUCUGGAUGUGCAUAGGAUCGAUCAGCCAGUUGUAAUGUAACUGUAGUAAGUCUAGUUUUUCCAAUUCCCAGCUUCCUGAAAAUAGACAGCAAUAUUAGAUUUAUACAUACUCCUGAAUCACAUAAUGCAUUACCAACAUAAUGAUUUCCAAUUAAACAUAAAACAGAGAAACUCCCUAAGUCCUUCAACUUUGGAGGUAAUUCAUCAACAUUGUUGUGCACCCUUAAGUGAAAGCAAUAGUCUCAAGUUCUCCCAUUCUGUGCUUCUUCGACAGUAUAUCCUACAUAAAUUUCAUAUAGUUUGGCAUUUGCUCCAAAUCUUCUACUAGUGAUAUAUUAAUAUGUAGUUGCUUCAAGACCUCCAAAAACCUUUUGAACUGAACAUCUUGUUUAGAAUUAUGUAAUUUCUGAGGAAAAGAUAGAGGUGGUCGCCCUUCAGGUUUCUGAUAUUGUUUUCCUAUAGCGUUUUUAUUGGCAGCCUGAUCUAGUUCUGCCACAGCAUUCUUCUGCUUACCCUUUUCAAGUGUAAUAUGUUUUUCAGAUGGCUUUGGGAUCUUCACAUGGUUGUUAUUUGAGUUAUCCUCUCCUGCUGUGGCAUCUUGAACAACAUCAUUUAACUGAGUUCCACUUCUAAGAGUGAUCACUUUGCACUGUUCUUUCCCUUAUGUUAUCCAAUUCUAGGUAUCGUUGGCAAUGCUCCUUGUGGCCUCAAAUUUAAAGCAUUUGCUAUUUGCCCCACUUGAUUCUCAAGAGCUCGUAGGGACAUAGCUUGACUAAGGUAUCUUUCUUGGCCAUAAAUUAUUUCAACAAGUCUUCAAUAGAUGGUGAUGAUAAUGACUGGCCUUGUUGUACAUUUUGCCUCAGCAUAGGAUGAUUAUAACUAGGCGAUGCACUAUCGGCAUUCUUCUUGUAGCAUUGUUAAAAUUCCCCUCACCUUGAUUAUUCCAACUAAAGUUUGGAUGUUGUCCCCACCUUGGAUUAUAGGUGUUGGAAUAGGGAUUAUUAUUCCAAUUGAAAUUACCUAUGUAGCACAGGAAUGUUGGGUUUGGUGGGAAUUCAUCCAACACGUGGUCAUCACCACAAUAAACACAUGCUAGCCUAAUAGCUUUCACCUCCUGAACUGUAGUUGGUAUCUCUAUCAUCUUGAUCAUAUUAGUUAAAGAUGAAACAUGGGUAGUCAAUGAAGUGAUUGUAUCAAGUUCCAUGGUACCAGCAGCUUUCUUACCUGUUCAAACUCUCGUGGUAGGAUAUUGAUAAUCAUUGCUGGCAAUCUUUUCCAAAAUCUCAUAUGCUUCAUUAUAAGAUUUAUCCAACAAAAUACCAUUGGUGAAGGCAUCAAUUACCAUCCUCAUAUGCGCAUUCAUUCCAUUAUAAAAUAACUCCAUCUGUGUCUAGUGCUGAAAUCCAUGCAUCGGGCACUUCUGAAUGAAGUCUUUAAAUCGCUCUCAAGCUUCAUAUAGCGUUUCAUCAUCCAAUUGCCGAAAAGAUGUGAUGUCAUUUCUAAGCUUGGCAUUCAUAUUUGGAGGAUUAUAUCGUAGAAAAAAACUCUAGCAAAGAUCAUUCCAUGAUGCUACUAUUCAGUACGGCAGAGCAUUCAGUCAUGCUCUCACACGAUCUCUUAAAGAAUAUGGAAACAGUUUAAGUCGCAAAGUGUCUUUAGGCACACCCUACUGUCUCUAUGAGUCAUAAACCUCUAAAAAAAGUCUUAAAUGAAGUAUUGGAUCUUUAUUAGGUAAUCCACUUAACUGUCCUACUGUUUACAACAUCUAAAAUAUUACCAGUUUCAGCUCAAACUACUGAACUUGUAUUUGUGGUCUGACUAUCUCUGGAUUCAAAUCAUCCAAAAUUAGCACAACAUGCUCUCAAAUUGGUCUAUCUCGGUCAUCUAUCACUCUACGAACAUGAAGAUUAGCAUCCUGACCAUUCAAAUUAUCAUUGAGACUAGGAUCAUUUUCGUUUCUAGCAUCAUAGUUCUUUUCACCUUCUUCGUAAAGUUAUUUCGAUGUCUGGGUUAAAAGGAUACUCUUUGUUAGCAGGAAUAUCUUUUCUCAUGUACUGAUGGAAAACUUAUAGAAAAAUAUAACUAAGUUAAAUAAAACUAAUGGAGCUAAGUGAAAUAACAAAACCAAUUUUUAGGAAAUUGUCAAUCCCUGGCAACGGUGCCAAAAAAUUGUCGCGUGUGAAUAUGAUAUGUGAAUUGUGCAAGUAUACACGUUGGAUCAACUAAUAAAAUGAUAAGUGAGUAUCAUUCCCAUGAGGUUCCGAUUGAUGCACAAAAGUGGUCAAGUUAUUAUAAUAGAGUGUUAUUAAUGCUAUGGCAAAAACAACGAUAAGUAUAAAGGAGUAGUGAUGUAUGUAAUAUGUGGAAUUUAAUGAAUACAUGGAAAUGUUAUGGAAAAACAAAAGUAGAAAUGUAAUGGAAAUUAUGAGAAUUACUACGGGAAUAUUAUGUAAAUGAACAAAUAAAUAACUAAUAAUGAUGUGACAAAGAUACUAUGGCAAAGAACAAAGGAUAUACGAUGUUGAUUUGGAAUGUUGGAAUUACUAAGAAUCUACCCUUACUGUCAGAGAUGCCUCGAAAAAAUCAUAAUUAAUUUACUACUUAGAAGAGUUCUAAAGUGGUCUGCUUCUUUCGAGAGCAAAAGUCUCAAGUUACCUUACCCAUGACAAUAUGCCUUUAAUACGAUACCCUGCACUAUUUCUUUCUGUAUGAAUGUUGCUCUAUAUCUAAAGUCUACUACAAGCAUCUAUUGAAUACUUGCUCAUAUCAUUCAAUUUUGGUCCAACUAAUCCAACUUUUUCAAAAUUAAAUUAGUUUAUGUGCAUGCUACAUAGUCUCUAUGUCUAGGAAUUGCACGCUUAUAAUUUAGAAAAAAAUAAUUAAAUGAAACAGUAAAUUAAUUCAAAUCUAUGCUUCAACCAUUAAAGAAAAUAAAGGUUUCAUCAUGUAAUCUCAACCCUAUGAAAUUUAGCUCAUGGGUUGGCACAUAAAAUUUAAAACCAAAAUAACAUCCAACACCAUUUUCAUCAUUCCAUUCAAGGAAGAACAAAGGAAGAAAAGUAUAAGACUUUGAGAAUACAACUUUUGCAUGUCAUGUUCACACUCCAACAACAUAAUUCAGGCGAUGGCUAAGAGGGACUACUUUUGUCUUCCUCUUUUUGUCUCUACUCAGUCGCUACCCUCUAUUUUUGCCUAAGGAUCUGUUACUUUUUGUUCGUCAUUUAGGGUUUCCUCCUUUGGCUUCUUAUAGCUUUUUUCCUUGGGUAAAUCCAACAAAUCAUGUUUAUCUUCUCCUCUUUUUAAAAUUUUUUUUCUAGAAUAAAAAUAAACAUCCCAGGAUUAUCUUCUCCUCUUUUAGGUACAUUUUUUUGGUAAAACUACAGUUGGGCUGAAAUUGGUAUGCAUUGAGUGUUGACUCGGUCUUCCUAGAAUUGCCACAGCAUUCGUGCUAACCAAAUGUCCAACCUUUUGCCCUGGUAAACCUUUACUCCUUUAUUUCUCAUUCCUCAACCUGCACCUGCCAAAGCACCAAACACAACCCUACCAUAAGCAAUUAAAAGUAUCUAUUAUUGAUUUUUUUUGGUAAGUGGUAAUAGGACUUGUAACUAAUAUAGUUUUGGAAAAAAUAUAAUUUUUUUAGAAUCUUUGAGGCAUAUUUUCGAUUGGUAAAUGAGGAGUUUUGAAUCAUAAAAUUAUGAUUUUAUGUUCUACCCCAUGAGACCUUUACAACGAGAUAUCAUAUGCUCAAAAUGGUUGAGUGAUGAAUGAGAAAUUGAUGCUCAAAGUAAGCUACUUGGAAAUUAUGUUGAGAAAAAUGAAAAAGCAUUAAUCCCACAUUUAUUAGGAAUCAAGUGUGGAACUUGUAUAUAUAUGUAAAUCAACUUGGUGGUUAUUAAAUGAGUAAACUAAUGCUCUCCCUCGUGCGCAGGGGGUGCAAAUCUAAAUCCACUGAGGUUGGGGCACACCCGCACGACAUGGGCGUUUCCAAGAUUUUACUCAAAUUGAUUUAAAGGCUUCUUUAAUGCAUAUUUGUAUCUUUAUUCAUGGAAAUUUCUAAAAUUCUUCCACAUUGAAUGCUUAUAAAAGCCUAAAUUCUUUAAAGACACACAACGAAUUUAUUUCACUCUCGAAAAUUCUAUUCCUUUUCUCUCCAAAAUUUUCAAAUGUCCGGUGAUAGAAGAAUGCAAGGUUUGUUCGUUGAUCACUGCAGACGUACUACUGCCGCAAUCAUUUUGUUAUUGUAUCCUGGGAGACAGAUGACCAACAUUUCUCUAAGUACCAUAGGAGCAGCUGAAUCUGUCUUAAGGAAACUGUGAAAACAGGCCUCAGCAUCUAGUAAAACUCGAUUUCCUUAUUCAAUUUCUGGUUUUUCAAUAUCUUGUUUAUAUAAUUAUUUUUUAGAUUUGAUGUUUUAAAUAAAUAUUAAUAUUUAUUUAAUUUAUUUUGUUUAGAUCUGGUGUUUUUACACAAAUAUAGAUAUUUGGUUAUAUUAUUUGUUCAAGAUAUUAUAUUUAAUAUAAAUAUUUACAUUUAUAUUUGUUCGCUAACGUGUUUUGUCCAACAAUAUUAAGACAGAUUUUUAUUAUUUUAAAAUUCUCUAAUCCGAGUAGAACGAGGCACGAAGGCGAAAAAAACAUAUUCUGUCUAAGGAAAAAAUUAAAUUGAAUAAAAUCUAUUUCGGGAUUUAUGAUUGUCGUUCAAUAGAUUUUAUUCCUUUUUUAUUUUGUUUCCAAACAAGAAUUAAUUGAAUAAUUCUAUUUCAGAAUUUAUUCUCGCAUCUCAACAGAUUUUAUUCUAUUUUGAUUUUGUUUCCAAACAAUAAUUAAAUAAAUAAUUCUAUUUCGAGAUUUAUUCCCGCCAUUUAACAGAUUUUAUUUGAUUUUGAUUUUGUUUCCAAACAAGAUUUAAUUAAAUAAUUUUGUUUCAAGAUUUAAUCCUGUCGGCCAACAAAAUUGAUUUUAAUUUUAUUUCAGAAUUUUAACUCUUCCAUUUAACAAAAUCAAAGGGUAAUAUAAAUUUUAAAUUAAAUUUUUUAUUUAUUGUGGCUUUAAUUGUGGCUUUAAAUUGUGAAAGCUUAAAUUGUAGCUUCAAACUUGUGACAUCAAAGAAAAAAAAAUUUAUCAACGGUGAAUUAAAAAAGACAAUAUGAGAGUGCAUGUCUAGGAUUGGUUCUUUGAAAGACUUGGUAUUUAAGCGUGCCAAGUGCACCACCUCUCUUUCAGGGUUACCUACCUGGCACAUUUUUUUUGUCUUUCGAUUAGACCGUGUAAACUUUUGUUUCAAGUUUUAUUAAAUUCCUAUCGUCUAGCAAAAGUUGAUAAUUUUUUUCUAAUUUUGGUUUUGUUUCUGAAAUCUUAACAGAAAAUGGAAACUCCCACCAAUGCUAUGGAAGAUAUGGACUUAUGUGCUGUGAUUUUUGGAGUCAACAUGGUUGACUCACAUCCAAGAGAAUAGUGGCUUGAUACUAGUGCCACACGUCAUAUUUGUUGUGACAAAGACUUCUUUUCUGAGUUGGAGCCUUGUGAAGAUAGGGAGAAGCUCUAUAUGGGCAAUGCUAUGACUUCCAAGAUCAAGGAGAAUGGUACUAUAGUCUUGAAGAUGACUUCUGGUAGAGAACUCAAGCUUCAAAAUGUGUUGUAUGUGUUUGACAUACGCAAGAACCUUAUUUCUGAGACACUCCUUAGUGUACACGGUUUUAAGACGGUGUUUGAAUCCCAGAAGCUAGUUUUGUCUAAAGGGUGAAUGUUUGUGGGAAGGGGAUAUGUAUUAAAUGACAUAUGGAAACUUAAAGCAAUCUCUGUAAAAUCAAAAACUAUGAAUAAGAGUGUUGUUUCUUCUUCUAUUUAUAUGCUUGAGUCAUUUAAUUUAUGGCAUGGUAGGCUCGGACAUGUUGAUUAUGAUACUUUACAUAGAUUAAUUAAUUUAGAGCACAUUCCUUCAUUUCACAUUAGUUAUAAACAUAAAUGUGAAACUUUUGUUGAGGAAAAAUUAACAAUGCUUUCGUUUGAAACUAUUGAAAGAAAUAUAGAACCACUCGAUCUAAUACAUAGCAAUGUUUGUGACUUAAUGUUUGUUCAAACCAGAGGAAGGAAUAAAUAUUUUAUUACCUUCAUUAAUGAUAGCACAAAAUAUUGUUAUGUAUAUUUGCUUCAGAGCAAAAACGAAGUUAUAGAGAAAUUUAUUCUCUAUAAACAGGAAGUUGAAACCUAACUUAAUAACUAAGAUGGUAAGAAGUGAUUGUGGUGGUAAAUAUGUUGAACCAUUUAGUGAAUACUGUGCACAACAUGGUAUUAUUCAUGAAGUGACACCACCAUACACUUCUCAAUCAAAUGGAAUAACCGAGCGAAAAAAUCAGACUCUAAAGGAAAUGAUGAACGCAUUACUAGGAAGCUCUGGGUUAUCACAGAACAUGUGGGGGGAAGCUAUUCUAUGAGCUAAUUACCUUUUAAAUAAGGUUCCCUACAAGAAAAUGGACAAUACACCAUAUGAGUUAUGGAAAGGUAGAAAACCUUCCUACAACUACUUGAAACUGUGGGGGUGUCUUGCAAAGGUAAUGGCUCCAUUACCAAAGUAAAUGAAAAUAGGUCUUAAAACGGUGGAUGUAUUUUCAUAGGCUAUGUAGAUCAUAGAAAUACAUAUAGGUUUUUUGUGUAUGAAUCAAAGAAUCCUGACAUUCACAAGAAUAUUAUAUUGGAAUCAAUGAAUUCUUUAUUCUUUAAAAAUAUCUUCCCUUAUAAAGCUAGGGAAGUUUAUUCAAGUUCAACAAAAUGAACUUCAGAGACUAUAGAAGAAAAUAGUCAAGACGAGGUUAAAACUAUGAUAGAGCCAAGAGUAAACGAGUAACACUGCAAAAAUCUUUUGGAUCAGAUUUUCUAACCUUUAUGCUAGAUGCUAAACCUCAAACAUGUGAUGAUGCUAUACGGUCAUCUAAAAGCACUUCAUGGAAAGAUGCUAUUAAAAGUGAAAUUGACUCCAUCAUGUAAAAUCAUACAUGAGAAUUAGUGGAUCUUACUCUAGGAAUUAAACCAUUAAAUUCUAAGUGGAUUUUUAAAUGAAAAAUGAAAGCAGAUGAAACAAUUAACAAGUACAAGGUCAGAUUGGUUAUAAAAGGUUAUAGAUAAAAAAGAAGGCCUACUUUGAUACUUUUUCUCCAAUAUCCAGGAUAACUUCUAUAAGGAUGAUACUUGCAAUUGUCGCCUUAUAGAAUCUAGAAGUACAUCAAAUGGAUGUUAAAACAACUUUCCUAAAUGGAGAUCUUGAUGAAGAAAUUUACAUAGAACAACCUGAGGGUCAUGUAAUUCUAAGACAAGAAAGGAAAGUUUGUAAAUUGGUGAAGUCUUUAUAUGGACUUAAGCAAGCACUAAAACAAUGGCAUUAAAACUGUUCGACAAUGCCAUGAUGACAAAUGGCUUUAAGAUUAAUGAAUGUGAAAAUUGUGUGUAUGUCAAAACUACCGAUAUUGGAUAUAUAAUCCUAUGCUUAUAUAUUGAUGACAUAGUCAUUGUUGGGAGUAACAAUGAAAUGGUAAAACGUGCCACAGACAUGUUAAAUUCAACGUUUGACAUGAAAGAUAUGGGACUAGCAAAUGUGAUUUUAGCAUCCAAAUUAAGAGGUCAUAUGAAGGUCUGAUAUUGACUUAGCCACACUAUGUGGACAAGAUUCUUGGGAAAUUUAGCAAGGAUGAUUCCGGUAUAGCCAAAACUCCAAUAGAUACAAGCCAACAUUUGUCCAAAAAUAAAGGUGAAAGUGUUGACCAAGUGGAAUAUGCAGGGGUCAUAGGCAGUCUAAUGUACCUUAUGAGUUGUACUAGACCAGAUAUUGCUUUCACUGUGAGCAGUUUAAGCAUAUUCACAAGCAAUCCAGGGGAAAACCAAUGGAAAGUAAUUGUGAGGAUACUGAGAUAUCUUAGAUAUACUCGGGACUAUGGAUUGCAUUAUUCCAAAAAUCCUAUUGUUUUAGAAGGAUUCUCCUGUGCCAGUUGGAUAUCUGAUAUUCAAGAUACCAAAGGCACAAGUGGAUAUGUUUUUACAUUAGGAGGAGGAGCUAUGUCAUGGAAAUCCCCAAGACAAACGAUUAUAACCAGAUCCAUAAUAGAAUCUGAGUUUGUAGCUCUAGACAAAUCUGGAGAAAAGGCUAAAUGGCUUCGAAACUUCUUGGAAGAUAUUCCUGACUGGCCAAAGCCUGUGCCCACAAUAUGUAUAUAUUGUAACAAUCAAGCAACAAUUGGUAGAGCACAAAAUGUAAUAUAUAAUGGUAAGUCAAGACAUAUGCGUCGUUGACACAAUACUUGUAGACAACUGAUCUCAAAUGGAGUUAUCUCUAUUGAUUUUGUAAAAUCAAAAGAUAACAUUGUGGAUCCGCUAACUAAAUGCUUAAAUCGAGAUCAGGUUAAUAAAACAUCGAAAGGAAUAGGACUAAAGCCCAUGGAAAUUAAAGGCGCUAUGUAAAGGAAAACCCAACCUAGUUGACUGGAGAUCCCAAAAUCUAAGUUCAAAUGGACAACCUAAUUGCAUAGGCCUUGUGAGGUCACUAUAGGGGUUCUUAUUCCAAGUCCGUUCCUAUGAAAUAAACAGUAAUUUAAAGUGAGAUAGGUUAAGUAAAGCUUUUAAUGACCAUUGUGUGUUUCGGAAAGCCAAGCAACAUAAGUCACCUAUGUUAGAGUGAAGUGGGGCCGCUUCGAGGAGACUAUUGUGCAUAGUUCUCUCAAAAUCUUGCAGAACCAGGAAAUGUUCAUGGUCAUAUAAACAUACCUAUGAGAACGAAGACCUUGCUAGGGAGGUAGUUGUGUAAGGUAUAUCAUUGUUUACACAAACGACAGAACAGUUCAAGGAUAUUGCGUCAACUAGUCAGCUAGUAAAAUAAAUAUACUUUCACAAUGUAAGGUUCAAGGGUUGAUGUCUGCCUAUCAUAUGCAACUAUCAAUCGUAGAAUCUAUCACCACAUCCAGCCAAUGUUUUUCAUUAAACCUAUCAAUUUCAUUCAUGUGGGGUAUUGUUGGAAAAAUAUGAUUUUUUGGAAUCUUUGAGGCAUAUUUUCGAUUGGUAAAUGAGGAGUUUUGAAUCAUAAAAUUAUGAUUUUAUGUUCUACCUCAUGAGACCUUUACAACGGGAUAUCAUAUGCUCAAAAUGGUUGAGUGAUGAAUGAGAAAUUGAUGCUCAAAGUAAGCUACUUGGAAAUUAUGUUGAGAAAAAAUGAAAAAGCAUUAGUCCCACAUUGAUUUGGAAUCAAGUGUGGAACUUUUAUAUAUAUGUAAACCAACUUAGUGGUUAUUGAAUGAGUAAACUAAUGCUCUCCCUCGCGCGCAGGGGGUGCAAAUUCAAACCCAUCGGGGUUGGGAAACACCCGCACGACGUGGGUAACGCGAAAUGUCCGGAUCGAUCAGGCCCUUUUAGGCCUGCGAAUAUUUUAGCCCAAUACGUAUUUAUUUAUUUUUUUGAGCAGAUAUUAUACAGAAUCUGUUUUAAAAGAACAAAUAUCUCAUUUUGAUUUGAUUCCAAUCAAAUUUGAUUUUAUUUUAUUCAAAUUGAUUUAAAGGCUCCCUUAAUGCAGAUUUGUAUCUUUAUUCAUGAAAAUUUCUAAAAUUCCUCCACAUUGAAUGUCUAUAAAAGCCUAAAGAAUAUUGCAGAAUUCUUUAGAGACGCACAACGAAUUUAUUUCACUCUCGAAAAUUCUAUUCAUUUUCUCUCCAAAUUUUUCAAAUGUUUGGUGAUAGAAGAAGGAAAGAUUUAUUUAUUGAUCACUGCAGAAGCACUACUCCCAUGAUCAUUUUGUUGUUGUUUCUUGGGAGACAGACGAUCAACGUUUCUCCAAGUACCAUAGGAGCUGUCGAGUCUAUCUUACGGAAACUGUGAAAACAGGCCUCAACAUCUAGUAAAAUUCGAUUCUCUUAUUCGAUUUCUAAUUUUUCAAGAUCUUGUUUAUUUAAUUAUUUUUUAGAUAUGAUGUUUUAAAUAAAUAUAAAUAUUUAUUUAAUUGAUUUUGUUUAGAUCCGGUGUUUUUACAUAAAUAUAAAUAUUUGUUUAUAUUAUUUGUUCAAAAUCUUGUAUUUAAUAUAAAUAUUUAUAUUUAUAUUUGUUCACUAAGGUGUUUUGUCCAAACUAUAGCUUCUCAAUAAUUGUCAAAUAUUAUAGUGAUAUGCUUUUUCUUUCAAUAAUUCAUAUCUUCAAGAUUAAAAGGUUUACUUUAGUAUUAUUCUAUUUAUUGAGUGUGUAUUAAUGUUUUGUACAGGAAUCCGUUGGAUUUUGGUCUUGUAUAAAUUAGCUGUGGUUGUGGGUAAAUAAAUGUGUGCCGUUCUUCAUUCUCCGAACAUGCUGAAUAUAAUUAUUGGCAUUUCAAGUGUGGCAUAAUAUAAAACAAUGGUUGGCUUCAUCAUAAUCUGUUUGGAGACUAACGGACCACACUUUGACCUCCAAAUUUAGAAAAUAUUUCCAGAGUUGGAAAUUGUAAUUGUAAUACCCUAAUAUUUGUACACCGCAGUGAACAUGGACAAUCAUGUCAUGAUGCAGAACCAGAAAAUGGUGCCAACUCUCCUUCUUCUCCCCCUCUUUCUUCCAAAACUAUAUCCUCGAAAAUGGUGACAUCAAACUUCCUUUCGUUUAUCAAAGGUUCACCCCUCACAUUACAGGGUCCUGUUCGUAUCUCAAGGCAAUCAAACAUGGAAUCCAUAUAUAUGAUUCUUCCCCAAUCCUUGUUGUAGAUUCUUUGGGGAUACAAGCCUUUUUGUUUGUAUUUAAAUACAAAAAAGGGAGAAAGAAAAGUGCCAUCUACAACUGCAUGCUAAUGAUUGCCAAAAUCACUGUUUGUUUUGUUGGAAGGCUUUCAAUCUUGCGGGGUCUUGAAGAGCCUGUUUCAGUAACUUGCCAUUAAUUCUCUCUUACAUUCCAAUCCUAAAAAAUGCUUCCAUCUUUUAGCUGCAACAGUUUAUAAUCAUCAGAAAGGUCUAGUCAGAAUAAUAUUACCUUCUCCUUUUAAACAGUUUUUUUUUUUUAAAUCAUGCCACUACAACUGUAGCUGCGCUCAUGUUAACAAUUAAUUCCUAUAAUCGACAUCAAAAUUAUAUGAAAGAAUUAACACUUGGUUACCGAGUUACCAUAUUUGAAGAUAACGCGAAAGGUAAAAACACAAAAGGCAAGCAUGACCAAGCAAACAAGGUAUGGACAUUGAUUUUUUUGAAUCGGGAAUGACCAAAUGGGACCGUGAAGAGGUGACAAAGGAGAAAUCAGGCAUUCACGGUUUCCAUUGGAUGAAAUGAGAUAAGAUCACUGUGCUUCUUCCACGUGGCAGGUUGCCAAAGAUAAGGCUUUACCAUUCAAGAAAAGUUUCCACCCUCUUUGUGGUCAUUAUGGUUGUAAUGUCAUCUGAUUUAGGAUCCAACGGUCACCCUGUCUCCCAAACCAAUCUCUAAAUGUGGUGAGCUUAGACCAAAUUUUAUGACUAUAUAUAGGGGAUUGCACCAAGGCAGUGACACUAUUAAGGGAUCAGUGAGACUCUUUUGUAUACCUGUAGCAUAUAGUAAUAGUAAGCAGUAAUAGCAAUGGCCUCCUCCAUGAUCUCAUCGGCAACCAUUGCCACCGUGAACCGCUCCUCCCCGGCACAGGCCAACAUGGUGGCCCCCUUCACCGGCCUCAAAUCUGCCUCUGCUUUCCCAGUCACCAGGAAGGCCAACAACGACAUCACUUCUCUUGCAAGCAACGGUGGGAGAGUGCAAUGCAUGCAGGUACUUGGUGAUGCAUAAAUACCACUUAAAUUACCCCAAGUGUUUGAACACAACAAAUUACAUAAAUUGAAUCAAAUAUAUAUCUUGGCUUUUGAGUACAGGUGUGGCCGCCUCUUGGGAAGAAGAAGUUCGAGACUCUCUCAUACCUGCCCGAUCUUACUCCCGUACAGUUGGCUAAGGAAGUAGAUUACCUUCUUCGCUCUAAAUGGAUUCCUUGCUUGGAAUUCGAAUUAGAGGUGUUUUGGAGCUCUAAAUUAUUCCAUUCCUCCUCUUAAUUUUUUUAGUGGGAUAUUUGAGUUGAUUAAGUGUGUUUUAUAUGUAUGUGCAGGAGGGAUUCGUGCACCGUAAGUACUCGAGCUUACCCACGUACUACGAUGGACGCUACUGGACCAUGUGGAAACUGCCCAUGUUCGGGUGCACCGACUCGGCUCAGGUGUUGAAGGAGCUUGAGGAAUGCAAGAAGGAAUACCCCAAUGCAUUCAUUAGAAUCAUUGGGUUCGACAACGUUCGUCAAGUGCAGUGCAUUAGUUUCAUUGCCUACAAGCCUGAAGGCUACUAAGUUGUUUACUUCCCUCCUAGGAAUUCCAUUUGUUUCAAAGUUGUACUUAAAUUAAGCCCCUCAAGCCCCCCCCCCCUUUUUCUUUUUCUUUUUUAGUUGAGUUAUUUGGCUUGGGGUCUCUCUUUGUUUUGUUUUUGGAUUUCCAAUGGAACGGCUGAGAACUAAUGAAUAAAAAGGUAGUUUCUUGCCAUAUUUCAUGAAUCCAGUUCUUCCUCCAUUUUCAGUGCUAAGAUAUUCAUGUUAAGAUAGGAUAAAAAUUAAAAGAAAAAAAGGUGAUUGGGUGGUCUGGCUUUAAAAUAAGAGGAUAAAGAUUUUGUGGACAAGCAACGCUGUGCUGUUGGAGGCUCAUUAUCUUAGUACAUAGGAAUACACCAAAGAAACCAUUUUUAUUAAAUUGUUUUAUUAUGACAUCACAAGUUUCUAUUAUUAAAAUAACAACUUAAAAAGGCUAAAUUCAAAUAUAUAUAUAUAUAUUCUGCAUUCAAUCUAUUUCCUCGUUAAAUAUUAAAAUCACUAUUGGUAUAGUGAUAAAUGAUUUGCAUUACAUAAGUUUUAGUUGACAUCUUCGAGCUUAAUUUAAAAAUAAUAAUAAUAAAUUUAAUACAUAAUAUAUUUUUAUUUUAUCAUUUUCACCCUAAAUUUUUUUUAAAGUCAAAUAAUAGUUUGUUUUGAAUAGAAAAAUUGAAGAAACUAUUAAAUUUUUAAUAACACCAUGUGACAAUUUAUAUGACAGUUUACAUAUAUUUCAUUAUUUAUGUAGAUAAUUUUUUAAAAGAAAUUACAAUUUUUUUAAAAAUAUUAUUUUUAAUUUUAUAAAUUACAUCAUGCAAACUAUUGCAUCAAUGCCAUUUAAAUUUAAAAGAUGUAGUCACUUUUUCCAUCUAAAAAAAGCAAUUUAACUAAUUUUCAAGGUUGACGGUAAAAUAUCCAAAAAAAAUAAAAUAAAACUAAAAUACUAAAAAAGUAUUGAAUUUAUUAUUAUUUUAAAAAUAAUGAUUAUGAUUUUCUUUAUUAGUUUUUAACCCAACAUGGAAAAGGAAAACCAUAAUAAUGCUUAUUAAUUAUAAUAUUGAAUAAUACUAGUAGCUCUAUGUUCUUAAACUCAAUUUCAUUACAAAAAUUGUAACUCAAAGGGUUAGGAUUUUUUGUUUUCUAAUUUGUGAUUAAUUAGUGGACUAUAAUUUCCAUUCUCUUUUUUAUAUAAAAAAAACCCUAAUAUUAAGGAUAGCUACAUUUGUGGAGGAACCAAAAGAUAGAGAAAUUCAGAUAAGAAUUGUCUCCCUCUCCCUCUCAGUCGAAGUGCGUCAAUAAUUGGAAUAGAGCUCUAAAAAUGCAAUUCUAGAAAAAAAAAUUUGCCUAUCAGAUAUUAGUUUAAAUAUUGGUUAAAUUGCAAUUCGAAUAAGUAAUUAGGAGUAGAAAAUAUAAAAAAUGACACUAACGUAAUUCAAAAAAUUUCACCAUGUAUAAGGUUUUGCUCAAAAAUUGACAUUAAAAAUUUGUUCGCACGGUUCAAAAAAAAUUUCCAUUUAUAAGGUCUUACUUAAACAUUAAAAUAUAAUUUAAAUUAAACUCACUCUCAUUAAAUUUUUUUUAAAAAAAAGCUUAGUUAUAAACUAAUCGAUAAAAAUAUAUUACUUACAAAGAAUUUACACUCAGAUAGAUUUCUAAUAUAAACAGAAUAAAUACUCUCUCAACUCCUCUAAAAAAAUCGAAAAUACAUUUAAAUAGGCAUUAUGGUAAUUUUUAAAAUGGUAAUGUGAUCAAAAUGAAUAUGGGAAAUCUCAUUUCAAUUAAAUAACUUAUUAUAAAAUAUAAUAAAAGAGAUUUUCUUAAAUCAAUCUCUUUUAAAUGAGGUAGGCAUAUUACAUAAAGAUUCUUUGAAAUUUUUCACUUCAUUCAAUUUUUUUCAAUAUUGUAAUUUACUUAAAAAUAUAUAAAUAUAUACAUGUUAAGUAAAUUAUAAUAUUUUGUCGACUUUUGGCCUUUCCUUAAGUCGCAACUAACAUUAUAACUGAUGUUAACAAAAUUCAUAAUUGUUUCUCUACCAUGUGUAGCCUAAAAAUGUUAAGAUUAGAGAAGCAAUACGUAAAAGAUAAAGAAAAGAACCAUAAAAGUCAUUGUUUUUUUUUUUAAUUUUAAGAUAUGUUUUAAAAAAAAAAAGAAAUUAAAGUAUUUAUUCUGUUAAAUUGGAUAGUAAUUAUCUAAAAUUUUAAAAUACACACUAAAACAUUCUCAAUCAUUAAAAUUUUUUAUUUAUAUCUUACGGCCUGUUUAGUAUUACUUCUCAGAAGUAUUUUUUAAGAUAAAAUGUAUUUUUGAGAUAAAAUAUAUUUUAAAAAAGUACUUUCUUUACCAAAAGUAAGAGGAAAUUUAAACUUUAACUCAAAAAUACUUUUUAACCCAAAGCGCUUUUAAAAAAUAUUACUAAAUUAUCUCUUGUAAGUACAAAAAAAAAUAUAUCAAAUUUGAAAAUAUAUAUAUUUCGCAGGUUACUGAAAUAUCUUAAAUAUUUGAGAAAAACCAACCAGAAUAAAUCCAUCCAAUGGAAUACUGAGAAAAAAUAAAAUAAUAGUUGUAAGAAAAUGAGUGGCGUCACAUUUACACUAAUGGUUUCCCAAGUGGUACAUGAGAAGUUUUUAAGGCUCCUAUAAAUUUAUUUUCGGGACCAUAAACGUAGACCUACCAAUAAUUGCAUUUGUUUUCUUUUUAUACUUUUAUAACUCAUAAUAUUGUAUAUUUAUAUAAAUCCCAAUUUUUUCACUCAUAUAAAAUAUAGUGUUAAAUUCGAAUGAAAAAAGAUGUUAAAUUUGUGUUGGGUAAAAAUAUAAGAAUUUUAUGUUAUUUGCAAAAUAUUCCGUGGUAUUUAUGUUAGAACCGUAAAUAAUAUCUAAUAUAAAUUAAAAUUGUAAAUUAGGAUCUGUCAUGUCAAAUUAUUAAGAAUAUAAAUCAAGAAAAAAAUUAGAUGCGGGAGCAUACUUAAAUUUACCGAUUUCUUGAAAUCUACGGAUCUUGGAGUUUUGAUCUUCCAAAUUAGCAUAUAAGUAAUCUAAAGAAUGUGACUCUCUUUUGGCAUAAACAAAAACACCAAAGCAAUUCACGCAUAUACGUGUAUUCAAAAUCAGAUAGAAAAAACUUAUCAUGCAUAUAUAAUGUAAAUCUAAAAUUGUAUUAAUGAUUAAACAGAGAUUUGCAUGAAUACUUGAAAAAUACAUUCAAGCUAAUAAAUCUCAAAAAAUAAAAUCAUAAUAGUUAAUAUAUCCCAUAGUUCAUAUUGUAGACCAUAUCAACAUAAUUUAACUAAAUAUUUGGAACCAUAAAAUGCCAAAACCUAAUGUUGUAGAACCAACCUUAAAACCAAAUUAUUUAAACAUGUACAUAGUUUACAUGAAUUUGCAUCAAACACCUGUCAAAUUGAAUAUAUAACCAUAACAGAUAAAAAAAAUUAACAACGUCAACGAUAUCCAUCAAAACUUAAUGUCACCAAUUAAUCUAUAAAAUGUAUCUUAUUGAAUAAUGGUUAUAAACACCUAUCCACGCAAACUAUAAUCAUGUAUUAAUCCUCAAAAUCAUUGAUAUGCAUAAUAUAUAUACAAUAUAAUAAUAGAAAAAUAAUACUGGCUUGCCUUACAUAUUUUAUGUAAACUCAAAUUUAUAUAUAAAACUUAUUUAUACGCACAAACACUUAAAAAAAUCCAUAACCACCAAAUAUAAAAACAAUCCCAAAUUAUAUAAAGGCCUUCAGCGCAACUACUUAUAAAAAUUUAUAGCCACCAUAAAAAAAACCCAAAUAUUGUAAUUUUAGUCGGGUUCCAUAAGAAACUUAUAUAAAAUAAUUAUAACAGAAACCAAGUAAUCAUUCGUAUAUAUGAAUUGAAUUCAAUCGUGAAUAUAAUUCAUCAUGAAUAAAGACAAAAGAUGAUAAUUCCAUAUACAUUUAACCACAAAUAGAAAAUUUAAAAUAAAUACUGCAGAAAAAAAUAUCUUAACAACAUUUAUUUAUUCGAUUAUCAAGUGAAUUACUAUUCAAAACCAAUUAUAUAACCCAAUUGAAAUUCUUCAAUUGCAAAAAGUUGUAAGUCUGUAACUUUAAUCUAAUAAUAACUUUAACCAAAAUUUAUAAAAUAAGUGUGCGAAAAGGAGAGAAAGAAAUCUCACAAAUCUAUUUUUAUCAAUUGAUUAUAAAUAAAUAAAUAAACCUUCAUCUUUCGAAUAACAUACGCAAAUAUUAAACUAGAUUAUAUUUAUAAAACCCUAAACUUUAUUUAAAGAAUCAAAACCCAAAAAUUUUAUUAAGAAUCUCAAAGAUUUAACAUAGUAUAUAAUUAAAAUAUCAAAUCCAUAAAUUUAAAAAAGAAAAAUGAAUCAAUCCAAAAAUAAUAAAGAAUCAAUUCAUUCCCUAUUAUUCAACAUGACAAGCUCUAAUGCCACUUGUUAGAACCGUAAAUAAUAGCUAAUAUAAAAUUAGAACUAUAAACCAGGAUCUGUCAUGUCAAAUCAUAAGAAUAAAUCAAGAACAAAAUUAGAUGCGGAAGCAUAGCUGAAUUCAUCGAUUUCUUGAAAUCUACGGAACUUGGGGUUUUGGUCUUCCAAAUUAGCACACAAAUAAUCUAGAGAAUAUGGUUCUCCCUUUUCUAAAGAUGGGAUAUUAGAAAUGUUACAUUGUAUGUAAUUUGGAAACCAUAACCAUAAUAUAUAUAUAUAACUUUGGCACAUUAGCCCUAAUUUCUAAUCAACUCAUCAUCAAUUAAAAAUUAAUUACUAGAGUAUCUACACAUAUUUGACCCAUAUUUUUUUUAAUAAUUAAAGCCCAAUAAACCGUAACCAAAUUAAAUCACUUUUAAUUUAAACUAACCUAUUAAAAUAAUAAAUAAUAACAUGUAAUUACCAUUAUUAUUAUAUAUAAUAAUAUAUAAUACUAUUAUUAUUAUAUAUGUAAUGUCCAGAUUUCUAUCUAUUUAUAUAAAUCUCUCCUAAAUUAUGCUUUCACGAACUUGUAAGAGUCAAAACUGUCGAAAGCUACUUAUGGGGUGUGGCUGUAUAAUAGAUCGAUCAAGGUAGUGCUGAGCGAGUUUUUGUUUUUGUUUUUGUUUUUCUUAUAUAUAUACUCUAUACAGUUAGGUUGAUACACACGUGGAAGGAAUAUGUUAGAAAAAUUAAAUACUAAAAUAAGAAAUAAAAUAAUGGUUUAAAACAUGUAAAACAUUUUUCUUAAAACUUUAAAAUAUUUUUAAAUUACAUCAGCACUUCAAGUAAAAUAAUAAAAAUAUUAAUAAAAAUCCAUUUAUAUAAACAUCCAAUAGGUGAUAUAUCCUUUCAUAAGGAUAUAUAUUUUAAUGAAACACCCUUUUAUAAGAUUAUAUUGUUUUAUAAUAUAACUUUACAUAAAAUUAUAAUUUUAUUAGAUAAUUUUAUAUAUAAAAAUUUUAUCUUUACAAUACAAUUAUUUGAUAAAUAAUUAUAAUUUUUUUACAUAAUAAAAUAUUAUUACUACCAAUAUUAUAAACUAUUGCAAAAAGGAUACUCACACUAUAUAUUAGACCUGUCCAUGGGCCGGGCCGGGCCCAGAAAAAUUUUUGGCCCGCCUCUUAGGCCCGGGCCCGGCCCGAAAUAUGGACAUGAAAUUUUGCCCAGACCCGGCCCGAGAAAAAUAUCAUAAGUCCGAGCCCGGCUCGGCCCGGCCUAUUUUUAAUAAACAUUAAAAAAUUAUUUUAAAAAUAAAAAAUAAAAAAAAUUUAAAAGUAUUUUAAAAUUAAAAAAUAAAAAUAAAAAAUAUAUAUUUAUUAUAUUCGGGCCGGGUCGGGCCGGGCCGGGACCAAAAAAGUGAUGCCCGAGACCUUACCCGUUUUUUAAACGGGCCUUAUUUUUUUACUCAAGCCCAUAUUUCGGGCGGGGCAUUGGGUCGGGCCGGGCAUGGACAGGUCUACUAUAUAUGCACACCCUCCGUUCAAAGAGUGUUAUCUAAAUAAAAAUUUACCCAAUUCUUUAAAUCUAAAAAAUUAUAUAAAUCAAUAUCUUUUAACCACUAAACAAAACAUAAAAGUUAACGGUGGACAGUGAAUUGAGUUGAUUAUAUUUAGAACAUCACAUCACAGCCACAUCAGCUUCCAAAAUAAUAUGAAAAAGAGUUAUCCAAAUGUGAAGCUACCAAUGUCCCGACUCUUAGCUGCUUCAACCAUUCCAUUACUAUCUCCCAACCACCCUGCCUUUGCCUCCCCUUUCUUUAUUGAUCUCGUUCGCUCGCUUAAAUUUUAAUCCUACUUUUAAUUUUAUAUUUAUUAUAUUAAAAAUUCCAUUGAAAAAUAUUUCAAUAAUUAAUUGAGUUCUCAAAUAGGAUAAUACUCAAUUGAGUUUUUAAUUAAAUUUAACUACUCAAUCGAAUCCUCAAUCGAAUUUAAGCAAUUAAUUAAAUUCUCAUCUUUUAACAUUGUUAACUUGUCAAUGACUUCAUCACGUGUUAUGCCAGGGUUGUGCCCCGUAACGAAAUUUGGUAAUUUUUAUUAUAUUUAUUUUAAAAAUAAUAAAAAAUUUAAAAAAAUAAAAAAAGGCAUUUAAAAUUUUAGAACAUUAAAAGAAAAAUUAGACUUUAAAAAAAUUAUUAAAAAUUAUAAAAAUAGAAUUCAUUAAAAAGCAUAAUUUUUUUUGAAAUUUUAGAAAAAAAUUUAGAAAAAUAGAAUUUAGAAAAAUUAUAAAAAAAUCAUAAAAAAAUUGUAAAUAUAAUUUUUAAAAAUUAUAAAAAAUGGAAAUAUUAAAAUAUUAAAAAUAAUAGAAAUCAUUUAGAAAAUAAAAUAUAAAAUAUUUAAAAAUUAUAAAAAAAUUUAAAAAAUUAGAUAUUUUAGAAUUUUUUAUGCUUUUUAAUGAUUUUAUAAAAAAAACAUUUUUUAAUAAUUUUUAUAAAUUGUAUAUUUUUAAAAGUUUCAAAAAAUUUAGAUUUUUAAAAAUAUUUUUUUAUGAUUUUUUAUAAAAAAUUAAAUUACCAAAUUUCGCUACGUGGCACAACUCUAUUGUGCCACAUGAGGGAGUUAAUGUUGUGUAGGGGCUUCCACAGAAAGUGUUGAUUUGAAUGAUUAAUUGAGUGCUUAAGUUUGAUUAAGGACUCAAUUGAGUGUUGCUUUUGAUUGAGAACUCAAUUGUUUAUUGAAUUAUUUUCAAGUGACUUUUUUAUAUAAUAAGUAUUGUGGGGUGUGCCUCGCAUUUAUCGGAUAGUUUACAGACACUUACCAAAGUCAGCCAGCAAUGUCACGACGAGAAGCUUCUCGAAGUUGCGAUGACGGACGACAUUAUGAUGAUGUAAAUGAGGACGUUGCGAUGUGACAACGUGUUUCCCACAAACAUCGAAUUUCUUUUCCUAAUUAAACUAUGUUAUCUUUUCCCAGUCGAACUCUAAUUACUCUAGGGAUAUUUUAGUAAUAUUAUGACUUUAAUAUUAGCCUAUUUAAAUGGUUUUUGUAACCCUAUUUUAGAGAGUUAAUAUAGAAUAUCUCUUAUGUGAGAUUUGAUGAAGAGUUUUGGGGAGAGUUUUGGAAAGAGCUUUGUAUUUAGGUUUUUGAGUUUUGCUCUUUUAGGAUUAUUUUCUUUAUCUUGUACUCUCGUAUGUUUACUCAUCUAGUGAAAAGUUGAAGUCUCAUUUGCCCCUGUCCUUUUUAUCCUCUUAACUGAGGGUUUUCCACGUAAAUAUUUGUAUGUUUGAUCUUCUCUAUUUUCUUGUUCGUUGCUUAUAUGGGUCGAUCCUCAACAAACUAGUAUCAGAGCUAGGUUAUGUUUUUGCAAUCGACCCGUUCAAGUAUAAUGACAACGAUUUUGAUAUUGAAAAGUUCAAUGAAAUCAUAGAUUUCAUAUUGUAACAGUUUCGGAUAAAGUAAAGUGUUUAAAGCAAGGUUGGUUGCAAAGGGUGACAAUCAAGUGGAGGGAGUUGAUUUCCUCAAUGCUUUCUCUAUUGUUGUGAAGCACACAUCCGUUCAGGUAUCAUUGGCAUUGGUUGCAUUAUACAACCUUGAUUUGAAGACUAGGAGUCUUUCGGUUUCCAAGUUCGAGAACGGUUUGGGCUUGGUUGACAUUCUGCAAAGAUCAAGUUCUGCUUGUGGCGGGACCUGGAGAAUAAGGUACGGUAAAUACGAGUCAAGGUGAAGAUUUGUAGGGUGUGUCUCGUAUUUAUUGGAUAAUUUGUAGGCACUUACCAAAGUCAGCUGACGACGUCACGAUGAGAAGCUUCCAAACGUUGUGACGAUGAACGACUUCAUGACGACGCAAAUGAUGAUGUUGUGACAUGGCGACAUGUUUCCCACAAACACCGAGUUUCUUCUCUUAAUUAAACUCUGUUAUCUUUUCCUAGUCAAAAUUUAAUUACUUCUGGGAUAUUUUAGUCGUUUCAACCUUUUAAACUUAGUCUAUUUAAAGGGGUCAUUGUAUCCCUAUUUUAGAAAGGCAAUUAAAGAUGUAGUACUAUAGAACUUUUCUUUUGGGGACGACAAUAUGAGUUGCAAAUGAGUUUUAGUGAGAGUUUUCGUAGUAACUAUGGAGAGAAUUUAGUUCCCAAGUUAAGACUUUGUUUUCAAGGUUUGGGUCUGUACAUUUAAUACAUUUAGGUUUAUUUUCUUCAUCUUAUACCCUCGUUUGUUUACUCAUCUAGUAAAAAGUCGAAGCCUCCUUUGCCCGUGAUUUUUAUCCUCUUAAAUGAGGGUUUUCCACGUAAAUAUUUAUGUGUUCGAUCUUCUAUAACUUUUCUAUUUCGAUAUUUAUACAAGUCAAUCUCUAACAAAUAUUAAUUCUAGGAAUUUAAUAAUUGAAAAUCAAUUAAAAAUAUCAUUAAAAGAAUGUGAGAUAUAUAACAUUUUAAAAAUACUCAUGUAUCUAAUAUUGCAAACAUAAAUAAGCAAAAAAACAUUAAAUGUGGAGUUAUAAGGUUUCGAUUCUAAAUUAAAGAUGAUAAGUUUCUUCAGACUCUUUCAACGAAAGAGAUUAAAAGUUUAUUAUUUAUUUAUUUAUUUAUUUUGCUUACAUGAUUUCUACGCUUCUUUCAACCAGCCAAAUGAACCAUUUUCAUUUUAAAAAUGGCAUGUUAUCUAAUUUAAUGAAAUUCCUUAACCGCCUUAUUAACUGAAUUUUAAUUAUUAAAUUUUAAAAAAUAGAAUGAGUAAUUUAAAAAAAAAAAGCACUAAAUUUCAAAAGUAUAAUUAAACUAAAAAGUGACAAAAAAUCAUGUUCAAUCAUAGCUGCUGCUAUAAGGGAUUCGGAAGGUUUUGCAAUGGGUUCUUGUGUAGCUGCUAAGGUCAAAACCAGUCAUGAAGCAAAUGGGAAUUGCUCUCCCAGUGGGAAUUACAGAGGGGAUGUGCAUGCAAUGACCAUCAUCAGGAACCAUGUCGGUUGCUAUCAUAUGAUAAAACAUAAAUAUGAUGCUCAAUACGUCAUAGGAAGAAAAUUUGACAAUUAUUGAAUCAUAAAUUACAGAACAAAAUUCAAUUACCAAUAGGAUCUAUACACAAUUUCCCUUGCUCUUCUCCAUGGUGAUUUACAAAAUCAAAAUAUCAAAUCAUUUAUAUUACGAUUCAUCAUCAUUUGCUCAAUCCCCUGAAAAUUCAAUCCUUUCACAUUGCCUUCCCUUCCAUCCCAGCAAUCAAAUAGAUUUUACCAGACCAAAAACCACAUCAUAUAUACACUAGUACACACAAGUUAAUCUCUUUCUCCCCAAAAAUAAUCCAUAUUUCCCUAAUUCAUCCCUACUUUGUCCUCCCGGACGGUGGCCUUCUAUGUACACUGUAGAUCUAAGCCAUAGCAGGGAUUCUGGAAUUUUGGCUAUCCCUGUUAAGGCAAUCAAAUCCUUCUACUCUAAUUGCCGCUGGUUUUAGCCCAAACGACAUCCUAACACAUCCCCCUUUAUGUGCCGAUGGCGACGGAGAUGGACUUUGCGAUGCUGAAAGGGCUGCAACUCUUUCGUCACCAAAUCGAGCAUCUUGCACAACUGGGUUCGUGGCCCUACUUGGGGGCGAACCACAAAAAAAUGGGGGUGAAGAUGCUACCUGUGCUGCAGAUUGCUCUGCCCAUAAAUCACCCUACAAAAACCGAAACAAAACAACACGAUAAAACAAGUCCAUCCUAGAAACAAAAACAUUAACACACAUAACUCAAACCUCAGAAAUGCAAACAUCCUAUAUUACUCCAAAUUGGAAGUAAAAAUAUAUCCGACUUUUAGAAGCAUUUUCAUAUAGUCGUUUAUUCGGAUAGAAGUGCAAGACGCAAAUACUUUUAAGAACCAUAGCAACUAUCAAAAAGCAAUAUGUAUAUAACAUUAGUAUUUUCACUUCUUUAAAAUACUUAAGAUUCAGUGAUUACCUUGUUGAGGAUGAUAUCUAGAAGUUCUGCACUGGCUUUCGAUUCACUUACAUCGGCUUGGUGACUGGAAUUGAAACCCAAAAAUCAAAAUUAAUAAAAGCAAGCAAAUCAAAUCAACCAAAAUUCCAAUUAGAGAAAAGGGGGAAAAACCCAAAGGACAGAGAAAAGAAAAAUAAUACCUCAUAUGCAAUCUAAAAGGCUUGAUAGGGUUAUUGGUGAGAACCCCAAUUCGCCGAGGCUUAGGGCAAACAACGGGGCCGGCCCUAUGAUGCUCCGAUAUUGAAGAGAUAAACCCUCCCAUCUCCUCAUAAGCGGAAACGGCAAUGGGAUUCUGCUGAAGAUUGUAGUGAUUCAUCUUCCUCAAAAAUCUAACAUUCAAAUAAUUAAUUACAAAAAAGAAGUCAACAACCAGAUCUAAGAAAAAUGAUUCAAUUAAGACAUAGAAACAGACAAUUUAUAUUUUUUUCCCCCUUUAGUUUCCUUCAUUUUCACAGAAUCCCAAAAAAAAAAAAGGUCAAACCCAAAAAGGAAAACAUAAAUAGAAACACAGAUCUAGGCCCAGACCUUAAAAUCAGUGAUCACGGGUUGCUGUGGAGGUAAAACUGUAAUAAAUUUAGGAUUUAUAUGUCUGCGUAAAAAAUAUUAUAAUUUACAUUUAUAUAUAUCAGAUUCAGAGAGUUAAAAAGAAGAUCCGAAAUAUCAGGGAUUAAUUAAGACGUAACAAAUAAGAAUGAAAUACCCAGAAGGGAAAUUCAAGUGUUACAGCUAAAAACUCAUCAUAAAUAUUGAAUAGACACUUUGAAAUUUGACUUAAAAACAGAAUUGUUCUUUAACAGCAAAAAAAUAGGAAGAAAAAGAAAAAGAAAAAGAAACAGAUCUAAAAAUAUAUUUUACAAAAUAUAUACAGAGAAGUGAAAUCUUAUAUAUGAUUAAAUAAGUUUAAAAAAGGGAAACUUGAUUUUUGAGAUUUACCUGAAGGAAUCCCUUUGAAAGAAGAAAAAGCAGAAAAAUGGUGGAUGAGACGAGGAAGGAAAAGGUCUUAAUGGAGGCCAGGAGGGAAAUUAUAUACAAUGCCCAUUUUACCAUUGUAAAACAAUCUCCUCCACUUUUUUUUAAAUAUAAUUUCUUUUUGAAUCUUGGGAAAAUUAUUUUAACUUCGGUCAAUUAAAAUAUUAAUUAUCAAUAAAUGCCAAAAAAAAUUACGUGAAUAGAUCAAUUUUUUUAAAAAAAUUAUGGGAAUAAGCUAUUUUUUGGAAAUCACUUCCAAUUUGCAGGGAAACUUGGAAGCGUUUUCAGCAUGUUGCAUUGAAAACGCUUCCAGCUAGAAUCGCUUUCUACUAAGUCACUUGGAAGCAUUUUCAACAUAUUGCAUGGAAAACGCUUUCAGUUAGAAUCACUUUCUGCUAAGUCACUUGAAAAUGCUUCCAGUUGGAAGUGUUUUUCCCCCCAACAGUAAAAAAUAACAGUUAUUUAAUUAGUCGUUAGACACCCCCAAACAGUCAAAUUUUAUUUUCCUAUAACCCUCUCCCAUUUCAUUUUUUCCAAUUCAAUCUCAACUCUCUCUCACAUUCUCAAUACCCACUUAAAUUCACUAAUUUUUUUUGCUCUCUCAAUUUUAUUUUUUAUUUAAAUUAUCUUAACAUUUUCUUAAAUUAUUCUUCUAAUACAAAUUAUUCAGUUUUUUUCGAAAUUAUCAAUGGCAAAUUCUCUAAUUCGUCAUGAUAAGAACUAAACUUUCGUCAAUCAAUUGCAAAUGGUAAUAAUAUUUCUUAUUAUAUUUUAAUGUUGCAUAAUUUUUAUAUAUUUUUUUAUAUUUGAAUUUAUUAUUUUGUAUAUUUUUUCCUUAAAUAGGCAGAGAUUGAAUUUUGCAAGCCAACAUUCGUAAUCUACUCGCUCCUCCAUCACCCUUGAUCAAACCGUACUUGAGAGAAGUCGAUUUUUCGCACGUGGCCCUUAUAGGUAAGGGGUGUAAGUUGGACCCAACACUCGUAAGCGCGUUAAUGGAAAGGUGGAGAUCGAAGACGCACAUUUUCCAUCUUCCAUGUGGCGAGUGUACUAUCACUUUGGAAGAUAUGCAAUUACAACUUAGGUUACUAGUGGAUGGGUUUGCAGUGACUGGGACUGUUCACACAACCAAUUGGAAAAUGGUAUGCGAUGAACUUUUGGGGUUGGUUUCGGAGACAAUUUUUGGAGGUCGGAUAGAAAUGGCUUGGUUAAGAAGAAAUUUCAGUAAGCUUGAUGAGGAUUCAACUGAAGUCGAAAGAGAACAACACGUUCAGGAUUACAUCCUUAUGUUAAUAGAGGGUAUCAUAAUGCCGGAUAAGUCACGAAAUUUCGUCCAUUUAAGGUGGUUGUUGAAACUCGUCAAUAUUCGUAAUCUACUCGCUCCUCCAACUUAGUUGGGGGUCCACCGUGUUGGCGACCUUGUACCAAGAGAUGUGUCGAGCGACGCAACCACGAAAAAUUAAAAUUGGUGGUUGUAUGCUACUAUUGCAGUCAUUGGCGCGUUAUCAGCUGCCAUUUUUGUCCUGAAGCAAACUACCUUUACAAAUUCAUUACAUAAUUUAUUUAUUGCAAUAAAAUAAUCUAAUGUUUAAAUUAUUCUGUUAACAAAUUAUUUCAAUAGGUGGAAUAAUGGGUCAAGUUACGUGAGAAUAUCGAAAGAGCUAUGAUAUAUACGACUUCUGUUAGACCAACGAUCUGAAGCAAAGGUAAGUAUUUUUUUUAAAUUUGAAUUAUAUAAUAUUAAUGUAUUUGAUUUGAUAUUUAAUAGUAUAUAUAUAACUAAUUUUUUUUAUUAUUUUAAUAUAGUUUGAAUGGACACCAUACAAGGAUCUGACAAUUCGACAAUGCAUCCCAUCCGAAAUCCUGGUGAAUCCCAACAUUUGACAUGUAAAUGUGCCAUUGGUAGUGUACGCUAUUGUGUAUAUGCAUGAGUCGGAUAGGGUGUUGCAGCAAAUCGGGUUCAAACAAUCGAUUCUAGUGGUACCUUAGGACCUCGAUCAUCUGCAUCCUAUCAACUUGUGGGGGAGGUCGGAUGAGAAUUGAAUUAGAUUCCACAUUAAUAUAUAAACACAUGUGGAAUAAUCGGUAUGAGUUUCUACCUCAUCGCAAUGCUAUUAUCGCUCUAGAGUUAGCUUGCAGUUUGGAUUACAUGCCUUGAUUUAGGCUUUUUGGCAAGCCAUGCUUGUUGAGCGAAGAAUAUAGGAGUUGGCAAACGCAUACGAGGAGGCCACGACGACCGUCAACACAUCCAAGGUUUGGCGAGGCAGGUCCAUCGGUUGCACCUACUCAAGAGCCGACAUCGGUGCCCACACCACCCCUGAUCAGUAUGUGUAGUCCUAUUCUGAUUCGUAUGCGAACACCGUCAUUUUCACACAAGCACCAUAUAUUCAACCACAUUUUUCUGCUUUUACUUUGAUGUCAGGUUUUGUUUUCAAACCUUGGUCCCUAGUACAUUACACGUCGAUGCCAUCCAUAAUUCUGGCGACGAUGAUGCCGAUGACGACGUAUAGGCCAUCCAUGUUUCGACCACCGACCAAGAGUCCAAUUGUUAUGUCACCAAUGUACGAAACACAAUAUAGUUAUACCCCUACACUGAUGGUGAUGCAAACACCUCCAGGAUCAUUGUUCUAUCAAGGCGAAUCAUCUCCCCAACCACCUACUCCUAGAUCGGAGGAUGCACGAUGGCAACCAAGAAGCAACUAAUCGCAAUCAACUACGGAUGAAGGCGAAGAAGAGAAAAGGCCUAUACCACAACCUGUGUCAGAGGUUUAACCAGAGUUUGGAAAAUCGAUCGCAAUUGGGUUUGGAAAACGCAACGGAAAAUAAAUUUAGGAAAAAACCAGAGUUUUAAAAAAAAUCCAAAAUAAGAAUUUGGUUGUGAUAUCUAAAGUAAUAAACACUCAAUCAAAAUUGUACAAUUUUGAUUCGUCUAGGAUGAACGCUUCAACCUAGUAGUCUUCUCUAUUAUCCUUAAGCUCACGUCUGCCGAGUGUGGGCCCGCUUCGAAUAAAAAAAUUACAAAAAUUACUAGUGCAGUAAUUUCGUAAUUUCUCUAAACUUUUGGGCUAAGUUAUAAAUAAGAAAAAUACUCUAGAAAUUUUCUAAAAUAAUUUCUUUAGAGAAUUUUCUCUCUACAACUUUCUAUUGAAUUCAAGUGUGUGUAAAUAAUAACCCAAGACUAUCUUUAUAUAAGGAGGGUUUAGAGAGUUCAACUAUAAUUAAACUUAAUCACUUUAAUAUUAAUUUUAAUAUUAAAUUUUAAUUAAUAGAAUAUUUAUCUACAAGAUAAAUAUUAAAUUAAAUUUAAUAUUAAGAUAAUCACUUUGAUAUUAAAUUAAUAAAAUAUUAUUAAGAUAAGUAUCAAAUGAAAUUUAAUAUUAAAUCUAUUAAAAUAAUAUUAUUUUUUAAAUAGUUAAUCAAAAAUCAAAUUCUUUGGUAGAGUCUCAAUAGGAGUGUAAUUCUUCCAUUGCUUAACCACCGAAGAACCACUGCCGCUAACCAUUUUUUGGCCAUCGGAAUGCUGUCGUCGUAACCGUCGGCACCUGAGCUGGUUUGGUUUCUAUCGGUUCCGUACGGACCACUAACAGUCCGAUAGGUCCGAUCCAACCACCAGUUGGAUAUCAACUUAGUUUCACAUACCAGACCUGGUUCGACUAGUUUUUGGGUCUUAGUCUCGGUUUUGGGAUCCUAAGCCCAAUUUAUGAUCUCAGGUCUAAUAUUCAAGUUCAAUUACCCAUUGGGCCAAUUGUCUGACUUGAAAAAUUAAUUUUUCAAAAAUAUCAUAUUAAUUUUAAUUAAUUUGAUUGAUUUAAUUUUACUUGUUCAAAAUUAAUUUUCCCAAAAAUCACUUAGAUUUUCCAAAUUAAUUUUUCAAGAAAAUUCUUUAAUCAAAUUCUCUAGUUGAACAAUUCUUACGACCGUCCAACUUAAUUCCACAUCGAAUAAAUCGACUCAGUUAAAUUAUUUCCAAAGUCGUAGAAUUUACUUCUAAUUCAAAUGGAGUCCGAUUAAGCCUUUGUUGAGCUAGCGGAGGCACCAAUCGGACAUAUACAAUUAGGUUCUAGUAAUUGCAAUUAUGUCCAGAAGCAUCGUUCCUAUAAUUCACAAUUAUUUAAUAUGGAGUUAGGCCACAAAAAGUACCAUGAUUGAAAACUACUUAUUAUAUACUCUUUACGAAAGUAAUUCAUCCAACUACUUUGUCCAAUGACCUCGUCAUGUGUGUGUUACCCUCAUAUGAUAUCCUUGAUUCCUCUGAGUUAAAUUCAUUCACUCAAUACAAUCCUAUUUUAUCCCAUUGUUGCCAUCUGUCUUCUUAAUGAUUAACAUGAUCACUAUCAACAAAUGGAUGUGAUAAAUUGCUCAUUCAAGAACAAGCAACCCGUGGCCACAUUCCGUAUUUAUCAAUCCACACAAUGCUAAUGAGAGGAUAUCAUUAAUUCUUUAAUUGAGCUAUGAAUUUCACUGUUUCAAAAAGUAAAACCAUGCCAUACACAAGUCAUGUACCCAACAUAUCGGCUAUUGGUUCGAUCAUCUUUAGAGCAUAAGCCUCUACUUAUAUCAAAGCACAUGAGUUACAUAUGCAUGGUCAUUGACUAACUCAGGAUUUUGAUAAAUCAUAGCAUGAAUGUCACAAGUGAAUUAAUUCAAAAAUGAAUUCAGAAUUAAUUCAUCUUGGGUCUAGUUCAAUGUAUCAUUCUGCCAAUGAAUACAUUUAUGUCUCUACCCGUAGAGUCAACUACUCCGAUAGCCAAGACUAGUCAUCCCCUCAAUUGGAAUUAUAGACAACAUAAUAAUCAUUCUCAGUAUUUGAAUUAAAUAAUCACUUUGAUUCUUUUACGAAAUUACAAACUUGUUUAGAUUAUCUAGUGAAGUAAGUUGUCUUUCUCGUAAUGCAAAUGUUCUUACAAUGCCACUUAUCAUCAUUUUGAACUUAGACAAUCAAUGAGCUAAUUUUUGCUUGUUACAAAUUCGCUAUGCAUGCAAAAUAUGAAAGCCAGAAAUACAAAAUACAUAACAGUGAAAUGUGAAAUUUAUUUAUUCAAAUUCAUAGAAAAUAAUUACAUGUUUACUACAAUAUGUGCACAUUUCCCAACAAUUUCCCACUUGCUCUAGUGAAGUAAAUGUGUCAUAUUUCACAUUCCCAAAUCCUCAACGUGUUUGUUAAAACUCUUAGUUACAAGAGUCUUAGUAAAUAGAUCUAAAAGGUUAUCUUCAUAAGCUACUUUCACCACAUCUAUAAUUCCUUCGACUACUGCCUCUCAUAUCAAGUGAUACUUUUGAUAAAUGUGUUUAUUCCUCUUGUAACUUCUCAUUUCCUUAGUAUUAACUAUUGCAGCAUAGUUAUCACAAUACAGUGUUAUAACUUUUUCCAUACCAUGAAUAACUUCAAGAUCGGUUAAGAACUUUCAAAGCCAUAUUGCUUCUUUGUUGCUUCAGAAGUAGCCACAUACUCGGCCUCCAUAGUAGAGUCAGUAGCACAAGUUUGUAUUACACUUCUCCAUACUAUGGCUCUACGGCCUAAGAUGAAUAUAUUUUUUUAUGUUGAUUUCCUCGCAUCUUUAUAGGUUUGGAAGUCUAAGUUUGUGUAUCUGAUAGGAGUAAAGUUCUCCCUAGAAUAUAUAAACAUAUAGUCUUUGGUUCUUUUAAGAUACCUUAAUAUAUGCUUUCAGCUUGCCAAUGUUUGAAACCAGGAUUCGUCUGAUAUCGAGUAACCAUUCCCACUGCAAAACAAAUAUCUGGAUGUGUGGAAAGCAUCGCACACAUAAGGUUUCCAACUAUCGAAGCAUAUGGAACCCUACUCAUAUGGUCUCUUUCUUCUAUUACCUUAGGACAGUUAUCUAAAGAAAAAUGAAAACCUAAUGAGGUCGGCUGAGUGCCUAACUUCACAUCAAUCAUUGAAAAAUGUUUCAGUACCUUAUAGAUGUAUAAAGCUUGUGAUAGAGUUAUCGUUUUAUUCUUUCAAUCCCUAAGGAUUCGAAUUCGAAGAACAUAACUAGCUUCACCCAUGUCCUUUAUGUUAAUUGUUGAGCUAACCACAGUUUAACUGAUGACAAUUCUCUUACAUUAUUUCAUACAUUAAUAUAAACUUAACAAAAAUUAUUCAUUCACAUACACAUCAUCCCUAAAUUGAUCCUCUGAGGCCAUAAAAUACAUUAAAAAAAUUCGAGACUAAAUUGGAAACAUUUCAAAAGUUCAAGAAAAAGUUAGAAAAAUUUAACUGUAGGGGUUACAUGGCUGUGUGCCUUACACGACUGUGACACACGCCCGUGUCUCAGACCAUGUAAUAAUCAAAAUAGGGACACACUGCUGUGUCUCAGCCUUUGUCCUUACCCGUAUAACUCUCUAAGUAGGGUUACACGGCCAAAUCACACGACCAAAUCACAUGCCUGUGUGCUAUGUUGUGUAACUCUCGAAAUAGCCCCACAAGCCCGUGUGUCAAGCCGUGUGUUAGGCCGAGUAACUUUCUGACUUGAAUGCAAUUGAACCUAAAGGGGACACACAGCCAUGUCGCCAGGCCAUGUGUCAAACACGGUUGAGUCACACGCUCGUGUCUCAAGCCGUAUGGACAUGAAUUUGCCAAAAAAAGCCAUUUCCAUCACCAUAUCAAGCAUAUACCUAAAAACAUCUUGUGCACAUAAUCAAGACAUCAAAACCUUACCAAAACAUGCAUAUAGUAACCAAAAACUUAGUAGAGUCAAAAGGUAUUUUCUUAUCUGACACUAAAGUUGUGCAUAUAUAUGAGUGCAUUGACCCAGGGUCAAUCAAAGCAUCAACAUUAGUAUCAAAAAUAAAAAAUGUACCAGUGAUAACAACUGGCGCUGAAGCUUCCUCUCGAGCACAGAUCGCAUAAGCUUUAGUCGACACUGGUGCCUCAAAUCUCACAGUAGAGCCUUUCGUUCCACUACGACUAUUACCCCCUCUCGAGCACGGAUCGCAUGAGCUUUAGUCGACACUGGUGCCUCAGAUCUCACAGCAGAGUCUUUCGUUCCACUACGACUAUUACCCGCAUUACCAGUGUUUCGGGCUGGUCUCCUUCUCGAAGCUGUAUUACUCAGUCGAGUAGUCUGAGCCUUUUCUUUGUCGGACCUUUCAAGGUAAUCCUUGAGAUAUUUUUAUAUGAACCACAUUUAGAACAUUACUCGUCUUUCAAUCUGCAUUCACCAAAGUGUCGUUUAUUACAUUACUGAUAUUCGGGCUUGUUGUUUCUGAUAUUGCCCACACUUGUUGUAGACGUAGCCUGAGGUUUUGAGCUCGAAUGCUAAUUUCCUUAAUCUUUCUCAGAAUAAUCCACUGAAGCUGAUGAACGACCAUGAUAUUCUUUCAACUUCUUCGAUGGCGAUGGGUAUGACUUUUCCAUAGGGCUCUUUCCCGAGUUAUGAGCCUCCUCGACUUUUCUUUUCGCUUUGCUAAGUUCUUCAGCUUUAUGCACUUUGCCAACUAGAACUACAAAUUCUUUCAUCUCAAGGAUCCCGAAUAACACCUUAAUAUCUUUGUUUAACUUGUCUUCAAACCUUGUGCACAUAGCAAACUCUGUAGGUAUACAUUCUUUGGCAUACUUACUGAGUCGAACAAAUUCCCUCUCAUACUCUAAUACAGUCAUACGACCUUGUUUCAACUCAAGGAAUUCUUUACGUUUCUUGUCUAAAAAUAUCUCGCUCACAUAUUUCUUUCGAAAUUCAGUCUAAAAGAAUUCCCAGUUUACUUGAUCUCUCGGCACAACUGCAACUAAGGUGUUCCACCACUGAUAAGCCGAAUCUUUCAAUAAUGAAACAACACAUUUCAAGUAUUUCGUAGGAGUACAUGAUAAUUCAUCGAAAACUUUCACCGUGCUUUCUAACAAAAAUAGGCUCUCUUUGGAUCAUCUUCAGUUGUUCCUCGAAACUCUUAAGCCCUAUACUUACGAAUUUUAUCAACUAGAGGCUUGCUCACCCGAACUAGUUCCAAACCCUGAGGAACUACGAGGAUCGAUUGGGGUACAGGUGGGGGUGGAGGUCGUUAAGCCAUUGAUUUCAUUCGAAUAAACUCGAAGAAGCAUUCAGACAUCAUCUGGAGGAAAACUUCUUUAGCCUCUCCUCCCCAGCCCUCAGAUUUGAGCCUAUUACCACUAGACGCUGCUCCAUGAACGGAGGUUCGCGUGUUACUUUCUAUUUCAUUGGAAUCAGCUUGAUUGGAUGGCAUUUUAUCUAUAUGAAAACAUAGUUCAAAUAUAGUUAGGAGUUAUCACACUAUUACAGGUUAUAUAAAGGCAUGUAUUUCUAGACUCAUACACGCUACUUUAGUGCGAGAACCGACUAUGCUGUAGCUUUGAUACCAUUAAAUGUAACACCUCUAACCUGUAUCUAUUGCCAAAUUAGGGUUACAGAGCACUACUGUACAAAUGGAACAUUACAACAUACAUUUCAUAUAUUUAUAUAAACUUAACAAAAAUUAUUCAUUCAUUUACACAUCGUCCCUAAAUUGAGCCCUCGAGACCCUAAACAUACAUUAAAACUAAUUUGGGACUAAAUUGGAAGCAUUAGGAAAGUUCAAGAAAAAGUUAGAAAAAAUUGACUGCAGGGGUCACACGUCCAUGUACCUCACACGACUGAGACACACGCCCAUGUCUCAGGCCGUGUAACUCUCAAAAUAGCCCCAAAAACUUGUGCGCCAAGCCGUGUGCUAGGCUGUGUAACUGCCUGACUUGUUUGCAAUGGAACCUAAAUGGGAGACAUGGCCAUGUCGCCACACCACGUGUUACAUACGGUUGAGUCAAACGCCCGUGUCUCAGGCUGUGUGGACAUGAAUUUGCCCCAAAACAGGUAAUUUCCAUCACCAAAUCAAGCAUAUACCUAAAAACAUUUUGUGCACAUAAUCAAGACAUCAAAACCUUACCAAAACAUGCAUAUAGUGACCAUUUCAAUAGCCUUAAACCAAUCAACCAAUAUGCCAUUUCAAGGCACCUCACAAGCAAACACCAAAGCAUACCUAAGCAUUCACAUUUGGUCACAUUUCCACCAUCAAACAUAAUUCAUCUUCCAACAAAUUAUACCACAAUUAUGACCAUUAGCAUUUCAACAUAAACUUACCAUUUGAGGCAUACCAUUCAUGCAUCAUAAGUACCAAAAUGACACAAUCCAACCAACAUCAAAUUGUACCAACACUAUACAUGCCAAAAUAUCAACUAACAUUCAACUAGAUACCAAUACAAGUCCACCUAUACAUGCCAUUAUAGCCUUGGCCAAAACAUCAUAAAUUAUUGAUAUGUAUGCUGGAUAGUGUGAUAGAUCUCCGACGAGCUUCCAAACCGAUAUAGCUUCCGAUUAUCUAUAAAACAAGAGAAAAAAACUACGUAAGCAAAUAAUGCUUAGUAAGUUCGUAAAACAUGAAACAUAAUUUACCAUUUCCUUAUAUAACAUUAAGUACAAGCAUAAUGCAAUGCAACACAAGCUUGGCACAAGCCUAAGCACCAUCAUCAAUACACAAGUUAGUGUAUAUAUACAUAAUUCAAUUGAAUUUAACAUAUGGUAAUUCAUUUCCAUGGAAACAUACACCAUUUGAUUCAUUCUUCGUUUUCAUGAACAUAAGCAUACUUCCAUUUGGAACUUACCAUUUCAAUCCUUUUCAUAAAUACAUGAUAUAGUUCAUUUUGAACACUUAUCGUUCCUUUUCUUUCUAUGCCCGUUGAACCAUUUAGAAUAUCAUCGGAUACACAGGAAAACUCACAUGAAGUGUGCUUAAACAUAUAACCAUAAUCUUUCCUUUACAUUGUUGCUCACACGAGCUAUGAAAUAGGCCUACUCACACGAGCUAUGGGUCGAAAUGUAAGCUACACGAUGCUGCUCACACGAGAUUUGGAGUAUCUACAACAAAUGUAGGACCUCAACCAUCGGUAGGAUAUUCAAGACCAACACCCGAACAUGAGAACCCUAAUGACAUGUCAUUUGUAUCCUACGAAUUCCUAAGGUUCAACCAGGACUCGAUAACCGUCGUAGCAUGAUUUUGGAUAUACAUUGUUCAAUAGCAUUCUUAAUACAUAAUAACAUAUAAUUAAACAACAUGAACAUAACAAUCCGUACAUACGAACUUACCUCGACGACUAAGGCGUAAAAACGGGAUCGACUAAUCCGAGGCUUUAGCUUUUCCCCGAUCUAGAUCUGUUGUGGCCUAUCUUGAUCUAAAUAAAAAAUAUAAUUCAUUUAAUAUCCCUAGCAUUCAAUUUAGUCCAUAUUUCAUAUUUUUCCAAAAUUACUAUUUUACCCCUAAUAUUUUAACUUUUUACAAUUUAGUCCUUAAGCUCAUAAAUUAAAAUCUAAGCAUUUUCAUCCUUUUCUCAAGCUAGACAAUUUAUCCAGGGACCUAUAUCAACUCAUACAAACCAUUAUUUCAUAGAUUUAACUUGAAAUUUUAUCUUUUUUACAAAUAAGUCCCUAAAUAAAAUUUUCAUCAAAAAUCACUUUACAAAACUUGUUUAUUUAUGAACAAGGACUCAUAAUCUACCAUUAAACAUCAAGAAUCAUACAAGAAAAUUCAUGAAAAAACCCUAAAUCUUUAACAGUUUUGCAAAUUGAUCCUUGGGCUAGCUAAGUUAAGCUACAACGAUCCCAAAAACAUAAAAAUCAUUAAAAACAAGCUCAAAAAUCACUUACAUGCAAUAAUUGAACAUAGCCGAACCUUCAAGGUGAAAAAUAGAGGUUUUCCUUCUUUAAUUUCGGUGGAAACAUGAACUAAAGAAGAUGAUACUUUUAUUUUAUGUUAUUUUUCUUUACUUAAUUAUUAUAUUACCUUAAUAACCUUGUUAAUUAACUAAAUAAAACUCCUAAUUCAUGCCCAUCUUUGUCCACUAACAUUAUGAAUGAUCUAAUUACCAUCUAAGUCCACUCACAUUUAAAUUUCAUAGCCAUUUGACCCUUUUUACUAAUAGAACUCAAUUUUUGCACAUUUAUGAUUUAGUCAUUUUCACUUAAUUAAGCAUGCAAACAUCGAAAUUUCGUAACGAAAUUUUUAUAUUACCUUAUUAACAUUCUAUAUACAUUAAAAAUAAUAAUUUACUUGUCAGAUUUGUGGUCACUAAAUUACAAUUUCGAUUUCACUGAAAACAGGUUGUUACAACUCUCCCCCUAAAAGAAUUUUCGUCCCCGAAAAUCUUACCAGAAAAGAGGUUUGGGUAUUGCACUUUCAUAAUUUCUUCCAGUUCCCAGGUACCUUCCUCUAAACCUUGACAUUUCCAGAGAACUUUUACUAAAUCUAUUUAUUUCUCAGUUCUUUAACUUCCCAAGCUAAAAUUCUGAUCGGUUCUUCACUGUACGUCAUAUUUGGCUGUAUCUCAACAUCAACAGGUGAAAUCACGUGUGCAGAAUCUGAUUGAUACCAUCGUAACAUCGAAACAUGGAAUACAUUGUGAAUCUUUUCUAACUUUAACGGCAAAGAUAAUCUAUAAGCUAUUGGUCCAAUUUUUUCUAUGAUCCCAUACGGCCCAAUAAAUCGUGGACAAAGCUUUCCUUUUCGACUGAAUUGAAGAACUUUCUUCCAAGGCGAUACUUUUAGAAAUAAUCUGUCGCUUACUUGAAAUUCAAUGUCUUUUCUUUUCAAAUCUACGUAAGAUUUUUGUCGAUCCGAAAUUGUUUUCAGGCUAUCACAUAUCACUUUAACCUUUUCUUGAGUUUCUCAAAUUAAAUCAAUCUUGAAUAACUUUUUCUCACUCAGAUCAGUCCAGUAUAAAGGAGUUCGACACUUCCAACCAUACAAAGCUUCGUAUGGUGCCAUUUUAAUACUCACUUGAUAACUGUUAUUGUAUGCAAAUUCAACUAACGACAGAAAUCUCUCCCAGUUACCUUCGAACUAUAAAACACAACAUCGUAGCAUAUCUUUGAGUAUCUGAAUCACUCACUCAGAUUGACCAUUUGUUUAGGGAUGAAAUGUUGUAUAAAAUACAGUUAAGUACUAAGAGCUUCGUGUAACUUGCUCCAGAAUCGAGACGUAAACCGCAAAUCUCUUUCAGAAAUAAUAGAAUCUGGCACACCGUGCUAUCUAACAAUCUCAGUAACAUAUAACUUUGCCAAUCUCUCGAGUGAAAAAUCUAUACGCACCGGAAUGAAAUGCGUGGACUUCGUCAAACAAUCAAUAGUGACCCAUACAACAUAUUUCUUUCUCAGAGAUAGAGACAAACCCGAUACGAAAUCCAUCGUGACACAUUCCUAUUUCCACUUUGGAAUCAUCACAGGUUGUAACAAACUAGAAGGUACCUGAUGUUCAACUUUAACUUGCUAACAAACCAAACAUUUCGGUACGAACUCUAAAAUGUCUUGUUUCAUACCUGACCACCAAUAUAUGUGUUUCAAAUUGCCAUACAUUUUAUUGCUACCAAGAUGAAUAGACAAGCUAUUACUGUGAGCUUCCUGUAAAAUUUUCUGAAUAAGAUCAGAAUUUCUCGAAACACAAAUUCUGCCUUUGAAGUACAAAUUGUCAUCAGAACCAACAUGAAAAUUUGAUUCAGGUGUCAUCUCAAUCUAUUUCUAUUUAGUGAUCAAAACAUCGUCACAUUUCCGAGCUUCACAAAUCUGUUGCAGAAACAUCGGUCUAGCUUUUAAUUCUGCCAAAAUUGAUUCAUCAUCAAUCAACGUCAAUCGUGUGUUCAAUGCUCGUAAAGCAAACAUGGAUUUUCUACUCAAUGCAUCAGCAACAACAUUAGCCUUUCCCGGAUGAUAAUAAUGAUCAAGUCGUAAUCUUUCAAUAAAUCGAGCCAUCUGUGUUGUCUUAAAUUCAAAUCCUUUUGUGACAUCAAAUACUUUAGGCUUUUAUAGUCCGUGAAAAUAUGACAUUUUUCUUCGUACAAAUGGUGUUGCUAGAUCUUCAAAGCAAACAUAAUGGCUACAAGCUCUAAAUCAUGAGUCGAAUAAUUCUUUUCAUGCAGUUUCAACUGUCUAGAAGCAUACACUAUUACUUUGUCUUCUUGUAUCAAAACACAACUUAAACCAUUCAAUGAAGCAUCGCUAUAAAUCACAAAUUCUUUACCGAACUCUGGCUGAACCAACAUAGGUGCCUCGGUUAAUAAAGUUUUCAACUGAUUAAAACUGUGCUGACAUUUCUCAAACCAUUCGAAUUUAACAUCUUUUUACAACAAUCUCGUCAACGGCAUAGCAAUCAUCGAGAAUCUCUUGACGAACCUUCUAUAAUAUCUGGCUAAACCCAGAAAACUUCUGACUUCAGAUACAUUUCUCAGAGGUUUCCAGUCUACCACAGCUGAAAUUUUACUUGGAUCAACUCUAAUACCAUCUGCUGAUACCACAAGUCCCAAAAAUCCUACUUCUCGGAGCCCGAACUCGCAUUUGUUGAACUUAGCGAGUAGUUGUUUUUCGCGUAAGGUUUGUAAAACAGUUCUCAAAUGUUGGGCAUGUUCUAUCUCAUCUCGUGAAUAGAUCAGGAUGUCAUCAAUAAACACAACAAAAAAUCUAUCUAAAUAUGGUCUGAAUAUUCUAUUCACCAAGUCCAUAAACACGGUAGGUACAUUAAUCAAACCAAAUGGCAUCAUAAGAAACUCAUAAUGUCCGUACUUAGUUCUAAAUAUUGUUGUCGACAUAUCAGACUCUUUAACCCGUAACUGAUAAUAACCAGGAUGAAGAUCGAUCUUUGUUAAUACCGUCGCACCUUUCAAUUGAUCAAACAAAUCAUAAAUAUGUGGUAAUGGAUACUUGUUCUUGAUCAUGACUUUGUUGAGCUGUUGAUGAUCAAUACAUAGUUGCAUGGAUCUGUCCUUUUUCUUGACAAAUAACACAGGACGUCCCCAAGGAGAAAAACUGGGCUGAGCAAAGCCCCUAUCUGAUAACUCUUGCAACUGAGCUUUCAAAUCUUUUAAUUUUAUAGGUGUCAUUCUAUAUGGAGCUAUCGAGAUCUGAGAUAUUCCAGACAUUAAUUCAAUAGCAAACUCAACUUUUUUGGUCGGUGGUAACCCUGGUAAUUCUUUUGGAAACACGUCUACAUACUGACAUACAAUUGGAACUGAUUCUAACUUAAAUUCUGAAACUCCAGAAUCAAAUAUAUAAGCGAGAUACGUUUCAAAGCCUUUUCUAACAUGUUUUUGUGCCGACAUAACCAAAAUAACAUCAAAUGCACUAUAUAAUAUGUCUGAUUCAAUUCGAAGCUUUUCAUCAUUCUGACAUUUUAACACAAUAUACUUUCGUCUAUAGUUCAAAACAACAUCAAGCAGAGUUAACUAGUCCAUACCCAGAAUCACAUCAAACUCAUCAAAGCGUAGUAACAUCAAAUUAGCCGGAAAGUUGCAACCCCGAAUAAUCAAAUGGCAGUUUUUAAAGACUUUAUCAGCUAACACAAACUGACCUAAAGGGUUCAUUACUUUAACCAAAAACUCAGUAGAAGGUAUUUUAUUAUUUGAAACUAAGGUUGUGCAUACAUAUUAGUGCGUUGACCCAGGUUCAAUCAAAGCAUUAACAAUAGUAUCAAAGAUAGAAAAUGUACUAGCGAUAACAUCUGGUGCUGAAGCUUCCUGUCGAGCAUGGAUUGCAUAAGCUCUAGUCAGCGUUGGUGCCUCAAAUCUCAUAGUAGAAUAUUUCGUCCCACUACGACUAUUACCCGUAUUACCAGUGUUCCAGGGUGGUGGUCGUCCUCUCGCAGUUGUAUUACUCGGUUGAGUAGUCUUAGCCUUUUUUUUGUCGAAAUUUUCAAGCCAAUCUCUAAGAUAAUUUUCAUACGAACCACAUUUAAAACAUGAAUCAUCUUUCAAUCUACAUUCAUCAAAGUUUUGUCUAUUACAUUGCUGAUAUUUGGGCUUGUUAUUUCUGACACUGCCUACACUUGCUGCAAACGUAGCCUAAGGUUUCGAGCUCGAAUGCUAAUUUCCUCAAUCUUUCCCAGAAUUAACCUCUAAAGCUAACGAACGACCAUGAUAUUCUUUCGACUUCUUUGAUGGUGAUGAGUAUGACUUUUCUAUAGGCUUCUUUCCAGAGUCAUGAGCCUCAUUGACUUUUCUUUUCACUUUGCUAAGUUCUUCAGCUUUCUGCGCUUUUUCAACCAGAACUACAAAUUCUUUCAACUCAAGGAUCCCUAUUAAUAGCUUGAUAUCUUCGUUUAACUAGUCUUCAAACCUUGUGCACAUAGCAACCUCUAUAAGUAUAUAUUCUCGGGCAUACUUACUGAGUCGAACAAAUUCCCUCUCAUACUCUACUACAGAUAUACAACCUUGUUUCAACUCAAGGAAUUCUUUACGUUUCUUGUCUAAAAACAUCUCGCUCACAUAUUUCUUUCAGAAUUUAGUCUAAAAGAAUUAUCAGUUUACUUGAUCUCUCGGCACAAAUACAACUAAGCUUUUCCACCACUAAUAAGCUGAGUCUUUUAAUAAUGAAACAACACAUUUCAAGUAUUUCGUAGGAGUACAUGAUAAUUCAUUGAAAACGUUCACCGUGUUUUCUAACAAAACUCGGCUCUCUUUGGAUCAUCUUCAACUAUUUUUCGGAACUCUUAAGUCCCAUACUUAUGAAUUUUAUCAACUGGAGGCUUGCUCGCCCGAACUAGUUCCAACCCUGAGGAACUAACGGGAUCAGUUGGGGUACAGGUGGGGGUGGAGGUCAUUGAGGCAUUGGGUUUGGUCGCACAAUCUUGGAGAACCAUUCAGACAUAAUCUGGGGGAAGGCUUCCUUAGCCUUUCCUCCCCAACCCUCAGAUACAGGCCUAUUACCACUAGACGCUGCUCCGUGAACGGAGGCUUGCGCGUUACUUUCUACUUCAUCGGAAUCAGUUUAAUUUGAUGACAUUUUAUCUAUUUGAAAACAUAGUCUGAGAACCGACUAAACUGUAGCUCUAAUAAUACUAAAUGUAACACCCCAAACCCGUAUCCAUCGUCGGAUUAGGGCUACGAAGCAUUACUAUACAAAUAAAACAUUAUAACAUACAUUUCAUACAUUAAUAUAAAUUUAACAAAAAAUAUUCAUUCACAUACACAUCAUCUCUAAAUCGUGCUGCCAAGGCCCUAAAAAUACAUUAAAAAAUUUGGGACUAAAUUUGAAGCAUUUGGAAAGUUCAAGAAAAAGUUAGAAAAAUUUGACUGUAGGGGUCACACGACCAUGUGCCUCACACGACUGAGACAUACGCCUGUGUCUCAAGCUGUGUAACAAUUGAAAUAAGGACACACAGCCGUGUCCUUACCCAUGUAACUUUCUGAGUAGGGUCACACGGCUGAGACACACACCUGUGUGCCAGGCCAUGUGCUAGGCCGUCUAACUCCCUGACUUGUAUGCAAUAGAACCUAAAGGGGACACACGGCCAUGUUGCCAGGCCGUGUGUCACACAUGGCUAAGUCACAUGUCUGUGUCUCAGGCCGUAUAGACAUGAAUUUUCCCACAAACAAGCCAUUUCCAUCACCAAAUCAAGGAAACACAUAAUCAAGACAUCAAAACCUUACCAAAACAUGUAUAUUCAAUAGCUUUAAACCAUUAAACCAAUAUGCCAUUUCAAGGCACCUCACAAGCAAACACUAAACUUACACAUUUGAUCACAUUUCCACAAUCAAACAUAGUUCAUCUUCCUACAAAUCAUACCAUAAUUAUGACCAUUAGCAUUUCAACAUAAACUUACCGUUUGAGUCAUACCCUUGAUGCAUCAUAAGUACCAAAGUGACACAAUCCAACCAACAUCAAAUGGUACCAACACAACUUAUACAUGCCAAAAUCAUCAACUAACAUUCAACUAGAUACCAAUACAAGUCCACAUAUACAUGCGAUUAUAACCUUGGCCAAAAUAUAAAAAACUACCGAUAUUUAUGCUUAGUAUGAUUGAUCUCCGACAAGCUUCUAAACCGAUCGAGCUUCCGAUUAUUUAUAAAACAUGGGAAAGAAAACUAUAUAAGCACAUAAUGCUUAGUAAGUUCGUAAAACAUGGAACAUAACUUACCAUUUCCUUAUAUAACAUUAAGUACAAGUAUAAUGCAAUGCAACACAAGCUUGGCACAAGCCUAAUCACCAUCAUCAAUACACAAGUUAGUGCAUAUAUACAUAAUUCAAUUGAAUUUAACAUAUGGUAAUCCAUUUCCAUAGAAAUAUACAUCAUUUGAUUCAUUCUUCAUUUUCAUGAACAUAAGCACACUUCUAUUUGGAAACUUACCAUUUCAAUCCUUUUCUUAAAUACAUGAUAUAGUUCAUUUUGAACACUUACCGUUCCUUUCCUUUUCAUGCCCGUUGAACCAUUUAGAAUAUCUUCAGAUACACGGGAAAGCUCACACGAAUUGUGCUUAAACAUAUAAUCAUAACCUUUCCUUUACAUUGUUACUCACACGAGCUGUGAAAUAGGCCUGCUUGUACGAAUUGUGAAAUGAGAUUGCUCACACGAGUUGUGGGUCGAAAUGUAUGCUAGACGAUGUUGCUUACACAAGCUGUGGAGUAUCUAAAACAAAUGCAGGACCUCUGUUUUGGUAUGACAUUCAAGACUAGCACCUAAACAUGAAAAUCCUAAUGUCAUGUCAUUUGUAUCCUUUGAAUUCUUAAAGUUCAACUGGGACUCGAUAACCGUCGUAGCAUGAUUUUGGAUAUACAUUGUUCAAUAGCAUUUUUAAUACAUAAUAACAUAUAAUUAGACAUCAUGAACAUAAUAAUCCGUACAUACAAAACCUCGACGAGUAGGGCGUAAAAACGGGAUCUACUAAUCUGAGGCUUUAGCUUUUCCCCGAUCUCGAUCCGUUCGUGGCCUAUCUUGAUCUAAAUAGAAAAUAUAAUUCAUUAAAUUUCCCUAGCAUACAAUUUAGUCCAUAUUUCAUAUUUAUACAAAAUUACUAUUUUUCCCUUAACAUUUUAACUUUUUACAAUUUAGUCCUUAAGCUGAUAAAUUAAAAUCUAAGCUUUUUCAUCAUUUUCUCAAGUUAGCCGAUUUCUUUAGGGACCUAUAUCAACUCAUACAAACCAUCAUUUCAUAGAUUUAACUUGAAAUUUUAUCUUUUUUUACAAAUAAGUCCCUAAUUACAAUUUUCAUAAAAAAAUCACCUUAUAAAACUUGUUUAUUUAUGAACAAGAACUCAUAAUCUACCAUUAAACAUAAAGAAUAAUGCACGAACAUUCAUGGAAAAACCCUAAAUCUUUAACAAUUUUACAAAUUGAUCCUCGAGAUAGCUAAGUUAAGCUACAAAGAUCUCAAAAACAUAAAAAUCAUUAAAAACGAGGUAAAAAUCACUUAAAUGCAGUACUUGAACAUAGCCAAACCUUCAAGAUGAAAAAUGGAUGUUUUCCUUCUUUAAUUUCGAUGGAAACAUGAACUAAAGAAGAUGAUACUUUUAUUUUAUGUUAUUUUUCUUUACUUAAUUAUUAAAUUACCUUAAUAACCUUGUUAAUUAACUAAAUAAAACACCUAAUUCAUGCCCAUCCUUUUUCACUAACAUUAUGAAUGGUCUAAUUACCAUUUAAGUCCAGUCACAUUUAAUUUUUGUAGCCAUUUGACCCUUUUUACUAAUAGAACUCCAUUUUUUCACCUUUUAUGAUUUAGUCCUUUUCACUUAAUUAAGCAUGCAAACAUUGAAAUUUAUUGACAAAAAUUUUAUACAACCUUACUAACAUUCCAUAAACAUUAAAAAUAAUUAUAAAAUAAUAAUUUACUUGUCGAAUUUGUGGUCUCAAAACCACUGUUCUGAUUUCACUAGGAACGGGCUGUUACAAAGAUAGUCAUUAAUAAAUGUUGUCUUGAUAUCCAUUUGCUAGAUCUCGUAAUCAAGAGCAGCGGCAAUGGAUAAGAGUAUGUGAAUAGAAUUGAAAAUGGCUACCAGAGAGAAUGUCUCAUCGUAAUCGAUGCCUUCUUGCUAUGUGUAGUAUUUCCCUACAAGUCUAGCUUUAUGUGUUUCCACUUCCCCUUCCGCAUUUCUCUUCUUCUUGUAGAUUUGCUUACACCCUAGAAGUUUUAAUCCCAACCAGUAAGUCUACAAGUUCCCACACCAUAUUGGAUUUCAUAGAAUCCAUCUCGACAUCCAUGGUUGUUUUUAGAUAUUGAAAUCAAUGUUCUGCAUAGCCUCAUCGUAAGUGAGUAGAUCAUUAUCCUCAUGAUUGACUUCUAUAUUAUAAAUACUACCAUCAUAGGUGAAGAAGUCUAAUUUCUUAAAAGUUCUCCAACUACGACGGAUUCCCCUAUGUUGUUGAUUGUUUGCAGGUCGUUCUACAACUAUCUCGAGAAUUAAACUUUGUUAUUGUUCUACAACUCCUCGAGUACCACUUUACUUCGAGCCUUAAAGUUAUCCAUGUAGCUUUCUUCGAGGAAAAUAGCAUGAGUAGAAACUUUGAUCGUAUUAUCAUUUAGAUUGUAUAAUAAUUCACCCUUUGCUCAUUCUGGAUAUCUUAUAAACAUGCACAAUUCUUUCCGUGCAUCCAACUUCUCUGCAUCCUUAUCCAAAACGUGUGCUGGACAACCCUAUAUUCUAAAGUGAUUUAGAACUGAUUUCUUUUCAUGCCACAGUUUAUAAGGUGUCUUACAAGCAGACUUGGUUGGCACAUCAUUCAGACUAUAGCAAAUUAUUUAUAUCGCAUAUCCUUAGAAGGGAGUAAGGAGUUUUGAAUAGCUUAACAUUGAACGAACCAUGUUAAGCAAUGUUCUAUUCCUUCUCUCAGCUACACCAUUAUCCUGUGGAGUGCUUGACGUAGUCAACUGGGAUAAAAUCUCAUUCUCUAUGAGGUAUUCUAAGAACUCGUCAGACAAGUAUUCCCCACCUCGGUCAGAUUUAAGAUUCUUUAUGGAUAAACCUAAUUGCUUUUCCACUUUUGCACGAAACUCUCGAAAUUUAUCAAAUGCUUCACUUUUGUGGUUCAUUAGAUACACAUAUCCAUAUUGAGAAUAGUCUUAAAUGAAAGUCAAGUAAUAAUCAUAACUUCCUCAGGCACUGAUGCUCAUGGGACCACAUACAUUAGUGUGCACAAGUUCUAAAGGUUGGUUGGCCCUUGUACCUUUCGCAUUAGAAAACUACUUAGUCAUUUUUACCUUCCAAUCAAGAUUCACAUUGUGGAAGACUAACUUCCUUAAGCAUACUUAAGGGACCAUCUUUCAUGAUUCUAGUGAUUCUUUCUUGGUUAAUAUGACCAAAUCUUAAGUGGCAUAGGUAUCCCUCAUUAGAGUAAGACGUUUUAAGAUUUUAUUUUCCAUCCAUCCAUUACAAAUUAAAGAACAAUUUUUGUGAAUAAUAAUCCCUUUAUUAAAUGUCACUGUAUAACUUUCGUAAAAUAAACAUGCUACAAAUAAUAAAUUCCUCUUAAAAUAAGAUACAUAAAAUAUGUUUUUUAAAAUAAUCUUCCUAAAAUUAUCAAAAUGUAAAAUAACUUCUCUCACUACUUCAACUGAAACAUAGCUCCCAUCUCCAAUCUGCAAUGAGAGGCUCUUGUCACGUAAACAUCUCAUUUCACUGAACUCCCGUAAAGAAGCACAUACAUGGUUAAUGGCUCUAAAAUCAAUAAAUCAGUUGUCUAUUGAUUCUUCCCUUAAGCAAGUUUCAACCACAAAGAGUUCCAUACAUUUGCCAUUUUCGGCUAGGUAAAUCAAAUACUCUUUACAGUUUGCUUUGAAAUGCCCCGUAACACCCAUAUCCCGUCUCUGUUGCCGGAUUAUGGAUUGGAGUGUUAUAGAACCAAACCAAAACAAUUUAUCUUAAUUCCAUAACAAGUAUUCAAUGAAUUUAAAAACACAUAUCAUAUUAUAUCAUAUCAAUACAGAUCAUAUCAUAUAAUAAAUAUGCACAUGGGCCUUUUUUCGGGUUUACAAGGCCUUAAAAUUAGAUUAAAAAUAAUCAUAGAUCAAAUUGAGACAAAUUAUAAAUUUUUGAGAUAAACAUGAAAAUUUGAUAUGCAGGGGUCACAUGGCCAUGUGUCCAGACUGUGUGACAUAGCCCAAACUGUGUGGGAAUUCGAGGUUGGGACACACGGCCGUGUCCCAGCCUGUGUCUCUAUCUGUGUAACUCACUGACUUUGAUCACACGGUCAUGUCAUAGACCGUGUGUCAGGCCAUGUAACUCUCUAACUAAAUACACACGACCGUGUGCCAGAUCGUGUAUGGCACAUGGCCGUGUGGCAGCUCGUGUGCACCAAAAUGAACAUUAAACAUCAAGUUUACCAAAUCAUGCUUACUUGAACACUAAACAAUCCAAUUACUAGCCAUAACCUAUUCAAAACACAAUUAAACAUGCUCAAAACAUGCCAAAACAAUCAUCUUAAGUGCCUAACCAAUGUACCCUCUUUAGUACCACAUUUUAUAUUUUCUAAUAUAUUAAUAAAACAUUAAACUAAAAUAUAUACCAAAACAUUUAGAUAGGCUAACCUACCAAAACAUAGUCUCAAAAAUAAUGAAAAGACCUCCCUAUAUAUGUCAUUACAAAAUAAAGCAUCACACCAGAACUCUAAACCACAUCAUUCAACAAUUACAGAUCAAUGUAUUCAUCUAUGCAUUACAUAUAUAUACACCUGUUCCAUCAUUACAAAAUGUACUCUAGUAAAACACAGAUCUCACUCAUUAACUAAAUCUAUCAACAUUCUCAAAACUCAUAUAUUCAUCAAUAUAUACAUGCCACUACCCAAUUAAGAUGCAAAAGUACCGACUUAGAUGUGAGCUAGUUGAUUGAUCAUUCCAAAAAGUCAGCAACGAUUAUCUACAACACUUUCGAUUUAAUCACAGGGAUCUAUUCUAUAAUUUUCCUUUUUCCUCGAUUUAAGUCUUUCUGUCCCGGUUCUUGAUAUGCAAGCAAUGGAAAUGGCCAAACCUAACUUUAAAAGAAAUGGCUUUCUUCUCUUCUCAAAUUCAGCUAAGGAUGGUGGAAGAUGACAAUGUUUCUUUUCUUAUUAUUUUACUUUAGUUUUGUUUUAUUAUAUUACCAUUUUACCCUUAGAAUUAAGCUUAUAAUUUAACAACUAAAAAGGCCCUUAACUGUCUAUCCAAAAUCACAUGGACUAAUUACUUUAUAAGUCCUCUUUUAUUUGAUAGUUAAGCUAUCAAAUCAUUAUAAUUCAAUUAUGUCUAGAUUUUGAACAUUUUACAACUUAAUCAUUUUUCUUAAUUUAACUAAGUAAACAUUAAAAUUCUUUCACUGAAACUUAAUACGACCCUAAUGUAACUCCACAACAUUGAAUAAACCAUAAAACACAACUUCAUAUAUCGAUAUUUGUGGUCCCGAAACCACUAUUCCAUUACCACUAAACAACGGGAUAUUACAUGCCCUUUUCUAUUGCAGAAGAAACAUUAGAUCUUUUUAGGAUAUUUUGACUUCUUAGCCUUCUUCCUAUCCAUACGAGGUGGAAUCGAAGACUUAGUAGGUUUAUUCUUUCUUUUAGCUUUUUGCUUUCAUUUAGAGGAUGAAAGACCCACUGCUAAGUUUGCCUCAGGUUUCUCCUGAACUGACUUUCCACCAUUCAACAUCAACUAAUAGGAUGGUAAUUCCUUCAUGAGCUGAGUCAAGGUAAGCGCCUUGUUCCUUAAGUUAUAAGCAACCCUAAAACCAGCAAACUCCUUAGUUAAGGAUUUGAACACUAUUUCAAUCUGAGUGUUCACGUCUAGUUCAACCCCAUUGUCUUCCGCUUCCGCAAAGAUUCCCAUAAGCUUAAGCAUAUGUUUUUUGACUAGAGUGCUGGAUUUUUGUUGAGAGUUCAUCAUAUUUGUAAUAGCGGAUUCUCGAGCUAAUGCGACUUUGCCUCGGAGCAAAUCCUCCAAUUUUUUCAUAAUCUUUUUAGUAGUACGAAAAUUCUCAUGUUACUUUUGUAACACAUUACUCAUGCUUGUUAACACAUAACAUCGAGCAAACGAGUCAGAAUCUCUCCAACGAUUUCUCGCUUUGGGCUAAGCUUUAAAAGGGUACAUUUCGUCAAGAACGAAUUUGUGUUUCUCACAGCUAAGAACUAUUAGCAAGUUUCGUUUCUAUUCUCGAAAGUUAUCCCUAUCCAAUUUAUUUUUAGUAAGAAUGCUAAUAAGAGGAGUAAGAGACAUAUUUGAACUGAAAAAUAAAGAUUCACUAAUUACUAUCUUUGUAUUAAGCAAAUAUUUUCAUUUCAGAAACAUAUCAAGAAUGCAAUAUGAUGCAUGCGUCUUGUAUUAAAACCUUGAAAAACCAUUUUUCUGUUGCUACGAUCAUUCUCAUACCCAUCAACCAUGUCAUCUUGGGGUCCCAUGAUUAACUAGAAAGAAUACGAAUUACAUCCAUUUAGUUCGUGAAUCUUAAUUCUCAAGACUCCACACGAACCAAUGACCAUUUUUUUGGAUCGCCGGCACCCCUACGGUGCAGCACCCUAACCAUGGAUCCAUGUGUGAAGAACAAAUCGGGGUGAAAAGAUUACGAAAUUACCUAAUAUUUCGAUUGAGAAGACAGUAACUUCUCAACAAUGUGUAGUCUGAUCUACAGUCAAACCAAGUCACAAUCUAUUGAGACUCUGACCUCUACGUAAUCCACCCAGUUGACUACGAACGGAAGAAAAUUCCCAAAACAGUUUUGAGAGUUGUAUUUCUUUGACGGCUGCUAGACCUUAAAAAUAAUGAAAAACGGGAUUCUAAUAUAUCCCUUUUAUUUUUAGGGUUUUUUAGGAAUUAAAUAAAUAAAAUAAUAUUUUAAACCGAAAAUUAUAAUUACAUUAAUUAUAAUAUAAUUUCGGUAAACCAUAUAUUUAUUUAAAUUCAUAUGCUAAUCAAAUUCAUGUCCUCAUUAUGCGUACAACAACCUUGUACAUAAUGUGUUGGAGAUUUGAUUACUGAAUUAAAUUAAUUCUAUAAUUAAUUUAAUUCAAGUGACACCCAAAAAUAAAACCAACUAUGGUUUAUUCCGUUCAUUUCAACUAUAGGGUGUGACCCUGUAGGUUCCUGUAACGUUAGCAGUAAUACUAGAACGAUUCCAAUGUUACAAACAAUGAGUGGCAUCUAGCAAUGCAUCAUUGCUACCUAAGUCACAAGAGAUCAUGAUUCGACAUAACCUUUUAUGAUUAACCUUUUAUGCAAUAACCCUUAAGUCCUUUAUCUCUGGAUUGGACACAAGUCAUGGAAUAGUCACACUUGUAUAGUCCAUUCCAUGUUCCUUGAUAUCUUAAGCAGACUACGAUAUACAAAUAAGUAUGACAUCUCAUAUCAACUUAUUUGAGCAUGGCCAUGCAUUUCUAGUUUCACUUAAUCAAGUGGCCUAAGAUAUUACUCCCAUUAUGUAGGAGGGACUUAUUCUAUAUUGACCAACCAUAUCCCUCUACAUCGAUUGUGAUAUAUCCAACAUCAGCCUUUAUAGAACAACUAGUUACGGUGUACGUUUAACUGUAUCAAAAUAUACUACUCACGAUGUUGGGAUUAUGAUGAUCUCAAGUCUGAGGAUCAUAUACAUAUUAAUCACUAUGAGUAAUGUCGUGACAAUUACAUAAUAAUCCAAGAGACAUACUCAUAAUGGGUCAGUCCAAUAUGUUGUUCUCUAACACACAUAUUCAUGCAUCGAUUCUGACAUUCCAUAUCAAUGACAACUCUUUAUCAUCAAUCAACUACAUGUUAGUCUUAAUGCAUUAUCAUUGUCCUAUCCAACAAUAAUACUUGACUAAGGAUCUUUUAAGAAUAAUCAUAUUAUUCUUAGGACAUUAUUAUAAAACAGCUUAUUUAUACACACAGAAAAGAAACUUAAAUAAUAAUGGUAACGCCUUAUAUUAAUAAACAUGAUAAAUCAAGUAUGUUAUUACAACCAUCUCAUGAUUGGUCUUUGGGCAUACUCUAACACAUUUAACGUUUGGUCAUCAUCUCUAGCUUAAAUAUAAUUUUUGGGGAAACUAUUUAAUAAGAGAAUAUCUUGAGUGUGUAACCAUUGUCUCAACAUCCAUCAUGAACACACUUUCAUUUGUGAGUCAUCUUGGGACAAUCUCAUAGAGAGUCAUGCAUGACUAGUUUUCCUGAAAAGGAAAUCUCAUCCAGUGAAUUCACAUGAUAAAAUUUACAUUGGGGUGCGGCCAAGGUAGGAACCAACUCAAAAUUUUAUCAUGCUAUCACUUAGGGACCAUUAAUGGAGGUCAUAGGUCUUGUUCAAGAACUUUCUCCCACUCAAUAUUUUAAAAUAGCAUGCAAGGUUUUUUAUCCCAUAUGUCAAGAAUGAUCAUGCAAUAGUCCUAGUGGCAUUUUUACCUAAUCUAUAUGUCAUGCUUCCAAUAUAUGCAUGGUAUGCUAUAAAAAUUUUAUAAUAUUUACAUUCUUUUAUCACAAGAAUCAAUUAACCAAAAAACAAACAAUUUUGAUUCUCCACAGUUUUUGUUUUGAGGGAACAACAGGAGAAGUGAAUGUAAACCAUGCACUAGGUAGGGUCCUAGGAAAAAGAGGCGAGUCAAAUUUGACCGCUUAAAAACCAAGUAUUUCUUAGCUAGAAUCAUUCCUAGACAUGCACGUUCUCAUUACCACACUGCUCACAGUAAUCGAAUAACCUAAAGAAGUGACUAGAACAAUACAACACAAGUAUUUUCUCAUUAUCACACUUCUUAUUUUGUAUUCGAUCAACUACAGAUCAUCUCAUAUAUAUAUCACAAUUAUAACAUUACAUAAUAUAAAUAUUAGAAACAAUUAUAAAACAGUGUCCAUUAAUGUUUCUAUGGUUCUAUUUCCAGAAUAAAUGAAAAAAAAUAAAAUUACAUAAUUUUUCACCACAAGGCAUUCCUUGGGCCUUCAACUGGCAUCGCUCCAUCUUCUCCUCAUUAUGGACUUCUUUUGAAAAAAUUACAUUUAAGUCCUAUAUCUGUUUUCGGCUCACAAGAAUUCUAUGAACUAAAGAAAAAUUCUUAUGUGGAGAUGAUAGUCAACAGUCUAUUUCCUAAGAACCACAACCUUGGAAAACAAAAUUAUAUAACAAAUAUAUAAUAUUGCAUCCAUUCCCAUAUACAACUCAAAACAUGCAUAAGAUCUAAAGAAUAUCACUUUAUAUGUAAUCAAAUCAUUCAAGAAGAAGAGAAAUUUAUAUUGAUUAUCUGCUUAUACUUACAGAUAAAACACAACCUGACUCUAAUACCAAUUGUUGGAAAAUCGAGUUUAGAAAAUGCAAUGGAAAAUAAAUUUAGGGAAAAAUUAGUUUUAAAAAAAAACUCCAAAAAAGAACUUGGUUGUGAUAUCUACAGUAAUAAACACUUAAUCAAAAUUGUAUCUUUUCGAUUCGUCUAGGAUGAACGCUUCGACAUAGUAGUCUUCUCUGUUAUCCUCAAGCUCACGUUUUCCGAGUGUGGUCUUGCUUCGAAUCAAAAAUUUUUUCACAAAAGUACCAGUAGGAUAAUUUUUCAAUUUCUCUAAACUUUUGGGAUAAGUUGUAAAUAAAAAAUAUGUUUAGAAAUUUUCUUAAAUAAUUUCUUUAUAGAAUUUUCUCUCUACAACUUUCUCUUGAAUUCAAGUGUGUGAAAAUAAUGACCCAAGACUCUCUUUAUAUAAGGAGAGUUUAGAGAGUUCAACUAUGAUUAAACUUAAUCACUUUAAUAUUAAAUUUAACCUAAUAUUUAAUCAAGAUAAAUAUUAGUCUAAAUUUAAUAUUAAAUCUUAUUAAAUUAAUAGAAUAUUUAUCUACAAUAUAAACAUUAAAUUAAAUUUAAUAUUAAGAUAAUAACUUUAAUAUUAAAUUAAUAAAAUACUAUUAAUAAGUAUUACAUUAAAUUUAAUAUUAAAUAUAUUAAAAUAAUAUUAUUUCUGGAAUAGUUAAUCUGAAAUCAAAUUCUCUAGUAGAAUCCCAAUAGGAGUAUAAUUCUUCCACUACUCAACCACCGAAGAGAACCACCGUCGUUGACCAUAUUCCUACCACUGGAAUGUUGUCGUCAUAGCUGUCGAUGCCUCGAGUUGGUUCGAUUUCUAGCGGUUCGGUCCGAGCCAAUGAUAGCCAGAUCGGUCCGGUCCAAGCAGUUUUCACAUCCAAGCCCGGUUCGACUAGUUUUUGGGUCUUGGUCUUGAUUUUGGUCUCCCGAGCCCAAUUUACGAUAUCAGGUCCAAUUUUCAAGUUCAAUUACCCAUUGGUCCAACUGUUUGAGUUGAAAAUUAAUUUCUAAAAAUAUCAUAUUAAUUUUAUUAAUUUAAUUUUACUUGAUCAAAAUAAAUUUUUCCAAAAAUGAUUUAGAUUUUCCAAAUUAAUUUUGCAAGAAAAUUCUUUAAUCAAAUUCUUUAGUUGAACAAUUCUUACAACCGCCCAAUUUAUUUCAACAUCGAAUAAAUUGACUCAAUUAAAUUAUUUAUAAAGUCGUAAAAUUUACUUCUAAUUCAAAUGCAGUCCAGUUGAGCUUUUGUUGAGCUAGCAAACGGACCAAUCAAACAUAUACAAUUAGGAUUUAUUAAUUGUAAUUAUGUCCAGAAGCACCGUUCUGAUAAUUCACAAUUACAUAAUCAUGGAGCCAGUCCACAAUAAGUACUAUGAUUGAAAACUCAUUAUUGUAUACUCUUUACGAAAGUAAUUCAUCCAACUGUUUUGCCCAAUGACCUCAUCAUGUUUGCCUCAUAUGAUAUCCUUGAUUCCUUUGAGUUGAUGUGUUCUCGGGUUUGCUAAAUAGGCUGAAACCUAAGCUGCCAUUUCCAUCCUAUUUGGGACUAUGACGCAGGCUAAAGCUAAAGGAUUCAAAUAAGUAUUUGUGGGCUCUUAAGGCCCUAACCAUCCACUUUAUUUAUUUAAUUAAUUCCACAAUUUAUAAUUUUAAUUUUAUUUAAUAUGUGUCAUGAUUGUGUCGUUGUUAUUACAUUGUUUUAAAUAGAGUCUUAAGAAUGUCUAGUUUGCUACAUGUUUAAUGUGUCUUAAAAUAUGUUAUGGUGUCAUUAUUAUGUUCCAUUUUAUUACAACAUUGUUAUUAUGUUUAUUGUGUCCUAAUGGUGUGUUUAACGUGCCCUAGGGAAAUCUAAUGGCCUUCUUAAGAAGCUAAGGGAUUUUUCGCUUGGCUAAAAGAGAUCAAGCGCGUUCACACCUGUUCAAUUCAGCUUGAAAAGUGACCAUUCAACCAACAAGUGCUUCAUUAAGUGCCACUAUCCAAAUGAGGGCUGAACAUGGUUGUUGGAAACUUUUCUAGAAAAUGUCUAUUGGGUUUUUCCAUGCCUCAUAAAGCCGCCGUCCACCAAGGGGGAAGUAUAAGCCUUUUGAAGAAUUGCUUAGCCAUUUAGCAUGCUUGAAUUCUUCCCCAAUGUAAUUAAUGGCAACCUCUAUAUUCAAUGCUAAGAUGCAUGGACGACUAAGGUUAUGUACUUGAGUUUAAAGUAACAUUUCAUAUCUUUCACAUUAAGACCGAAUGUGGCCAUUAGCAUACCUAAGCUUAUAAAGAUUUUAGUCAUGUUAUUUUGUAAGGUUAGACAUCUUUGAAUCAAUAUUGUGAGAUUAUUCUCUUGUUCCUUAAGAACUUAUUUCUAACUUAUCAAGAAUUCAUUCUUGUGGCAUUCUCCCAUUUUUUAUCUUAUCACACCCCUUCUUAUCUUUCCGGAGUGUGGCAGUCAACCCUAUACCUUUGGUUCUUAUCUCUAUAUAGAUAGAGGGUCAAGGUUCUUCUUUUUUUCUAAGCUUCUUGAGUUUUAAACAACCAUAUAGAAAUCGGGUUGUGUUAUUUUAUAACGUUGGUUCAUUUUUGUUCAUUUUAAGUUCGUGAGUUAUAUCUUGUCAAGAACGAAUGGGAACUUAAUAAUCAUGACUCGUGAUUUCAAUACGUAACAAGGUUCAUGUCAUGAGUUAAAUCCGUUCACUCAAUAAAAUCCUAUUUUAUCCCAUUGUCACCAUUGUGUCUUUUUAAUGAUUAACAUGAUCACUGUUAACAAAUGGCUGUGAUAAAUUGCUCGUUCGAGAACAAGUAACCGUGGUCACGUUCCAUGUUUAUUAAUCCACACAACACCAAUGAGAGGAUAUCGUUAACUCUUUAAUUGAGCUAUAAAUUCCAUUAUUGCUAAUAAAGUCAUGCCAUACACAAGUCAUGUACCCAACAUACCAACUAACGGAUCGAUCAUCUUUACAACAUAAGCCUCCACUUAUAUCAAAGCACAUGAGUUACAUAUGCAUGGUCAUUGACUAACUCAAGAUUUUGUUAAAUCACACCAUAAAUGUCACAAGUGAAUUAAUUCAUCUUGGGUCCAAUCCAAUGUAUCAUUCUACCAAUGAAUACAUCUAUGUCUCUACUCGUGGAGUAAAUUGCUCUGAUAACCAGGACUAGUCAUCACCUCUAUUGGAAUUGUAGACGACAUAAUAAUCCUUCUCAGUAUUUGAAUCAAAUGCUCACUUUGAUUCUUUUAUGGGAUUACAGACUCUUUUAUAUUAUCUACUAAAGUAAGUUGUCUUUCUCGCCACGUAAACAUUUUUAUAAUUCAACUUAUAAUCAAUUUGAACUUAGAUAAUCAAUAAGUUAAUAUUUGUUUGUCACAAAUUCACUAUGCAUGCAAAAUAUGAAAGACAGAAAUACACAAGACAUAAUAGUAAAAUGUGAACUUUAUUUAUUCACCGUUCAAAUACAUAAAAAAUAAUUACAUGUUUACUACAAUAUGAGCACAUUUCCUAACACAACCAAGAAGGAAUUUGGCUCACGACCGUCGAACACCCGGAUGUGGCACACAUUUUGACACGGGAUAAUAGUUGAUUUACUUUAUUAUUGUACUUAUCAUGUUAACAUUUCAAUAAAUAUCAAACAUGUUUAUUGCAUCGAUGUCAAACAUCUUUAUUUUUUAAAAUAAAAAUAAUUGUUUCAUUAAAGUUGGCCUUUGUUAUAAAUUAUUAAUUUGUAUUGUAUAGCAAAAAUGUUUUUUUUUUGCAAAGUACAAUAAGUUGAUUACAAUAAACAAUUUAAUAGGUCUAUUCAUGAGGUGUUGUAAUUGUACCAUCCCUUCGGUGUGGACAUGAUGACAUUGUAUGCCUCGGAUGCCUUCACCACCCACAUAACGUUGGUUGGUGUGGCUUCUCUUGGAUAUCGAUGUUAUCGCAUAUCCAAGUGGACGUCGGUCGACCUUUUGGUUUGUGACAAAAUAAUCUAUCGGGUAACAACUUGAAUAGAGCGUUAGAUACAGAUGGCCACUUGCGUUCAUUAGGGACCUAUGGGAAUACAUUUCUCCACACGUUGUACAUGUUUACCUGUUUGUAGACUUCAUCCACAAAGCUUAUUAGAUCCAAACGUAGACUGCUACAUGCUACAAUUACAUGAGCACAUGGAAAUCGAAGUGCGUCAAAUCUCCCACAGUCACAGGUUCAAUAUCUGAGGUGUACAUGGUACGCUCCCCCAACAAUCUUUUGGUUGGGUCUUUCGAAUUCUAUUACCCAAAACCAUAAGUCUUCACGCGAGUGACACACUAGAUGCAUACAAUUCACUCGUGUUGUUGCCUUCCUAAUUUCUUUUAGUAUGUCCUCGCUCCAAACAUGGUCGCCCUGUAUCUGCCCAACAUAAUUCGCCGCUCGCUUUGGAAAAAUUUCAGCCAAACGGAAGUAUGUCACUUUGAUAACCGAGGUUACCAACAAAUGAUACGUUCUCUUCAAAGCAGAAUUGAUGCAUUCUGCCAGGUUUUUUGUCAUGUGCCCAAACCAUAGACCCUCAUCAUAGGAUUGUGUCCAUUGUUCAAAGGGUAUGUUACCGAGGUAGUCCGCCCCGUCAUCAUUAAUGGCCUGUAAGUUUCUCAGCAUUUCACAGAAACAGUCUUUGAAGAACUCAUACCCUAUCAACAAAAGUGAAUAAUAGUUUAUCCAUAAUGCCCAACAUUUUCUCACUGGUUAAAUAUCAAAGAAUAAUUAAUAGUAGCAAUUAUAUACCCAUGUUGAUCACUUGUGCUCAUGAGCAGUAGAGUCGUAUUAUCUAUGGUAAAUCGAUGAACAUGCCUUAGACAAUACCUAUGGUAUGUGUGGUCCCAAAGGCUUCCCUGUCGUCCAAAUAUGGCUAGAAUUUUAGGCCCUCAAUUUGAGAUGAUGCAAAUAUCGAGUUGGGGGAAAACAUGCCUCAUCAACUUAGAAAGGAAGAAUUCCAAUCAUCUGUUGGCUCUCCAAGCAUGAUUGCAAAGGCAAUCGGUAGGAUUUUUCAAUUAUCGUACUGUGCCACACCCAACAACAACCAAUGGGUAUAUCUCUCGUACAUAAAAGUACCUUCGUUUGUACAAGUGGCUUACAGUAUUGGAAUGCCUCUCGACAUUGCAUGAAAGUCCAAAACAAAUGUUUGAACACUCGGGAUCCAUGGAGCAACCGAUUGUUGUAGUACGCAACCUGAUACGUACAUCUUCAAGACCUGACACCACUGCCAUAUCUCAUUAUACGACGUAUUCCACCCACUAUGCCUUCUCCAAUGUCUUCUGCUUUACGAUCCACGCCUUGCAGUACGAAGACGUGUAAUCGAACUGGCUACAAAAAUUUACAAUUAGAACUAGCACAACAAUUUUAGGACUCGCUUUGACUACAGAGUAUUAUAUCUGCGAUCAUCUUUGAAUCCAAUUUUGAAUGGUCCCGUGAAAUACUUGUAACAACACGAGUACGUUAAGAUUAUCAAUUCAAUCGUGUCAUACACUAAACCAGUAUUAGUGCAGUAUCCGUGACAACACACGUAAACAGAGCGACAAAUUUCUCUAUCGUUCAUAACCCCGUUUUUCUCUUAACAGAUAUCAUGAUUUUCCAUGCAUAUCUGCUGUCUCGCAUUGCGCACUUCACCUUGAACUUGUCAGAUCGGGAUUUAACCACAUAGAAGUUUACCCCAUUUUUAAUUUUGUAUCGCUUCACUGUAACGAUAAAACCAUCUUCAGUUGAGAACUCUUUCCCCACUUCUAAAUCACCCGAAUCCAUCGAAGAAAUCGUUUGGCCCGACCUUCUAGGUGGUAAUUCUGCAAACUCCAUUCCAUCAUCUAUAAAUAGGUCCACAUUAUGCAUGUAGACUGGAGGUGAGUACGCCGUGAACCAUGGAUCUUUUUCAGCAUCAUUACUGAGACAUUUACCAUUUGAACCCUCUAUCUUUUAGUUCAGUUGGAAUCAGUUCUAAUUCAGAAAAUAAUGCAUUUUCUGAACCAUCAGCACCAACAUCUUCCGUGUCAUUCCCUUGUAAGUGUUCCUAGCAUUGAACACUAGCUAACUGAAGUUUAAAUCAGAACCACUAACUAAGUGUUGUGCAGGGGUCCUACCACAAAACCCCGAUUGAUCGGUGUUCUGACUGCUGUAGUUGAAAACUAGUGCUGAAACAGAUGGAUGUCUUCCCAUUUAUGAUUCUGGAUAUCAUAAUGGAAAUUUUCUAAUUGAGAGGUGAACCCACCACACAACUGUGUCGUUGGACUCUCAACUUGUUCUUCCAUUCUAGCCUCUCGAAUAGGAACAUAUGUCGACCUCCGAGGACCUUAUAUGUCCUUGUAAACUCCACAUAUAACUCGAAAAAUGGUGAUCCAAUUCCAAUAUGCGUCUGCACUAUCGCCUCUAACCCCCUCGCACCUUUGAUUUUGAAAGCGUCAUAUCUGAUAGGGUCGACUGAAGCACAAAAUUGAUAUUUAAGGGACAAUACUCUAAUCUGGUUGGAUCUGAUAAUUUUUUGCCUAAUUCUUUUCCAAAGUUAUGGCAAUUCUAUGUUCUAGUUAAAAGCUAACCGCGUUGUGUUCUCUGAUAAAAAAUGACACCAUUUUCGGUGUCAUGCACUUCACCAUCGUAGUAAACAAAAGCAUUCAUUCGUCCACUCAUUUUUAGAUCUAGAUAACCUAUUCCACAUGUUCGACACAAAAUUAUCAUGUAGAGAAAUAGUGUUGUAAUUAAAUAUGAACAACAAAAAUCAAUGCUACUUUAUAUAAUUGCUCCAACUUAUGCCUUAUAUGUGAACUUCUCCUCUUAUGAUCUUCUUACAAUUUUUCUUUACUCGUAAAUGGAUUAUGCCACUCGAUGUUGAAUUAAUUUGGUUUUAUAAACUAGAGGCGACUUGCAGUUGGUUCAGAAAAUUCUCCAGGCCUAGUGGGGAGUUAAAAAUUGUAAAGAGAAAACGCUCCAAGUAGGAUGCACUGUCUGAAAACACUUUCAAGUGGGCACACUUUCAAUGUUUCUAAUGAUAGUGUUGUUAGAGUAUGCCCAAAGACCAAUCAUGAUAUGAUUGCAAUAACUUACUUAUUUUACCUCGUUUAUUAAUAUAAGGCAUUGUCAUUAUUAUUUCAGUUUUUUCUAUGUAUAUAAAUAAACUAUUUUAGAUAAUAAUAUCUUAAGAAUAAUAUGAUUAUUCUUAGAAGGUCCUUAGUCGAGUAUUAUUGUGAGCUUGGACAACAAUAAUGCAUUAAGACUAACGUGUAGUUUAUUAAUGACAAAGUGUUUUCAUUGACAUGGCAUGUCAAAAUCAAUACAUGAGUAUAUGUGUGAACAACAUAUUGGACUAACCCGCUAUGAGUAUGUUUCUUGGAUUAUUAUGUAAUAGUCACAACGUUACUCAUAGUGAUUACUAUGUAUACGAUCCUCAAACUUAAAAUCAUCAUUAUCUUAACAUCAUGAGUCGUAUAUUUUGAUACAAUCAAACAUUCACCGUAACUGGUUGUUCUAUAAAGGCUGAUGUUGGAUAUACUACAAUCUAUGUAGUGGGAUAUGGUUGAUCAAUAUAAGAUUUGCCCUUCCUACAUAAUGGGAGCAAUAUCUUAGGCUACUUGAUUGAAUGAGACUAGAAAUGCAUGACCAUGCUCGAAUAAGUUGAUAUGAGAUAUCAUACUUAUUUGUUUAUCAUAGUCUACUCAGGAUAUCAAGAAACAUUCGAUAGACUAUGCAAGUGUGACUAUUCCAUAACUUGUGUCCAUUCUAGAUAGAAAGAACAAAAGGAUUAAUACAUGAAGGGUUAAUCACAGAGAGGUUAUGUUGAAUCAUGACUUCUUAUAACUUAGGUAGCAAUGAUGCAUUGCUAGAUGCCACUCAUUAUUUGUAAUAUUAGAAUCGUUCUAGUAUUACUGCUAACACUACAAGAACAUACAAGGUCACACUCUAUGGUUAAAACGAACGGAAUCCAAACAUAGUUGGUAAUAUUUUUAGCUGUCACAUGAAUUAAAUUGAUUAUAGAAUUAAUUUAAUUGAGCAUUUAAAUAUCGAACAAAUUAUAUGUACAAGCAUGUUGUACACAUAAUGAGAACAUGAUUAAAUUAAUAUAAAUGAAUUUGAUUUGUAUAAAAUUUAACUAAACAUAAUUUAUCGAAAUCAUUGUUAUAAUUGUUGUAAUUAUAAUUUACGAUCGAAUAUUAUUAUAAUUAUUGUAAUUAUAAUUUUUCGAUCAAACAUUAUUAUAAUUGUGGUAAUUAUAAUUAUUACAUUCGGUUAAUUAUUAUAAUGAAUUUUGAUUCAUAUUAAAAAUAUCAACUAUUCCCAGAUUAGGAAAUAUAGGGUUUUUAAGAAAACCUAAUAUACUUGAAAUAAAAAGAGUGAGGUCUUGCAGCCAUUCUAUAGUGAAUUCUCUCUGAAAAUUUUAAGAGAGUUCUUGUCGUUCGUUGCGACACCAGGUGGAUUAUGUAGAGACCGAAACUUUUUGUAGCGGCUUGGAAUCGACAUACAAUUGCGUAAUCAAUUUCACAACAAUUAUCUGUAGUUUUUCAGACGAUUAAAAGUAAUCGUUCAUACCCUUCUCACCCCGAUUCGUUUCUCGCACAUGGAUCCCUGGAUGUGAUCGCCAAAUUUAAUUUUUUUCGGUUGCACCAUGGGGUGUACUAGUGUUCUUACAAGUGCGUCCUACUUGGAGUGUUUUCUCUCUAUAAAUUUCAACCCCAGCCUUAUUCCAAGAAACUCAUCAUAUAUCCCAGGAUUCCUGAGAUAUAUUUUCUAAACUUAACUAUUUGAAAAUAAUAGAUAAGAGAAUAAACAAUUUACUAAAAAAUUGGAUCAAACAAAUAUUAAGAAAGCGAAAAAAUUAAUAACUAAUAUUUCAUCCCUCGCGAGUAGACCAGGUUUCGAUUAUGAAUCCAAUUCAAUUUUCCAAUUUGAAUAUACGAUUGGUGUAAAUACGAUGUUUUAAAUUUUGAAAUAAAUAGUUAUUAUUUAACAUCUCAAAAAAUUAUUACAAAAUAAAUAAUUAAAAAACUCAAAAAAAAAUUAUUAAACCCUAAACUCAAAAAACCUUACUUUAUAUACCCAAAACCCUAACCCUAAAAACUAAUAACCCUAAUUUUAAAAAGGUCUGGCAUUGGAAAAAUCAAAGGAAAAGUGUUUCUAGUUAGAAGUGUUUUCAGUUGACUUGGCAGAAAGUGCUUCCAACUGGAAACGUUUUUCAGGCAACACGUUGAAAAUGCUUCCAACUGGAAGUGUUUUCCAAAAAAUGGUCUAUUCCCGUAAUUUUUACUAAAAUCGGCCUAUUCACAUAAUUUUUUUGACAUUUAUUGGUAAGUUAGUCCAAUUAAAAUAAUUUUAAUUCUUGAAUUAAAAUAAGUUGAAUUUAGAAAGAAAAAGAAAGUCUACCUUGUAGCAUGUCUGUUUGGUUUUCUCUCUGUCUGCUUGUAAAAUGGUGGAAGAAAUGGUGAAUCUCAAUAUAGCAGAAGAUAAGAAAGAGCCGGUGCAAGCUUUGGGGGAUAAAGAUGUGGUAGAAGAGUAUUAUAGCCUAUGUUUGGUGGGGCGGGUAUUAACGAAUAGUGUGGUUCAUUUCCCAUUUAUGAGGAAUAUUUUGGUAGAUCUGUGGCAUCUGUUGGGGGGAGUAUCCAGCACGGAUAUUGGGGAAAAGCGAGUCCUGUUUUGAUUUUUCAAUAUGAUAGAUCUGAGGAGGGUGAUGGAUGGAAUGCCCUGGUUUUUUAACAUACACCUAAUUAUUUUCCAUUAACUAGAGAAGGGGGAAAGAUCCUUUGCAAGUCCCUCUCAUUCAUGCCUUAUUUUGGGUGUAAGCGCAUAAUUUGCCGAUGGGUUUCAUGUUCGAAGGAAUGGCGCGUAGAUUGGAAACUUUAUUCGCCAAUUUCUAGAGUAUGAUGUUGCGUUAAUAACAAGGAGAGUAAGGAAGUUUAUGCGUAUUAGGGUUAAAUUAGAUGUCCUGGUUCCGUUGAAAAGGAAGAAGCGUGUAGUCUUUUAGCAUAAUAGAUCCACAGAUGCACAGUUCCAAUAUGAGAAGAUUACUUUGUUCUAUUUUUUAUGCGGUAGGUUGGGCCACGGGGAAGGAUUUUGUCCUGUUAGAUUAAUGCUAGGAGCACAGGAGGUGGUUUUUGGUUGGGAUAGCUCGUUGUGGGCUUCACCGCAGAGGGCGGUGCCGGUUGCUAGUUGCUGGCUGAGGGAAGAUCCGGGGGAUGGAGUUGGAUAGAGGACAAGAGGGGAGGAAUUUUGGGGAUAUUCAAACUGCUCAAUCUUAUAACAGUGAACAAGCGUUGUUUUAUUAAUGAUAAUUUGAUAACAAUAUUGUUGAAAAUACCAAUUUGUUUAGAGCUACUGAAGUCUCUGUUUCUCCAGGUUUAUGAAAGCAAAUACAUGAAUGGUUACCUUUCCCAGUUGGCAUAAUUCCAGUAGGGGUGAAAGUAGAGUACUUCCUCCUCAAGUUGAACUCCAAACUUGCUGUCAACCUUAUCCUUCACCAAAGCAAUGAGAUUGAGCAUGUCUUGAGAAGUGGAGGCACCAUUAUUAACUAAGAAAUUGGCAUGGAUAUUGGAAACCAUUGCUCCUCCUAUGCUACACCCUUUCAAUCCAGCUUUAUCAAUCAACUCAGCUGCUGAAACACCCAAAUUCACCGGAUUCCGAAACACUGACCCAGCGCUGCGUUCAUUUACUGGUUGAGUUGCUCUUCGCCUGCAAAUAACAAUUGUUUAUCAGUAAGCAAACCUUUUUCAUACACUGGUUUUGACUUUAAAAGACAGGCAACCUCUUCAAAAGCUCUUGUUGCCUUUUCUUAGCUGACCCUGAGCGCUCUAACCGGAACGUAGCAGCCACGAUUGCUGCCAAGUUGUCCAUGUCCUGAAACGAUGAUGAUCGGUAGCCGAAAGUGAGAUCAAUUCUGUUCAGUGUCCGAAAAUUUCCUUCAGUUGUAACAAUGUCUACGCUUUCAAUAACAUUGGCAGUCUCCUUCAAAAACAAAUGAUCCUUUUUAGCUUCUUCAACCACGAAAAGUAACAAAAAUCCAUUAAUGGUUAGGGUUUAAUCUCAAGAUAAGUUGAAGUCUGAACUCGAGUUCCAUUCAAAAUUCGCAACCCAAAAUCCAAAUCGAGUAUGAUGAACUAUUUCAAACUUAUAUAUCAAAUAACUUUUCUCUACCUUCAACUUCAAACUCAAUUAUUUUUGCUCGAGCUUCGAACUCCAAAUUAGAAUACUCCAAUUCUGGAGCUCGACAAUGACCGAACCAAAUUGGAGUUAAGAAUUAGAGACAUACCUGACCAUUUGCUCCAGCAUUCAUGUAAGUUGCACCUCCUACAGUCCCAGGAAUGCCUGCUGCAAACUCAAGACCUGUAAAUCCUUCAUUGCAACUCAGACUUCCCAAGUGAUUAAAUCGAAAACCACUACCAGCCCUAUAAACUCCAGGUUCCAUCCUCUCUAAGAAGUCAAUCUGAUUUAGAAGCACACAACCAUCAAAACCCAGAUCAUCAAACAGACAAUUUGAGCCUUUGCCAAUCACAACGUAUGGAAUGGAAAACUCACGACAAUAUCUGCAUUACGUAUCAGUUGAAAUCUAAAAUGUUGGUCAUUGAAUCAAAGAGCUUUCAGCCUUGUCAAAAGAAUCAAAUUCAAAUAAAUUACCAUUUCUACUUUAUUAAGAUAAGGUUGAAGAUAGCAAGAAGAAUGAAACCUGAUGGCAGAAAGCAGAUGGGUUUGGUGAAAGACUUGAACAAAGUAAUUGCAAGGGCCACCAAUGCCCCAAGUGCUAAGAUCCUUCAAGAGUUUCUUGCCUCUGACGAAUUUCAAGGCAUUCCAAUUCUGGGUUUGCUCUUUGUUACUGGAAAAAAUGGGGGUUGAGUUUCUAGGAGAUUGAACAACGGGGAAGGCCAUGGACGCCAUUUUAGUGAAGGUUGGAGGAGUUGGGAGCAUGAGUGACGGAUUUUGUCGGGAAGUUGAGAACGGGAAAUUUAUUUCCAUCAGGUUCUUGAUGGGCUUUCACUAUCAAAGAUUUAAACACUUCCGUUUAAUGCGUUAUUACGGUAAAAAGUUCUUUCACUCCACUCAAUUUGGGAAAUAGUAACUGAGGGUUAAUUUUAUAUAAUUUUGAUUAAUAAUAUAAUUACAUAUUUUAACAAUUUAAUUUUAAUCCUAAAAAUUUAAUAAAUUUAACAUUUAAUAUAUAAAAAUCAAUAAAAAAAUACAAUUUAAUCUUCAGCACCCAUAGCAAUUCUUCCUCCUAUCUUUGGAUCCUUCCAUCUUAUUUUUGAAUUCUAAAGCUCUAAAUACUUUCACAAAUAAUGUUUCUUUUUUCUUCUUAAUAUCUGAAAAUCGUAAAGAUUCAAGGAAGCUUCUUUAGAUUCACUUUAAGACGGUAAUGUAUUCCAUCGACAUCCAACCUCUUUUGUAAUAAGUCGUUGAUUAUUUUUAUUAUUUUCCUCCAUCGACUAUAUUUUUCUUCUCAUAUUUAGUUCCAAUCAACAUAAUUAAUCUGUUUCCAUUCCCAUAUUAAUUGCUUUUACUUUUCCUUUUUCUUCCCCUUCUUGAGGUUAAGAAAUCCCAUAAAAGUAAUUUUUUUUAAUCAAUUGAGGUGUUUGUCUGGGUUUGGCUUAGUUGCCCAUCUCAACAAAGCAAAAGUUUUGAGAAAUUGGGUUUUGAAUUCUACAUUGGAUGGGUUUUGAGAAAUUGAGGUUCCUCCGUUAGAUAGGUUCAACGCCAUUUAUAUAUGUAAAAAGAAGAGCAUUCAAUAUGGGAAUGGAAAUUGGAAACAUUUUAACUUUACCACCAUCGGAUCAUGCCCAAACUCAAACCAGCAGCACUUUUCUUUUUCCAAAAUUAGAGAGCAAAGGGAAGUGAAAUAAUAUAAUAUGUCUUGAUUACCAACAAUUGCGGAUCUAAACCAUUGCUUCCAGCAUUCACCUCCAAUGGGUCAUUCGUAUCUAACAGGAUUUCGAAUAAAUUGCCUGAAACACAUAGUUGGAAAUUUUGAGUAUUUUUAAAAUAUAUUUUUUUAAAAUUUGAGAAAAUUUGAAAUUUAUAUAUAUUUGAAGUUUAUUUUUUUAUAUAUAUUUUAUUCUCAUAUAGUUUUUCAUUUUAGAAUCAAAACCAAAUUGAUUGAAGGUGUAAAUACUAAGGGUUAAAUUUGAUUUGUUUUAAAAAUUGGAACCAAUUUGACAAAAUAUGAAAAUAUUAAAUGCUAAAAUUGUUAUUAUACCAAUUAAAAUUAUUUAAAGCUGGCAAAAAAAAUGAUCGUCCUUAGUUGCACAAUUUUGAAAUUUUUAGAGAUUAAACUACUUUGUUUUUUUAGAAGAAUCAAUUUAAUCAAUAUCGAAUUUGACAAGGACAGGGGAGGUCUUUCCACCAUGUUAAUUACUAUAAUUUUAAAUUUCUGAUAUUUAAACAAAGAAGGGGAAGAAAUACUGGAUGGCAAUUAAAGUGGAUUUAGAGAAAGCUUACGAUAGAAUUCGGUGGGAUUUCAUUAGUGAUACUUUGUUGGACGUUGGAUUUCCUUCGAAUUUAAACGAGGUGAUUAUGGAGUGUAGUACUUCGGCUUUCAUGCAGAUAUUAUGGAAUGGAAAACCUUCAGUCUAAUUUGUUCCAAGGAGAGGCAUUAGACAAGGAUGUUGUAACAGCCCGUUUUCGAUAAAAUCGGAACAAUGGUUUCGGGACCACAAAUCUAAUUUCGGAAAAAAAUUUAUUAUUAUAUUAUUUUAUAGUCUAUAGUAUGAUAGUAAUGUCAUAUAAAAAUUUCGUAAAGAAAUUUUACCGAUUACAUGUUUAAUUUGAUAAAGUACCAAAUUGCACAAAGUGCAAAAGUUGAGUUCUAAUAGCUAAAGGGAUUAAAUAGCUAUAGAACUUUAAAUUGGAGGUCCUUAUAUGGUAAAUAGACCAUUAAAAAAACUUAGUAAUUAAGAAUGAUGAUUCAUCCAUGGAAAAUAAAAUAAAGAAAAGGAUGAAAUUAGAAAGUGAAAUAAUAAAAGAUAAUAAAUGAUGAAAAGAUAAAAAUAUCAUCAUUUAUAUCAUCUUUCCCAAAUUAAAAGCAUGGAAACCCUAGCACUGGAAACCUAAGCUCAAGCCAACUUAUUUUGCUUGAUUAGGUAAUUAUUCUUGCCCGUUUUUAAUAAUUUUUAUAUUUCUCAUAUCGUAAAAGCUUAAUCUAGCUAUCUUCAGGAUUAAUUUGCAAAUUUAUCAAGGUACUAGGGUUUUUCCAUGGAUGAACAUAGAUGAAUUAUGAAGUUUUAUGAUAGAAAAUGAAAGGUUGUUGAUAAACAACUUUUGUAAAGCGAAUUUUGAUGAAAUUAUGAUUUAGGAACUAAAUUGAAAAGAUAUAAAAUUCAUGAAAAAAUUCUAAAUUUUAUGAAAUACAUGGGCUGUAAAUUUUACAUGUAAAAAUCGACUAGGCUUGGAAUAAGGAUUAAAUUGCAUGAAUUUUAUUUUUCGAACUUAGGGACGAAAUCGUUAUUAAUUAAAAUUUUAGGGGUAAAAUGGUAAUUUUUUCUGAGAUAUGGAUUGAAUUGAAAUGAACAUGAAUUAAUGUUAAAUUCAUCAUAUAGAUUCGGAUAGACCAAAUUCGAAGUUAGAACGAGGAAAAGAGAAAAUGUUGGAUUAGUAAAUUUUGCGUACACGAAUAUUUGUCGAGGUAAGUUCGUGUAACUAAAUUAUGUAUAUUAAUAUGUUUUAAUUGAAUGUUGUGUAUGUGAACUGUAUAAAUGCUAAAUAUAUGAAAUUGAUUACAUAUCCGAAAAAGCCCGAUAAAUAUUAAAUCUCGUUUGAAUAAUGGAAUUCGAUGGAUACAGAAUUUCCCAAUUGGUUGUAGUCCUGCAUGUGUUGCGGACACACCACAGCUCCUACGAGCAUCCUGUUAUAAGCCCUCUCAAGCUUCUUGUUAUAUGGUUCCUACAAGCAUCCUGAUCGAUAGUGAUCUUGCAUGUGUUGCGGACUACCGCAGCUCAUUGUGAUCGUCCUGUUAUAUGAUCGGUUGUGAUCCUGCAUAUAUUGCGAACACAAACACAGCUCCUUAUGAGCGUCCAGAUAUGGCUCGUUUGAACUUCCUGAUAUAUGGUUAUCCGGAGCUCCUGAUUAAAAGCUCUUCGUGAGCUUCUUAAUUAAAAGUUCUUUAUGAACUUCCUGAUUAUUACUCUUAUGAGAUUCCUGUUAUAUAGCCUGGAUAAGCUUCCUGAUAGGCUCUUUAUGAGCUUCCCAAUUAAUGGCUCUUUGCGAGCUUCCUGUUAUAUGGUUUAAGAGAAGAUUUCUCGAUUAUGUGCUAUAAAGAGCACUCUUGAACAUGAAUUGACAGAUUUCUAAUUUGUACACUUCGAGUGUACUACCUGUGUAUCCAUCGAUAUUUCAAAUAAAUUCAACGGGCAAAAUCCUGACAUGAGAAAAUAUGAACAUGAAAUGAAUUAAAACACGUAUCUACCUGAAAUACAUGAAAAUGAUGAUACAUGAUAUAUGGAAAUACGAGAUGAUAAUAUAUGAACAUGGAAUUUGUUUGAUAAAUAUGUUCAUCCAUGAUUAUAGAUUUGUACACCUUGAGUGUAUUACUCGUGUGACACUAACAUUUCAAAUGAUUCAAUGGGCAAAGUUCCGACAUGAAAUAAUCUGAACUCGAGACGAAUUAUCAUGAAAAUGUACUUGAAAUAAAAUUAAAUAUCAUUUUACUUGAUCUGUAUAUUUCGGUAAUGCUUCGUAACCCUAUUUCAGAGACAGAUACGGGUUAGGGGUGUUACCGAUGUCCAAUGUCUCCUUAUAUCUUAGUGCUUUGUAAGGAAAAAUUGGGUCAUUUAAUUCAUAAGAAUGUUAAGAAUAAACUGUGGAAACCAAUUGUUCAGGGUAAGAAUGGCCUCCUUUAUCACAUCUUUUAUUCGUUGGUGACCUGUUCUUGUUUGCUGAAGUAGAUAUUGAUUAGGCUAAGGUCUUAAAAAAUGUUCUCAACACUUUUAGAGACGUCUUGGGACAUGAAGUCAAUAGACUUAAAACCACUGGCUCUUCUCUAGCAACAUAGACUCCAACCAUGCUAAUGCCAUCUGUAGUGUUUUUGGUUUUUUCCAGACUGAUGAUUUGAGGAUUUAUCUGGGACUACCUCUCAUUCACUGAUGAAUAACAGUGAACUCUUUCAAAUUCAUUGUGGACAAAGUUAGACGAAAGUUGGACAGUUGAAAUGCCAAAAACACUAUCUGUGGUGAGAUGAGUAACUUUAGCUCGGCCAGUUUUAUUGUCGAUUUCUAAUUAUUUUAUGCAAACUGUGAAAAUCUCGUUUAGUAUUUGUACAGAAAUUGAAAAAAUUGCUCAGUGAUUUAUUUGGGGGAGUUAUGGAACCUUUCAAAAACCAGUGUUGGUAAAAUAGGGAGAUUGUUGUCAACCUUUGCAUAAUGGGGGCUUAGGUAUCUGGAGACUUAAGGAACAAAAUGAUUCUUUUUUGCUUAAUUUGGGAUUUAAUCUCCUAACCAAUGAGCAAGCUUUGUGGGUAAGGGUACUCCGUUCUAAGUACAAGCUCUUGGAGGAUUUUUCUAAAGACAUUUCUCGAAGCAAAUGUUCUCUUGUCUGGAGAUUGCUUGCGAAGGUUUAACCCAUUUUGCGUUAUAAUUUUAUUUGGUCAGUUGGUGAUAGGAAUUGUAUAAAAUUUUGGACUGUCAAUUGGAUUUCUGAAAUAGGGCCGCUUAUAAACCAUGAUUUGGUUCCCUCUCUGGUUGAUGUUUCUAUUAUGCUUCAUGAGGCGGUGGAUAUAGAAGGUAUUUGGCACUGGAAAUACUUGAGGUGUUUUUUAAAUGAGGAUAUUCUAUCUUAAAUCAGAGGAAUUUCGACUAUGAAUUCUUUAACAGGCUAUGAUGAUGUUAUUUCGAGCUGGGCAGCUAAUGGAAAAUUUAGCAUCAAUGAGGCUUACUGUAAGCUAACAAUUAACUCAUUGAAAAUGCAAGAAGAAAAAUGGAAUCUUGUUUGGUAUUUGAAUGUCUUACAACGUGUUCAACAUUUUAGUUGGAUUGUGUAUAAGGGACGUCUCUUUACUAAUUUGGAAAGGUGUAGACAAGGAUUGUCAGAAUACCAUCAUGUAAGAUUUAUGGGAAUACAGAAGAAUCUAGUCUUCAUGUUUUACAAGAUUUUCCUAAGGAAAAAGAAGUGUGGAAUCAAUUAAUCCCUCACAGAAUUCAGAUAAGUUUUUUCACUUACUCCUUAGAGGAUUGGCUGACUUUAAACAUGGAAAAUAAACUUGAGGUUACUCUCUAGGAUGCGGAUUGGCCAUCUUUGUUUGGGAUUGUUUGUUGGAAAAUUUGGAAACAGAGAAAUGUGUGCGUGUUUCAAGAUGACCAUUGCAACAUAAGCAGUUUGAUUCAUUCUUCGUGGUUAUGGGCAAGGUCCAUUAAGUAGAGAUAGAUAAGUUCGAGAGGGAGUAAUGGGAAUCAAAUAAGAAGCCAAAGAUGGGCCCCUCCACCUAUUGGUUUCUUUAAAAUAAAUACAGAUGGCGCUUGCAACUUGAGUUUGGGUUCUGCAUGGUCAGCAACGGUGACACGUGAUAAGCAUUGUGACAGCCCAAAAUUGACCCUAGUCGGGAAGUGGUUUCGGGACCACAAAACCGAGUCAUAAAAAUAAUUGAUUUCCAUAUUCUAUGCUUAUUAUGUGUGUACAUGAGUAUGUGGAAGUUUCAUUCUCCAAUUUUGCCAAUUGCAUGAGAAAUUAUUAAAUAGGGAUUGAUAUGAGACAUGGUGAAAAUAUGAUAGGCUAAUUUAAAAUGGUCUAUUAAUGCAUGUUGUGAAAAUGAUGGGUUUGCAUGUCAAAUUACCCAAAAUUUGAGCUAGUGGUUGGCCAUGCUAUGGGUGGAAACAUGUUGGGAACAUGUUGGCCUAGUGAGGUAUGUAGGAAAAAAAUAAAAUAAUAGGCAUGGAAAUUAAAUAAUGAAAAGGAGCAUGAUGAAUACACAAAAAAAAAAGUGUGUAGUUGAUUCUUUUCCCCCCCAUGGCCGUGAGCUAAAAAAAAAAAGAGAGGAGAAGAUCUUUGUUCAUCCUUUUCUCACCUUCAUUUAGCCUAAAUUAGAAAGAAAAACAAAGAAAAAAAUUUCUCAUCCUUUGGUUCAUCCUUGGCCAAAAAUUUUAAUGAGGAAAGAAGAAGAAAGGUGAAGAGAUUCGGCCAUGCAUGUAGCUAGGCUAAGGUAUGUUUGAUGAUGUUCCAUGAGAUGCAUGCAUGUUUUAGUUGUUAGCUUGAGUUCUACCUAGCCCAUGGUCUAAAUCUUGCUAUGUGAUGGAAAUGGCACUUGACCAUGGAUGCAUCAUUCUUGGUUGAUGUUUGAUGUUGUGGUGAUGAGGCAUGAGGAUGAGUUAAGAUUCGGCCUAGGUGGAGGUCGUGUUAAUGCCAUUGCAUGCAAAAUAUGAAGCUUGUUAAUGAUGCAUGUGAUGAUGGCUUGAUGAUUUUUGAACCUCCUUUUUAGCAUUUUUGUGUGAGCACAUAUGUGCAUUGAUUGCUAAAUGGAGAAGAAUCGGCUAGCAAGAUGUGUGCUAAGGCCGAAUGUAACUUUGCAUGUUAAUGAGCAAUGCAUGUGUUAAAUUGAUGAAAAGGGGGAGGAUGCUUUACUAGUGUGUAUAUGUGUGUAUUAAGUGUUGAAAUCGACCCCAAAAAUAGACAUGCAUAUUCGGCCAAGGGGAAAGAAAUUAGCUAAUAUGUUGUGUUGAUGCAUGAUUUUUGCAUGUACGAGACUUUAAUGUCUAAUGUAUAAAUAUGGGCUAAGUGCCUUGUGUUCAUCUUUUUGAUGCCUAAAUGAUGAAAUCAAUUUAUUUGUUUAAUUAAGCUCAAGAGCAAAGGGGAAAUAAAUCCGAUAAAGGGAAGGAAAAAGUGGUCGAAUAGUUAGCGGAAUCGUUCGACAACACCCGAGGUAAGUUCUUGAGUAAGAGAGCUUAAAUUACGAUGUGAUUAAAUCAUGUUUUAAGCAAAUUAAAAUCAUGCUCUAUGUGUGGCUAUUGAGCCGAAUGUGCAAGGACGAUAUGUGCCUUGUGUUUGAGUUUCGCAAAUGAAAAUGAAAUAUGAAUGUGCCAUGAAUUAUUGUUAGAUGUGCAUGAUUAAUUGAAUGCUGUCCGGGCUAAGUCCCGAAGGCUUUGUGCUAAGUGAAUAUAUCCGGACUAAGAUCCGAAGGCAUUUGUGCGAGAUACAAGUUCCGGGUUAAGCCCCGAAGGCCUUUGUGCGAGAUACUAAAUCCGGGUUAAGUCCCGAAGGCAUUCGUGCGAGUUAUUAAAUCCGGGUUAAGUCCCGAAGGCAUUGUGUGAGUUACUAAAACCGGGCUAUGUCCCGAAGGCAUUUGAACGAGGAGCUAUAUCCGGUUAAAUCCCGAAGGUAUGUGAUUUGGUAAUGAAUGAGCUUGCUGUAAAAUUCCAGCGAAUACACGAAAAACAUCCCAAUAUGGGGAUAUGUUACGUAUGUGUUGAAUUUAGUCGAGCCCGUACAAAUAAAUGUUCGCUCAGUUGAUAAACGAGCUACCGGCCUUCGGCUAAGUUAGUCUAUUGUGUAUGUACAUAAUGGUUGUUUAUGUUGUGAAGCAAGUUUGAUAUCGGUAAAUUGCGUAUUAUGAAAUAUUCCGUUUAGCUAAAUGUGUGUUAUACUUUGUUUAUGCUGGAAUUCCUUGCUCAAAACUUACUAAGCAUAAAUUGCUUACUUGUUACACUGCUCCUCUGUUUUAUAGAUUUUUGGUUCUCCAGCUAUCGGACUCGGGAUCUUGAAGUCGAAGUCGCCCACACUAUCAAAGGCUCUUUUGGGUACUAUUUUGGUUGAAUUUUGAUAUGGCAUGUAUAGGACUACCCAUUGUUGUUUUUCGAGUACUUUAUGAAAUGUAUAAGUGUACAGCCAUGCGAAAAUGGCUUGUAGAAGUAGAAUAUGGCAUUAGACCAUUCGUGUUUAUGAAUGUAUAGAUGGUUUCAUGAUGUAACUAUAGUUGGAAUGGAAGUGUUGAGCAAAUGAUCAGCCAUUGGAAUGGCUAAGUAUGAUCAUAUGUGGGCAUAUGUAUGACAAGGCCCUAGUUGGUCCAUGAAACCCCGAAAAUAGGUAGUGAAUAAAUAUGUAAUCGAACCUUGAUGAAUCUACUUUCAUAUGAAAGUAACGAAACAAUCAUACGGACAGUAUGUUAAGAGAUAUUCAGGUUCUCGUGAGACAGGGCCAGAACGGUUUCUGGAUUCCCUGUUCCGACUUUGGAAAUUCAUUAUAAAUUAACCAGAGAUAAUUAGGAGUCAUACCAUAUAUGUAUAGAUUCCUCUCUGAGUCUAGUUUCUAUAGAAAUAAACGGCAUCAGUAUUGGAGCCCUGUACAAGGAGAUAUCCAAGUCGUAAUGCGCAAAGGUCAGGGUAGUCGAUCCCUGUAACAUGGGAGACUUUGACUAAUAAACUGUACUAAUUGGCCCAACCAAAAAUUCUAGAAAAAAAUAUGUAGAUGGGCAUAUGAGUCUAGUUUCAGGGAAAAAUCACGAAACUGAUUUUCGAGUUGUGAAGCUCAAGAUAUGAUUUUUAAAGCGACUAGUACACAGAUUGGGCAGUGUCUGGAAAUUUUUCAAAGUUUGUUAACACCUCGUGUUCGACUCCGGUGUCGGACUCGGGUUCGGGGUGUUACAAGCAUGGUAAUUGGAUGUGGGGAAUAGGAAGAAGUAUUGGUACAUGUAGUGUACUACAAGCUGAGCUUUGAGCAAUAUAUGAUGGCCUCUGUUUUGCCUGGGAAGCCUAAUGGGCAAAUGUUAUUAUUGAGAAAAAUAGUGUGCAAGCUAUUAAAGAUGUUGUGCGAAUCCAGGAACUUUGCCAACGCGAAUGGAGAGUGCUCUUUAAAUAAGUACCAAGAGAGGUGAAUUUGACUGCUGAUAUUUUAGCUGGUUUGAUGAAAGAUGCUCCUAUUGGCUUAAGAAUAUUUCAUGCUUCCCCUUCACAGGUUGAUGAUCAAUUAUAGACAGAUAGACGAGUUAUGCUACUCAGCAUUGAUAUUACUAUUAGCUUGUAAUUGAAGCUUUUUAUUUCUUGUUACAAAAAAAAAUCUGAUAUUUAGGGUUAGUUUCACUGUAGGAAGUAUAAGCCAUAUUUGAAUUUUAGAAUGUCAGUAUUUUAAAUUGUAUUAUUUCAUUUGAAUAAAUAUUUUAUAAAAUAAGAAAAGUAUAUUAAAAACAAAGGAUCCUAUUAAAAAUUUAGCCUAUAUUUUCUUUAAAGGUUUUUUUUCUCUUUGUGAGUUGUUUCGAGUAAGAUCUCGAGUAUUUUUUUUUGUUUCUUUGUCUUGUUUUUGGUUUCUUAGGAUUUUCCUUUAGGACUUUUUGAGUUUGUUUUUAAGAAUUUGGUCGUUCUUCUUUUUCGAUUGUUUGUUUUAUUAUUUUGUAGGUUUUUCUUUCAUUUCCUUUUGUGGAAGUUGGCAGUGUUAUUGGCCUUUAACAAGGGUUACAGAAGGCUUGCACUUCAUUAAUUUUCUAACUCAUUAUGGGUCAAGAGGGUAGAGGUUAUGGAGAGUGAUUUCUCUAUUAAUUUAAAAGAAGAUAGGGCGGAGGUUGACUGUAUGGUGAGUUGUACUUUGAUUGGUAAGGUUAUUUAUGAUAAGAAAUUGUAUCGGAGGAGUGUCAGUAAUGUGCUGCAAAAUAUUUGGUUUUCAAAUGAAGUGGAAUCAGUUGUAGAAAUGGGGAUUAGUUUGUAUACGAUAAAUUUUUAAAGUUCAGCUUGGAUGGAGAAGGCUUUACGUGAGAGUCCUUGGUUGGUGAUGGGGUGUUUCUUUGUCCUAAUGAAGUGGGAACCAGAUAUGGGUGUUCAAGAUAUUGAUUUCUCUAAGGUGGCUUUCUAGAUCUAGGUACACAAUUUGCCUCUUAUGAUGUUAACUAUGCAAAAAUCCUAAGAAGGUUGAUAACAUAAUUGGGGAUUUGGUUUGUGUAACACCCCUCACCUGUCUCCGUUACUAGAUUAGGGUUACGAGAUGCUACUAUACAAUACAUAACAUAAUUAUGCUAUAUCAAUGCAAUACAUUCCCAAACAAUUGUUAACUAUCAAAUUUGUAAUCAUGUCAUUCAUAUCCUAACGGUAUUAAAUCGAGCUCAACAAAUCUAUAAAACAAUUUAAAACAAAGUAGGGACUCAUUUGAAACAUUUUAGAAAAGUGAGGUAAAAAUGAAAAUCACACAGCUGUGUGAAUCUAUAGGACAUGGUCGUAUUGACUAACCGUGUGGGAGGAGGUACACGAUCAUGUCUCCAAACCAUGUAACUAACUGAUGUCGUGUGUGCCAAUUGAAACUUAAAUCACAUAGACCACACGGUCAUGGCAUACACCCGUGCAUGGCACAUGACCGUGUGCACCUAAAUGACACUUUCUCCACAAGUUACCUAAUUCAAUUUCCUUAGGCCACAAGCAAUAUUAAACCAUCAUUCAAACCUACUCAAAGUCAUCAAAAUAUACCUAAAACAACAUCUAUCUCAUACAUCCUAAGUGUUUAACUAAUAUGCUACAUUUGACACCUUAAUUCAAACAUAUUCAAAUUCAUAUUUAACAACCAUCAAUUCAUAAAACAUAUGCCUAAUAUUUGAACCAUUUCAUCAAUCAUAUACCAAAACAAACCAUACAAAACAUGGCCAAAACAUCCUUAAAUAUGUACAUACUUAAUCACCAAAAGUACCAACUUAGCAAAAUACCUCAUCAUUAUUCACAUAGCCAAACCCUACCACAACUUGAAUAUAUAUAUGAAAUCAAAACACCUACUACAUGGAACUUAUAACCUACCCAAAAAUGGUCAAAAUUCUACCGAGUCAUUAAACUGAUAGUGUGAGCUCGGACUUGACUUCCAAUCGACAAUGACUUUCGAUUAUCUAAAAAGAAUCUAACAGGACGGACGUAAGCAAUUAUUGCUUAGUAAGCUCAUAUUAAAAUUAACUCAACUUACCAAUUUUUCAAGAAAACAACUAAAGCAUGGAUUAUACCAAUUCGCAGGAUAAAUUCUAUGCUCAUGGUUAGCCUAUACAAAUCACAAAUAUUACAAAUUAGUACUUGUCACACCCCAAGUUUAGCGGAUCUAAGAAUGAGGCAUGUAGUUGUGAAGUUAUUUGUUUGGCGUAGUGUAAUCCACCAUGUUAAGUUUUCUGACGAAUUGAAAUGUGGCAUAUAGUACCUGCCAUUGAGUAAAUAAAGGUAUUAGGUUAUUUUGUUAUCUAAGAGAAGGACAUAUCAAGCGAAGUUCGGUCAGGUAAAAGUUACUGCCAAAUGUUUAGUAUGCCUAAUCUGUUUGAAUAUUGUGCUAGUUGGAUUGUAAAGUGAUCUGGUUAGGCUGGUCUAAUAUCCAUUAUGCAGGAUUUUCAUUUAAUUUUCUCUCAGAAUCUAUAGGCCAUUAAGAAGGACAAAUUUUGAAUUAAGUGAUACUUGUUAAGUUCCACGAAGUAGGACUGGAGAGUAUAUAUAUGUGAGAAGGGUUUGUCAGGACGUUUUCUUCUUCCUUCAGUAUUACUCUUUGGUUCUAUUUUUAAAUUUAAAUGUUACUUGAUCUACCACAAAUCAACGUGGCAAAUUAGGAUUGACGCACUUGAUGAUCUUUUUCUCGAGCAAAAUAGAGUUUUUAGCAAUUUUUUUAUUUUCAUAUUUUUGGGUAAUAAGUGAAAAUGUCUUCAUUUUGUCUAUUUUUUCCCAAAUUGGUAGAUAGUGCCAUUGGGAGGUCUAACGUGUGUUUGAAUGCAGUAGGGACGUGUCAAAGGUCGAAAAUGAGCGAGAACGACAUCUAGGGCAAGGGUAUGCGUUAUCCAACCUCUAAAAUCGCGAAUCCUAUUUUGAGUUUUCAAUAUGAUAGAUCUGAAGAGGGUGAUGGAUGGAAUGCCCUGGUUUUUAAUAGGCAUCUUAUUAUUUUCCUUUAACUGGAGAAAGGGGGAAGAUCCUUUGCAAGUCCCUCUUAUUCAUGCCUUAUUUUGGGUGUAAUGCCUUUGUGGUGAAAUCAGGGUAAGUUUAGAGACUCAUUUGCUAGAUAAAUCUGUGGAACAGAUUUGGAUAAGUUUGAAAACAUCUCUAUUUGGAUAGCCUUGUGAUAAAAUUGAGUAUGACUUAAAGGCAAUUUCUGAAAGAGUCUCAAUAGUGUUUCUAAAGGGUGAAUCAACCAUAGUAGUCUGUCAGUACAAGUAAUUUGGUAUAUUCGUAAUUAUGAGUAGCCUAAGAGUUUGUCAGAUUUGAAUUUGUUUUCUUUAUGUAAGGAAGCAAUUUGAAUUAUCUGGUAUCUGUCAAAUCUGAGUGUUUCACAUUAUAGAUAAAAAGGUUAUCUGAAGUAUAAAUUGUCCAUCAAAUCAGAGUGUUCUCAUUAUAUGUAAUAUGGUUGUCUGGGAUUCCACUGGAUGACUUAGAAGACUUCACCCAUCAGAAUAAGUUAUGAUCUGGGUUGAUAUAAGACAUGAUCUGACUAGUAAUCUGAUAGCUGUCAAUUCAUUAUGAGAAUCCACCAAAUGUAAGAUUUGUAUGAAGCUUGUCUUAAAAGAUCAGUUAGUAUUAGUAUCAACCAAGAAUAGUAUCUAUGAGUACCCCAUCAUGGGGGAGGUAUUCAACAUCUGACUGAGUGAGAAUCCGUCAAAGUUAGGUUUUGUAUGGAUACCUUUCUAUGAAGUGUAUUCAUUUUUUGAAAAGGAAUGAGAUCUAUAUUGAGUGUUCAAGACUAGAAUCUGCUCAAUUAGUGAAUUGUAUGUAGGGUGUUUGAGUAUGGAAGUUGGCAUAUAUGCAUACACCCAAUAUUAAGGAAGUACUCGCCAAAGUUAGAAAGGAAAUCCAGAAUCUUUCAAGAUGAGGAAUUAAACAACAAAUGUUGCAAGGUGAUUUGAGUUAAAACUCACUAAUUUCAUUUGAACUUACAAAUGUUUGUUUAUGUUUCAAGUUUCGCCUUAAGAGUAGGUACGCCAAAAGGGACCAAGCCAGGAUUGUGCCAAUGUAGCAGUUCAAGUGGCAAAAUUAUGCAUACAAAGCGCACUAUAAGAGUAUGGUGUAUAGUACUCUACGCUAUAAAGAGUUAGUUUCAAGCUGUAACGUUAUAUGUUUUUCAAACUUUGAUGUAAUCAUCAAAUAUCUAUUUUAAGAAUAGUACAAAAGAAAUAAGAAAUAUAUAUAUUAGAAAAAUUUUAUGCCUGUUGUAAAAUCUCUGCUAAAUGCUCUUGUAUUGAAUUCGGUGAUUCGGGUCAAGUAGAGGGUGUUAUAAUCUUUUCAAUUUUUAACCGCUUUUUUGCACGACCCAUACGGCCCUAUAUAUUUCUCAACCUAUUUUUAACAUAAUUUUUAAUGUUAAACUAAUCCUAAACAUCCCCUAAGCCCUUCUAAUAGUAGUUAAUCACCUCCCUUCCAUCGUUGUUUUAAGCUUUCGCCAUUUUUUUCGCGAGUUCCUUUGUUCCUGCCACGCCAUUAUUGUCGCCUCUCUACUGCUCACCUCUAUUGUCAGCCGCCUCGUCAACCAACAAUCUCAGUAAAAUGUUUUUAACUUUUGUGCUUUAUUUUUUUAUUUCAUCGUAUUAGUUUAUUUUCGGAGUAUAUUUUUAUAUUACAUUCAAACGGCCCUGAGAAAAGUUUUCCCCACCUCGCAAUUGAGUGAAUUAGGAGAAUUUAAUUCUACCCGAUUUUGAAGCCAAGAAGUUGAAAAAUACUUCUUGGAACUCCAAGGGAAGAUUUUCAUUCAAGAACGCGGGUUUGACUAGUCGUUCGACUUGAACGAUGAAAUUUGGGACUUGAUUCGUGUGAACCAUUCGACUGACUUUUGUCUCACAUAAAAAGAGUCAGCAAUUGACUCUGUUGUGUACGAGUUUUAUGCCUUGUUAAAAGAGCGAGAAAAGAAUAAAGCAUAGCACAAUGUGCACCCUCAUGCGAUCAUCUGAGGCAAAAAGCUCAUGUGUACUCCCCAAAAAAUUUACAACUUUUCUAAUGCCCCAUACUAUGUCUCUGAUGCUUUAGAUGCAUUAGAUAUUAAUCAUUUCAGAGACAUAGAUAUGGAUGAGAUUGUUACUUACUUAACCGAGGGGAGAGAAGUUUGGAAAUACCAAUCGAACACCAACAUCCCAUUAUUGUUCAAUAAGAAAUAAUGUUCUUGGUUUCCAAAAUAUGGAUGCAGUUUAUCUAUACGCUAAUCUCACCAGCUUUAAAUGUGUCUAACCUUAAUGCAUUUUGAGUUAUUUUUUUUAUUGUAUCUUGCAACGUCGAGAAGUGUGCAUGAGUGAUAACUCUUGAAAAGAGUUAUAUUUAAGGCCUCUAAAUAGAAUUAAUUAGUUGUAAUUAAGUGAAUACAUUUUCAUUUUUAGGAUAUUUUUAGAACAUUGCAUAAUAAACCUUGGAUUGUGAUAUAAUGGUCAUUAUUUGUUACUUUUAUAACUUGGGGAGGAAAUGUGUGGUUUUGUGUGAAUACAGGUGUAAGAAGAGCAAGAAAAUGAAGAUGGAAAAUAAAGGAAGUGAAAUAUUAUCGUAGCAAAUAGUGAAAUUGAUUGCCAACAGAUUUGCCAUGGUAAUUUCGAGAAGAUGACUCAGCACUUUAUCCACAUCAUUCUCAGCCAGUUGUGCGUGUACCAAAAAAUCCAACCUGAAAAGAAAAAUGAAAAAAGUGUGCUGAGGUGAGACGAAUCUACCCAAUAAAAAAAGAAGAGAGAAGAAGAAAAAAGGAGGAGAAUUUGUAUAAGAAAGAGACUAGUUACAACAAUCCUCUCUCUGCACAGAGAAAAACUCCAUUGGAUAAUUCCAGAGAAAUAAAGGGUAGCAGCUACAGAGAGCAGAAUAUAGACGUGUAGAAGGGAAAGAGACAUCUAUCCUGGAUUCACAUACGAUUGGAAGAUAAAAGAGAAUCUAGAGUGUGGCGAGAAAUCCUGCAGUUAUGCCUUUAGUUUUCCUGAUUUUUGUUAUUCAAAAUUCUUUAAAUGUUGAUGAAUGAUUUAAUUUUGGUGUUUACUUUUCCACCCAUGAACUAAAUCUUUUCUGGGUUGGAGUUAUUUGGGUAGAUGUUUAUCAUCUUUAAUUUUCAUGAUUUGAGAUUGCUUGUAUCUUUUUUCAUUCGUUUAUGCAUAUUUUAAAUACAUGCAUGCAAGCUCUAGACAUAGUUGAUUGUAUGUUGUGUUCAUAGAUGUAUUUUUAAUUCUGAAAAGGUUAAAUAUACUGGAUCUAUAAUUUUUUUAUGCAAGCGAAUAUUCGACUAAAUAUUCGUAGCACUCUAGACAUAGAUGUUGCGAGUUGUGCAGAGAAGAACGUUCAUUGCAGUUAUUAAUCCAGAGUUCUAUAGACAUACAAUAACUUAGAUUUUAAGCUUUAAACCUAGCUAUUGAAAGAGGCAGGUUACAGUAGUAACUCUCUAAGCAAUCAAUUAGACAAUAUUUUGCCAUGACAUUAUUUUGAUAUGAGGAUUUCACCUGAAUAAUUCCAGCCAUAUUCAUUUAACAACAGAAUUACUCUUGCUUUUCUCUAUAAUUUGCCACAACAUUUUAUUUGCCAUAUCAAUUCUUUGCUUUUAACAUUAAAUUACAUUAAUUCAUUUUACCAAUAUCUUAUUCAAUUUAAGAGUAUUUCCUUCUAUUUAGUAUAGUUAAUAGGAUUAUAAUAACUUAAUCAAUCUUAUACCAAUUUUAGAUCCCUUUGGAUACGAUACUUACUUAUCACUUUAUUACUUGAAUGAUGUGUACACUUGCACAAUUGCAUUAGGUAUUUAUACGCAACAAGUUUUUGGUGCCAUUGCCGGGGAUCGACAACAUUGGUGAAAAGUUGAUUUGUUAUUAUUCUUGUAAUUUUUGUUAGAAUAGUUAAUUAGUAUUUUAUUUGAUUUUUCAGGUUUUGUACUAGUGCAUGAGAAGAAGUAUUCAAGAGGAUACAAAAUACUUUUUUGAUCCUAAGAUUGAAAGGAAAGUAAGGCGAAGGAGGUAAGCAUUAAGGGAAAUGAAGAGGAUUAUAAAUGAUCCAUUCAGAGAAUAUCAUGUACUCUAGAAUGAAAGGAAUGCUGAUAUUCCUCGAAUCUUAGAUGACAGAGAUAGACCCAUCAGAAAACAUGUAGUGCCUAAUUUGGGUGAUCUAAGUCCAGGAAUUGUUAGGCCACAUAUUCAAGCUCAACACUUUGAAUUAAAACCAGUAAUGUUUCAGAUGCUGCAGAUGGUAGGACAGUUUAGUAGUUUAACAACUAAAGAUCCCAGAUUGCACUUGAGACUUUUUCUUAAAGUCUGUAACUCAUUCAGGCAGUAGGCUAUUCCUGAAGAUGCCCUCAGAUUAAAAUUAUACCCUUAUUCAUUGCGAGAUCAUGCUAGAUCAUGGUUGAAUGCAUUACCAUCAAGUACGGUGGCGUCUUGGAAUGAACUGUGUCAUAUAUUUUUGCUUAGGUACAAUCCUCCCAACAUGAAUGUCAAGCUGAGGAAUGACAUUACAUCGUUCAGGAAAUCUGAAGAUGAGACAUAAUACGAAGCAUGGAAGCAUUUUAAGGAUUUAAUUAGAAAAUGCCCAAUGCAUGGUUCUCAACAUUGGACAAAAAUGGAAAUUUUCUACAAGGGAUUAAAUGCUCAUACAUGAAUUAUAGUGGAUGCAUUUGCUAAUGGGACGUUGCUUGACAAAUCCUACAAUGAAGCAUAUGAAAUUUUGGAAAGAAUAGCCAACAAUGAUUAUCAGUACUCCACUACAAUGAAGAGUUGGUACUGGUAGAAUAGCAAACAUUUGAGGAACGCCAACACUUAAACUAGGUAGUUUCUUCUCUUAUCUAUUAGGCGCACAUUAGGGACAAUGUGCCAAAUAAAGUGUAAGGUAACAUAGAAAUUUUCAUAAUUUUUCAAAAAAAUUCUAAUUUCUUAUGUUUUUAUUAGUUGUUUUCGUUAAUUUUUGUUUUGUAUGUUUGUUUGUGCGUGAGCUUAUAGCAUACAAGUGAUUGGAUAGAAACAUGUAAAUAGGAUUCUGUGUUUGAAUUGUAAAUAUAAGUCGAUGGCAAUCGACUUUAGGUUGUUUAAUAUUACACUAAUUAGUUCAUUCUGUUACACUGUGAAUAGGUGAUAGUGUGUUAGGUAUACCAAAUGACAAAUAGGUACAUAAAAAGCAUAUGUGUUUGUUUGAAUAAUAAGUGUUAGAGUGUUAAUAUUUAGUUAAUUGUAAUCCAUGAAUUGAUAAAAUUAGGGAUGACCUAAGGCAUUGUUUGGCAGAAAAAUUUUGAUCUAAAAUGCCGACCUUGAUUUAAAAUCCCUAAUACCCUAUUUUUUAGCCUAAAACUCUAUUUCUUGAUGAACUGCAAUGGAAGCCCUAAGCCUUAAAUAUAAUCUCUUGAUCCGAUUUUCAUCUUCCUUGCAUGAACUUAGACUUCAGGCCAUCGAUAUUAAGGGUUAGGUAGAGACGACAAGGUAGUUUUCAAAAUAAAAGGAAAAUAAAAGUGAACCCAAGGGAUAGUAUAGUAUGGUGAGUAUAAAAGUCUUGCAAACUUGUACGUAAAUAGAAAAAUAGAAAAAAAUUAUCAAAAGAAAAAGUUUGAAAAGGCUAAAAUAGCCAAGCGACAAGUUCUCGAGAAAAUAGGAAAGCAAAGUGAGUGAAAAAGAAAGAAAAGAAAAUUUCCUCAUUGUUUUGCACAAAUAGCUCGCUAAGACGAUUGUAUUCACUAAUAUUGUACUAUACCUUAGGAAUCAGAGAGAAAAGGUAGGUGAGAGAAGGGGAUAUAAAGUGGUGAACUAAAGGGGUUAAUCGGGAAAGUAUUGGGGUCAAUAUAAUUUUCCAAACUAUUUUCAUGCUUAAAUCGUUUUGUUGUGUCUGUCCUUUAAUUCCAAAUCAACCUAAGUUGUAGAACGUUACAAGCCAAAAAGACCUGGGUGACCUAGGUGAUACUAUUCGUGGAUGAAGAUUAGCCAAAUUUUGACAUUUCUAGUUACUUGUAUUCUUCGAGCAUGAAUGUAAAUUUUUUGUACCUAUUUCGAUGGAUCAAUGUGCUUACAUUCUUCAAUUUGUUUCCUUUGUAAUUUUAUGAACAAAUGUUUGUGAUAUUGAAGGUAAGGAGUAAAUUUAAUAUCGUGUUAGAGUUACGUAUUUAUUCACAAUGUUCUGUGUACAUAGCUCUAAACUAGUCUUUGUAUAUGACAUGCUCAAGCACUAUUUGGUUGUUUUAUUUUUCUUGUUUGUGUGUGUUUUUAUUUUGUUUCUUGAGGACAAAAAAUAACUUAAGUGUAGGGGAGUUUGAUCUGCCACAAUUCGUUGUGGCAAAUUAAUGUCUUUCUGGCACUUAACGAGUUUGUUUCUAGUAUUUUUAUAUGUUUUUGGUUUUUAUUGAUUUAUGUUUAAUAGAUGAAAAAUAAGCAUUUUUACGCAAUUUUGAGUUAUGUUAUGAUCUAAUGGGCCACUACAGGCCUAGGGAUGAUUUAAUGGCUCUAUUUAGUGUUUAGGACACUGUUUUCGGGCUUAAAAGACGAAAGAUGAGUGCAACGUCACGACACUAGUCCUGUGGUGUCGUGACACUGGGUAAAGAUUAGGAAAAUUAAGCAUGGGUAUUUUUGUCCACACAAUGAACUAUAAUCAGAUUUUUUGGUUGUUUGGCAACCCUAAUUAGGUUAGAUCAUAAACUUUCUAAAUAGGCAUGUUUAGCCUCAUUUUAAGAGGCCAGGCCAAGUGAGCCACUUAGUUAGUUUUAGGGUUUUAGUUUAGUUUUUAUUUUAUUUCAAUUUAGUCCUUUAGACAACUUAUGUUCUUGUUUAACUUUGAUUUGAUUCCGAUCCAAGCUUUUGGUUUAGAAAUUUUUCUUUAUUUCUUUGUGGAUUCCAAUUGCAAUUGGAGUGAUCUUUGUGACUGUUAAAGGAAAUUUCGCUUCCUAAAACGAAUUGAUAUCAAAACGGAUUUAUUUUCCUAUUCCCUUGUUUUAUUUAAUUUAUUGCUUUGUAUGUUUAAUAUGAGUUUGGGGAUUAUUGUUGUAACAGCCCGAUUUUGAUCCUAAUCGGAACGGUGGUUUCGGGACCACGAAUCUGAGUUAGAAAAAUAUUUUAAAAUUAUUUUCUGUGUUUAUUAUGUAUGAAUUUACUUGUGUGAAAAUUUUGUGCUUUAAUUUUGUCGUUUGAGUGUCCGAUUAAAUAAAAGGAUUAAAUCGCGUAAAAUAAAAAUUUAGUGGUUAUUUCUAAAAGGGCCGAAUAGUGGUUGUUCUUUAAAUAUGGGGGUUUUAUGUUGCACUUUGACCAUUGAAAAGAUAAUGGACAGCAUUGUGUUUAUAAUAUAUAGUUUUUAUAUUAUUUAUAAAGGUUAUAAUAAUAAUUUAUAUAUUACAAUGUUAUUAUAAUAAAAACAAAACAUAAGAAAGUGGUCAUUUUCAUUAUAUUUGUGCCGAAUGAAAAGAGAAAGAAAAUAAGAAAACCAAGCUAGGUAUUCGGCCCUUGUUCAAGAAAAUUAAUGUAUGUUUCGGUUUCGAUUUUUGAUGAUUUUUAUGUUUUUGAGAUCGUUGCUUCGAAUACUACCCGACCCAUGCUUCAAUUUUUUAUUUUGAUGAAUAUUUUGAGUUAUGCCAUUGAUGAAUAAUUGUGUUUUGUGAUAUUUGAUGAUGAAUUAUUGAAGAUAUGUUUUGGGUUAGUAUGUUUUGUAUUGGAAAUUUUGAUGAAUUUGAGUAAUUAGAGCUAAAUUGCAAAAAUAAUAAAUUGAGGGACUAAAAUGUAAAAUAAAUGAAUUUUGUGAGCUUGCAUGGGAAUAAUGAAUAUUCGGCCAAAGCUUGGUAUGUGUAAAUUUUGUAUGUUUUGUGUUUUAUGCAAAUUGGACUAAAUUGUAAAAAGUAUAAAAUAUCAGGGGUAAAAUAGUAAUUUUCUCCUUUAUGUGUUUUUGGGUUAGAUUGAAUGAAAUUGUGUUUAAAUGAGCUUAAUUUGAAAUUGUAUAGAUCAAGAACAAAAGAAAUCAGACUUGGAUCGGGGGGAAAAAUAGUAGUUGAAUAGUCGUUUUAUAUACCCGUCGAUAUCCGAGGUAAGUCUAUAAGCAUCUAUAUAUAUUGUUUAUUUUAAUUAAAUAUGAAUUUUAUACGCUGAAAGGAAAUAUGUGAAAUUAUACAUGUGUUAAUCAAAUGAAAAUAAGCUUGGAAGCUAUGUUUAUGAAUUCGUUUCGACCGAGUUACGACAUCCGAAAGGCUCGUACGAACCUUAGGAAUAGCUAGGAUACAUAUGUCAUGACAUAGGAUUUUUGAUAUGUGUUCUCGUGUAAGACCACGUCUGGGACGAUGGCAUCGAUAUAUGUGAUUACGUGUAAGACCAUGUCUAGGACAUUGGCAUCGUAUUUGAUUCGUGUAAGACCUUGUCUGGGACAGUGGCAUCGAUAUGAGAUAGCAUGUAAGACCACAUCUGGGACGUUGGCAUUGUUCGAUAUAUGUGAUUAUUCGAGUAUCCUAUUAAAUUCCGAAUGGUUUAGCGGGCAAUGAUAAGUUGUGAUUAAAGGUGUAAAACGAGCUAAAACGAUCAGGUAUGAGUUACUUGACUACCUAUUUAAAAAUACGGUAAGUUGGCCAAUUGGUAUGUGAUAUAAAUUAUAUAAGUUACUAAUGUGAACAUAUGUAUAUUGGUGAAGUAUAUUCGGCCAUGUGUUAUGUAUAUGCAUAUGAUGUUAUAUUUUGGUUCAAAAUUAUAUGUAUAUGUGUGUAAAUAUAUAUUCGGAUAUAUAAUGAUAUUAUGUCUCUGAAUUGAAUGACACUUCGAAUAUAUAUACAUGUACAUUCGGUUAAGAUAAGAUUUAUUUAAGAAAACACAUGUUUUAUAUGAAAUGUUAAGCUUGAGGUUAAAUGUGAUUAUGCUAGUAUAAUUUAAUUUGGUUAAAAAUGAGUUGAUAAUGUAGUUUAUAUUCGGUCAAAAUAGAUAUGUAAUAAUAAGGUUAAAAAUGAGAGUUGCACAUGUGAAUGACAUUAUAUAUAUAUUCGGCCAAAUGUUAAACUUAUGUGUAUUCGGUUAAAUAUGGAUUUGAUGUAUAGUAUGUGUUUGAUAAAUGUAUUUUUCGAUUAUGGAAAUGGAUAUGAAUAUUGAAAACAUUAUUUGAUUUUGUUGUAACUAAUUAAAUGUUGUUAAGUUAUUUAAUUGCUCAUGACUUGCUAAGCUGUAAUAGCUUACUCUGUGUGUGUUUUUUCCUAUACUUUUUUAGAGUUCCAAAGACUUGCUCGGGUUGGAAGUCAUUGGAGUCGUCAUCACACUAUUCGGUUAUCGUUUUGGUUAAUUAAGGCUUUGAGUUUUUGGUUAUGUGACAUGUAUAGGCUAGUUUUAAUUUAGUUGUUGUAUAUAUAUUUUUAGCCAUGCGAAAAUGGCUUGAUCUAAUGCAAAUGAUUCGAGGUUUAAGUAAUUUUGGUCAUAGUAAAGGGGUGGGGUAUGCUUAGUAUUUGAAUUUGGUAAGACGUAAUGAUAUAUAUAUGGUUUAUAAUUAUUUUAUUUUGGUAAGCAUGAUAUGGAUGAUGGAUGUGUUAUGGUUGUGGUUGUGGUUUAUUAAUGAUGCUAAUGAUAGUGAUUUUCGGUAUUGUAUUAGCUUAAUUUGUAAGUAUGAAUUAUGGUCUAAUUUGUGUGAUGAAAUGGUAUUGAGAUUUGGCUUGAUUAAAUAGGUAAAAUACGAUAUAUAUUGAAGAUGACAUAAUGGUUAUUUCGAUUUAUGUGAUGUAAAUAUAGGUGAUGGUCAUAAUCUAGUUUGUGAUUCGGCAUUGGUGAUCAAAUCAUGUAGUUAAGUAUUUAGUUAUAUGUUAAUUUUGAAUUUGGUUGUAUUCAUUAUGUAUGGACUAUGUUAUGCUAUGAAUAUUUGGUAAAUUGAAAUGAUUAAUUUGAGUAAAUUUAUAAUGGCAUGAGUACAUUGGUGAAAUGGAUUGAAAAUGGAAAUUUAUAUAUUAUUAUUUAUAUUUAAUUGAUGAAAUGUAAACAAAUAUAUAUGUCUUUGAUAAGUUAAUUUGAAUGAUCGAAUAUAUAUAUAAUAAAUUGAUUUAAGUGUGUAUAUGAAAUUUUGACAUGAUUUAUACUGUAUGGAAUUGGCACGUUUUGAAUUGGUUUUGCAUGUAUUUUAGGCUUAAUAAUUAGCAUGUGAAUUGGGUAUAAAUUGUUUGGUUAGUUUGCUAGCUGAAUAGAAGAUAAGAUGAAUGGCAAAGCAUACAAAUGUUUUGUACUUAAAUGGGAAGUUAGGCAUGUAUGUUUUAUUAGUUGAGUUUUAAAAAAAAUGGUGUAUAUUUUAUAAGGUUAAAUGCAUUUGUGGCUAAGAUGUUUAUAUGCUAAACUUGACUAUUUGGUGAAAGUGAUUGUGCUGCAUUUUCUAAUGGACAAUAAGCCGAGCAAUAUGGAUUGUUUGGUUUUAUGCACAUGAAUAGAAAUAUGAAUUAAUAUGUUUGAUAUUCAGCUUAAGAAGUAAAAAAAAAAUGCUUGGAUGUCUUAAUGUAUGCGUAUGAAAUUUGUAAUGUGAUGAGUCAUCUUAUAAUUUGAUUUUUGAAUGAUAUGAGUAAGAAGUAUAUAUGUUUUGAAUGGUAGGAUUUUAAAGCAUGUGUAAUAUGACUAUUUUGAGCCGUGUUUUUUUUUAUGGUAAUGCCUUGUAACCCUAUUUCGGCGACGGAUAUGGGUUAUAGGUGUUACAAUUGCAUCUAGAUCCAUGAAUAGCUAAUUUCCUUAGGGAGAUUAACGAACGAAUGUGUGAUUAAUUAACAAAUAAAUUAGGGUUUAAAUCUAAGUUUGUUGGUUUAAAUUAUGUGCGAUUAAACCCUAGAAAGUGAUUCUCUUAUGAAGUAAUUUAGGAUAAACAAGAUCGAGAGAUAAGUUUACCGAGAAAAUCAUAAUUUAUCCCGGUCAAGAAAGUGAAGCCAAGAGGUAAGUGUGUAUUGGUUGAUUAGUUAAUUAGUUAGAUCCCAAGAGGUAAUAACUGGUUAAUUAAUAGCUAACUUAAUAAAACCUGAGUUCUAAAUUUAAUUAGGAACACUGAAGUGAGUUAAUCUCCUACCUCUUUUUUAGAUUUUAUUUUGAUUGUUAAUUGGUCAUUUUUCUUUUAGAUACUUUUAUAUUACUUUAAUUAAUUUAUUUUAAUUUAGUUUUUCAUAAUAUAAUUUUAAAUUAAUACUACUAGUGUAGAAAAUGAAGUUACAUUUAAUUCAACCUUCCUUGGGUACGAUCCUCGGAAUGAUUCCCGGAGUGUUUCAUUGUAACAUUCUUUACUAUAUUACAAUUUGACAUGUACGCUUGCAAACACUAUUGUUUAAUUAUAUGUUUAUUUAUUGCAAUAUUUCCAACCUAGAUUUCUGCACAUCUGGUGAUGGUCAAUGUCGCAACACAACCCUGAAUGAAAACCAAAAGAGCAAACUGUCGUCAGUGUCGUGUGAGGGUAUUGCAACACAGUUGUGACAAGGCCACUUAAAGGGGAAAGGGUGUUUUCAUCUGUACAACUCAACUUAAUGAUGUUUAGUCAGUCGUAUUAGGUCAAAAUGAGGCAGCUAGCCUUGAUCCUAUAAAUACCAUUACUCAUAACUGUUUAAGGGACUUUUUUUCCUUCCAUUUUUUACUUCUAUUCUUAGUUUUUAGGGUCUUAGUUUUAUUUUUUUAUUUUUGUUCUUGUUUUGUUCAUUCAAUUGAUUCAAAUUGUGGAUCACUUAGAUUCUGUCAAGGAUUGCACUUCAAGUCACCAAUACGAUCUUCAGAAUCUUUUUAUUUCUCUUUACUUGUUUUGCAAUAUUUAUAUGUUUCAAUUAAAAACUAUGAUGAUGUUUGAUAGAUCUAUGUGUAACUAAAAUCCUGAGGAGAUUAACAAGCAGAUGUGGUAAUAGUUAACAAUUAUUUAAGGAUUUCUUAGUGGAUCAAUUGGUUUGGGAAAAGAGAACAUAAACCCUAGGAUUGAUGACCCUAAGAAGUUAUCUAAGUAGAGAGGAAUCUAAGAGGAGAAGUCUACUGGGCACCCCUUAACCUAACCCGGUCUAACCUGUGACAUCGAGAGAUAAGUAGUGUUUGCCGACUCAUUAGAUUAGUAAAAGGCCGAGAGGCCCUGCUAGAUUAAUGACUAGCUGAUUGAAUAGAACCUGAAAUAGAAAUUAACUAUGAAUACUGAAGCGAGUAAGUGUUCUGCCUUUAGAAUCUGAUAAAUCCAUAAUUUGUUCCUCUCGAUAUUAUAUAUCUUUGCAUUGUUCUUAUUUUCACUUCUUUUAUGAAUAAUAAUAUAAUUAGGAUUAAGUACUAUUUAGACCUAUUAGCAUAGAAGUUAGUGUUAAUUUAAUCAAACCUCCUUUGGGUACGAUCCUCAAAAUACUUCUAUGUUCCGUUGUAACUUCUAUAUUACGACCUGCCCCGUAUACUUGCAAACAUUGCCUUAGUUCUUGUUUGUAGUUGCAGUAUUCUCACUUUCGAUGUUAGUACAUCGGGAGGCGGUCAAUUAUAUAACUGAAUCGACCCUUAGGGCUCAUAAUAACCAAUUCAUAUGCCACCAUUUAUUGCUUAAACAACAAGUUACAAUUGUAUAAUUUCAAUAUCUAAUGUCGAUAAGUGAAUUACAUGUUUUCAUAAUCCCUAUUAACCGAACAUGGAAUCAAGACGGAUAUAUGAUCAUUCAAUCAUCACACUUGUAGCAGGCCCAAUUAGCCCGGGCCUGUACUAAAUAAACCAAACCUAAAAAUAUAGUAGUCCAUUAACAAUUCAAUAGUCCAAAAUUAGAACCCAAAUUGAACCCAAUCAAGCCCUAAGUCCUAGCCCAAAUCAAAUUUAACCCUAUCCCAACAAAAGUCAGUAAACAAAAAACCUUAGGUGCGCCGCACCUAGGUCUUCUGGCCUUGCUGUUGCCGCCGUUCGUCGCACGUUCCAUCCGCACAUCGCACGCCACCACCACCAUAGCCUCCUCCAUGCGCGUCAGACCACCUGCAAGAGAAAACCACACGCAACAACAGAAACAAAAACAAUAAACAAAUAGAAAAACGAAAAAAAAUAAUGAUUAAGGAGUUUGUAAUCCGGCUAUAAAAGCCCUAAUCUAUGACUUGUAUUUUUUUUACGAACAUUAAUAUAAACAACAAAAUCAAAACAGAUUUAAAAAGGUGACUUUUUUUUCCUUGUUGGUUUGAUUCUCUUUUUCUAUCUUUUUUUUUACGUAUUAAGUAUUAAAGAACAAAAAGGGGGAAAAAGGAACUCACCGGAGAUGGUCGUGGCUGCACCGUCGGAGGGUCUCUCCUCCGUCACUCGAUUCGGGUCAAAAAGGGUCGAUGGUCUCCCCUUUGUUUAUUUCUCACGGGUUAAGAGAGCUUGGCUCUCAAAGAUGCCGCAACGAGGGCUAAAAGGCCUUCCUUUCCCGACGCCGACUGCCGACCACGAGGCAGCGCGACAAAAGCCGAAGAAGGCCAUCGGCCGAAUGUGAGGAGGAGGGGUUGAGAGAGUUUGAGAGACCCUCAGUUUUUUUUUUUUGAAAAUAAAGGGUGAAAUGUUUUUUUGUGUUUUUCUUGCUAUUUAUAUGGGGUCAAUACGGCGCCGUUUUGGACCUUAGCAUCAGUGGCCAAAAUGACGCCGUUUUACUUAGGACCCGAAUACCCGACCCGCCUUGAUAAGAUCCGCGUGUUUUCUAAUUUGAGGGGUUAUUUGCGCACGCGGUCCCUCCGUUAUUACAACAUAGCGCAAUCUGAUCCUUUGUUAGUUUUUUUUAUUUUGGCCACGAAAUUUUAUUUCUGUUUCAAUCUGGUCCUUAGGCCAUGUGCAGUCCCUUGGUUAAACGCCGCGUUUUAGGAUUGGGAAAUAUUUCCCUGAAAGUCCCUCGCGCUGUAGAAGCGUUUCAUUUCAAUUCCUUGGCAAUCUUGUUUUUAUUUAUUUGCGAAUUAAACCCUUGAUUUUGGGCCCGAUUUUAAUUUCAUCCUUAUUCCAUUUAAUUAAUUUACUAUUCAUUUUUUAAAAAAAUAAUUAAUUUAUUAUUUUAAAAAAAUGGGGGGCUCUUCUUUUAUUAUUUAUUUUAAGUUUUACAUAUAUUAAUAUUUUAUGCCUUACCUAAUAUUUACUUAAGUUUUUAUUUACAUUAUUUGUUUUAAAUUACCAUAAAUAUAUACAUCGUCUUUUAAAUUUUUAUACAUAUAUUUUUAAUAAAGAAAGAGUAUUGUUUGUUUUGUAUUUUUAACUUUCUUAGUUUUCUCUUUCAUUUUAAGUUUUAUAUAUUGUUUGUUUGAGAUAUUUUACCAUUCAUUCCAAACUAAUCUUAUAAAUCACUUGUUUUAUACUAUUAGUUAUAUAAAAUUGUUCUCUAUUAUUUCGUUUCGUACUUGGAUUGUUAAUAUUGGCAUGUUAAAUUGUUGCAUGUGGUGUGAUUAUUAUCAUUAUGUACGUUGUAAUUAGUUUAUCUGUUUUCGCAUUAUUGCCAUUCAUUAACAUGAUACUUUAUUCGUAAAUUGUCAUAUCAUGUUCUAUAUUAUCGUUUCAUUUCAUUUCAUCACUUCAAAAGUUAUGUUUGAUUUGUACAUACCCAUAAUAAACCGUUUUAUUUUAUCACAAAGAAAAUAAAUGCAACAUCGCUCAAGUAUUGUAUUCGCAUUAUUCAAAAAAGGGAAAAGUUUUAAAAUAAGGCAAUGUUUCGUGUUUUGGGAGAUUUAAGAAAUUGUACUCUAACUUACGCGAUUUCAAUUUUCUCGUUAAACCUAAAUAGCAAAAUAUCCUUUUAAAUUCCAAAAUAUACGAAAUUUCAAUAAAAAAUCAAAAGCAAGCUUGUUCUCUAAGGUUCCCAAAUAUCAUGUCCUAACUUACGGGACGUGACAUUUCAUUACCUCGAGACAAGUAGGUCUUUAACUUCCUUUUCGAUUUAUUCAAGCGUUUUUAAUAACAUUAAUAAAAAAGGGAUCGUAUCUUAAAUUUCCUUUCAAAUUUUUAACUUUCAGCAUUAAGACAUUAAGUAAUUAACUAGGUAUCAAUUUUGGGCGCGUCAAGAGUGCUAACCCUUCCUAGUGUUUAACUGACUCCUGAACCCGUUUUCUAGAUUUUGUAGACCAAAAAUGAUCGUUUUAGUAAAUUUAAAAUUUUAUUAAAAUGGUUACAUCACGAGCUGAUCCGAUCACACCUAAAUAAAAAAAGAUUGGUGGCGACUCCCAUGUUCGUUUCUGUUUUCAAAAUUAAAGUCGACUCCUUUUACAAAAAAAAUAAAAAAAUGGUUUCGACAACACCAAUAUAUCCAACACCUAGUGCCUCAUCAAAUCUGAAGUAUAAUAUGCGUUCUGUACCUCGUCUGUAUAAGACGAAGUAUAUAAAUAUGUCUAGCACUUUACUAGAACAUCUGACGUAUAAUAUGCACACCGCGCCUCAUCGGUAUAAACCAAAAUAUAAUCUCGUAUACUAAUCUUAUGACAUGUCAACUAUACUCGACUCUACUCGAGAUGUUAAUAGGGUAUCCAAUAUUUUUAUUAGUGUAUAAGGUUCACAUAACAUAGUUUAAUACAUAUAAAUUCAUAUCAUACUCAAAUCAAUUCAUACAAUUCCAUAUCAUCAUUUGCAUAUCAUCACAUUUUUCACAAUUUAUCAACUAUUUCAUACUUACCUAUUCAUGAGACAAGUAAGUUCAUACCUUAUUUAGGCUAAUUGCAACAAUCCAUAUAUGAUAUUUUAAAUUUAAAUCAUGAAAGCACAAACCGAGAUAGCUACUCGCCUACGACCCUCGCAUUUCCUUUAUCUCGAGACAACCUGGUGUCGUCUUUAGCUAUGUACGAUAAUUCAAUUAUAAAAAUAGUAUUUGUUUUCACCCAAUCACAUGAAAAAUACAUAAUUGAACAUAGUUUUCAUUUUAUUCAUUUUAGUCCUUAUAUCUUAUAUGCUCAUAUUUUUCAAUAUUUAACAUUGGAUCAAAAUCAAAUUUCAUAUUCUUUCAUUAGGGACCUUUUACUUUUAAUCAAUAGCAUAAUUUCUUAACAACUUUCAAUUUAUUCAAUUUAGUCUCUAAUAUCAAAGUUAACUAAACCUUUAAUUCUAAGCUAAUUUCACUACCUUUUAAUACAAUCUUAACCAAAUCUAAGCUUAACAAUCACAUAUUCAUCAUUUUAAAGCUUGAAUUUAACAAAACUCUUUCAUGGUAACAUAAUACAUAUUGAUAAUUUCAUAAUCUACUAAAUGGGUUUUCUAGCUUAAGUUCUAAGGACAAAAAAUAUAUAAAAUUCUUUAAGAAAACAUCAAUUUUAGACCAAAAUGUAAAAGAAGCAAAAGGAAAUUUUCUUCCUUCUUGAAGCUAGGGACGGCUCAAUUGAGAAGAAAAUAUGAAUCUUUUUCAUCUCUCCAGCCAACUUUUUUAACACCCCAUACCUGAUCCAGUCGCUGGACAUGAGUUACAAGAUGUCACAAUAGUAAACCGAAACAUUUAUAUGCAAUAUGUAUCAACAACAUUCAAUAAAUGAAAAUGUACAAGUUAAGUUCAUAUUAAACAUGCAUUACAAUCAAAAUUAAGCUCAAUCAAUCUUACAAAAGCUUUUAAACAAGUUCGAACUAAAUCGAGACCAAUCUGAAACAUUUACAAAAUAAUAGAUAAAAAGUUAAAACAGGGGUCACGCGGCCGUGUGUUCAAGCUGUGUGACAAGGUUGAGGUCGUGUGGGGCUAUCACACAAUCGUGUCUCCAAACUGUGCAACAAUUUGAUGUUGUGUAAUCUAAGGUGACACGGCUGUGUCACCAGGCCGUGUAGCAGACUGUGAUCUGUGAACUAAAAACCACCCUGACUGUGUUGAACACAUGACCGUGUCAUCCAAUCAUGUGAGACACACGACCAUGUGGUUGCCCGUGUGCAACAAAAAUAACCUAUUUGGGCAAGUUUUCAUACCACUCCUUCAAGUGACCUAUAAUGUCAUUUCGUUCUAUUCAAACCAACACCAAAGCAUGCAUUUCCAAGUCAAAACACCAAUUGACCUAACCAUUUUAACAUACAACCAAUAUGCCCUCAUUAGAACCAACAAUUAAAUAAACUCAAUUCGUGUUUCAAACAUUUCAUAUCACAACUCAAUCAGACCAAACACAAGCAUAUACUUAACAUGACCAAAGUCUAAAGCCAUUUCAUACCACCAUCAUAAACAUAUGUAUAAUGCCAUUCAAACUACCAGACUUGACAUAUACCAAAAAUCCAAUAACCAACCACAAACAUAGGUUUAUAUAUAUAAGGUUAUUACUCCAAAUUUCACAUUAUCUUACACAAGAUAAUCCAACCUAAGUACAUGCCACAAGUAACCAAAAUGAAAUAUCAAAAGUCUAUUGAAUCGAGAGAUGGUAGGUGUGAGCUUCUCGCUGAUCUGAUCGACACGUUCCGGACGUCCAAAAAUCUACAGAAAAGUAGUAAUACUAGUAAGUAUUUAAAAUACUUACGAAGCUCAUACAAUAUAAACAUUUACUAACCUUAAUCACUUAACAUAAUAUACAAUUCAUUAUGCAAUUCAAAUAUAUCUAUCAAGAUUCAAACAACAACGUCAAUUUAUAAGAUUUUGAUCAACCACGUAUAUAACCUCAAAUGUUCUCAAUUUUAUUUCAAUUUAACUUAUCACUUGUAUGCAAUUCGUAUGCAUAACUUAGUCAACAUUCAAUGGCACAAAAUAUCUUUUUAUUCACAAUAAUACCCGAUGAAACUUCGUAAAAGAAAUUUGUACACAGGUGAAAGUAAUAGUGCCCGGUUACCCGUUUGGGUUAAACCUACACGAAUAAUGAAUCAUAGUGUCAGGUCACCUGUAAGGGUUGAACCUAUACAAAUCGAAUAAUAGUGCCUGGUCACCCAUUAAGGUUGAACCUACACAACAAAUUGUCUGGCUAGGGCUUAAUUAACCUAUAUUCUUGAGUCCGCAACACAUGCUAGAGCUCAGAACCUAUAGACAGUAACCCGUAACCUCAUAUACGAGACUUUUACUAAUUUCAUCAGGAUUAAUCUCAUGUUAUAACACAAUUCCAAUCAACAACAAUAGUUAUCACUAAAACAAGUAUAACACAUUAGUAUUAGAAAUUUAAAUUAUAUCUUAUGAACUUACCUAACAAAGCGAUAAUGCUUUAGAUAAUAGAUACUAUUCGGUAGUUUUUUUCUUUUUCACCUAAGUCAACAACUUGAUCAAUGUAAUAGUUAAAAUUCAAAAUACCAAUACCAAUCUCAUGAUAACACCAAAAUUCAUAUUUAUAAUCUUUUAAUUUAGUUUUACAUAAUUUCCCUAAACUUUUAUAUUUUAUUCAAUUUAGUCCCUAAAACCGGAACAAGUAUAACUUUCACAAUUGAGCUUCAUCUUUUUCAUUCUAAUUUCAAUUAUGUCUUUCUACAGCCCUAAAAAUCCAAAUUUAAAGGAAUUAAGUGUCACUUUUAACAUAUUCACAAUUUAGUCCCUAAAUGCAAAAUUAACAAAAAUUACUUUAUCAAGUAAUCCUUAAACAUUUUGUAGCUUCCAAAUCUACCAUUUUCUAUAAAAAAAAAGAACAUCUAAAAUUCAUCAAUGGCAAGUUUUAAAAUCUUUAACAGUUUUAAAAACAGAAAUACGAGUUACCUAGACCUAGUUGCAACGAUAUCAAAAAUAUAAAAUUUAUGAAAAGCGAACUACAAUAACAUACCAUGCAAAUCUUGGCUGAAGCUUAAGUUUUCUCUUCCAUGGAUAAUCGGUGGUGAAAGGAAGAUGAUAAUGUCUUUACCCUCUUUUUUUGUUU
rnacentral:lncRNA from 1 species